GCCAGUGGCUUAAUGAACUUCGAGAUGCUGUGGACGGCGCUGAAAACUUAAUGGAACAAGUCAACUAUGAGGCUUUAAGGCUUAAGGUGGAAGGUCAACUUCGAAAUCUUGCAGAAACAAGCAACCAGCAAGUAAGUGACCUCAACCUGAGCUUGAGUGAUGAUUAUUUUCUUAAUAUAAAGGAGAAGUUGGAAGACACCAUUGAAACAUUGGAGUUGUUGGAAAAGCAAAUCGGUCGCCUUGGCUUACAGAGGUAUUUCGAUUCGGGUAAGAAACUAGAAACUAGAACACCUUCAACUUCUCUGAUUGAUCAAUCUGAUGUCUUUGGUAGGCAGAAUGAAAUAGAGGAAUUGAUUGACCGUUUAUUGUCUAAGGAUGCAAGUGAAAAAAGUCCGACUGUUGUCCCUAUUGUUGGGAUGGGGGGCGUGGGCAAGACAACACUUGCUAAAGCUGCUUACAAUGAUGAGAAGGUAAAAAGCUAUUUUAAUUUGAAAGCUUGGUUUUGUGUGUCUGAGCCAUAUGAUGCUAUCAGAAUAACAAAAGGGUUACUUCAAGAAAUUGGCUCAUUUGACUUAAAGGAUGACAAUAAUCUCAAUCAGCUACAAGUCAAAUUGAAGGAAAGCCUUAAUGGAAAAAGGUUUCUCAUUGUCCUUGAUGACAUGUGGAACAAUGACUAUAAUGAGUGGAAUGACUUGACAACUCCUUUUAUACAAGGAGAUAUGGGAAGUAAGAUCAUUGUAACUACACGUAAGAAGGAUGUUGCCCGGAUGAUGGGUAGUGGGGCAGUCAACGUGGGGACUCUGUCUAGUGAAGCCUCUUGGGCUUUAUUCAAACGACAUUCGUUAGAAAACAGGUAUCCUGAGGAACAUCUAGAACUUGAAGAGGUUGGAAAGCAAAUUUCAGACAAGUGCAAAGGAUUGCCUUUAGCUCUAAAGGCACUUGCUGGUAUUUUANNNNNNNNNNNNNNNNNNNNNNNNNNNNNNNNNNNNNNNNNNNNNNNNNNNNNNNNNNNNNNNNNNNNNNNNNNNNNNNNNNNNNNNNNNNNNNNNNNNNNNNNNNNNNNNNNNNNNNNNNNNNNNNNNNNNNNNNNNNNNNNNNNNNNNNNNNNNNNNNNNNNNNNNNNNNNNNNNNNNNNNNNNNNNNNNNNNGAGUCUUCUGAAAGAGAUGGAGGGAAAUUCUUAAUGCAUGAUCUUGUCAAUGAUUUGGCCCAAAUUGCAUCUUCAAAACUUUGUGUCAGGUUGGAAGAGUGCCAAGGACCUCAUAUGUUGGAACAAAGUCGGCAUAUGUCGUAUGCAAUGGGGAAAGGUGGUGACUUUGAGAAAUUGAAACCGCUCUCUAAGUCAGAGCAGCUAAGAACAUUGCUUCCAAUAUCUAUCCAGUACCUUUACCGCCCUAAGCUAAGCAAGAGGGUGCUGCAUAACAUACUGCCAAGGCUAACAUCUUUAAGGGCAUUAUCGUUGUCAUGUUAUGAGAUUUUGGAGUUGCCGGAUGCUUUGUUUAUCAAAUUAAAACUCCUGAGAUUUUUGGACCUUUCUCGGACGCAGAUUAAAAAAUUGCCCCAUUCCAUCUGUGCAUUGUAUAACUUGGAGGCACUUCUCCUGUCAUCUUGUGCAUAUCUUGAGGAGCUACUGCCGCAGAUGGAAAAGCUAAUCAACUUGUGUCAUCUUGACAUAAGCGACACUUCUCGCUUGAAGAUGCCGCUACAUCUGAGCAAGUUGAAAAGCCUCCAAGUGCUAGAUGGAGCCAAAUUUCUUUUAGGUGGCCCCUGUGGUUGGAGAAUGAAAGAUUUGGGUGGAGCACAUUACUUGUAUGGAUCUCUAUCAAUUUUGGCGUUGCAAAAUGUGGUUGAUAGAAGGGAAGCUCAGAAGGCAAAGAUGAGGGAGAAGAAUCAUGUUGAAAAGUUAUCGUUGAAAUGGAGUAAAAGUGAUGCUGACAAUUCACAAACUGAAAGAGACAUACUUGAUGAACUACGCCCACACACAAACAUAAAAGAACUCCAAAUCUGCAGAUAUAGAGGGACACAAUUUCCAAAUUGGUUUGCUGAUCCUUCGUUUCUUAAGCUGCUAGUACAAUUGUCUCUUAGCAACUGCAAGGACUGUUAUUCCUUGCCAGCACUAGGACAACUUCCUUCUUUGAAAUUCCUUUCCAUUAGAGAGAUGCAUCGAAUAACAGAGGUGAUGGAGGAAUUCUAUGGUAGUCCGUCCUCCAAAAAGCCUUUUAACUCUCUUGAGAAGCUUGAAUUUGCAGCGAUGCCGGAGUGGAAGCAGUGGCACGUACUACGGAAUGGAGAGUUUCCUGCACUUCAGGACCUUUCAAUUGAUGAUUGCCCCAAGUUGGUUGGGAAGUUCCCCGCGAAUCUUUGUUCUCUGACGAAAUUGAGAAUCUCAAGAUGUCCUGAACUCAAUUUGGAGACACUCAUCCAACUUUCAAGUUUAAAAAAGUUUGUAGCUUCUUAUUCUCCUAAGGCUGGGGUUCUCUUUGAUGAAGCUGAACUAUUUACAUCCCUACUUGAGGGAAUGAAGCAGAUUGAGGAAUUAUCUAUUAGUAAUUGCAACUCUCUUACCUCCAUGCCUACUAGCACUCUGCCGAGUACGUUGAAGACAAUAAGGAUAUGGCGUUGCCAGAAAUUGAAAUUGGAGAUGAUUUCUAAGAUGUUUCUGGAGGUAUUGAGACUGGAUGAAUGUGAUUCUACAUCAUCAACUGAGUUGGUCCCAAGAGCACGCAAUUUGUAUGUAAGGAGUUGCCAAAACCUUACUAGUUUUUUGAUUCCUAAUGGGACUGAAACACUCCAUAUUAGUGAUUGUGAGAAUCUUGAAAUACUUUCGGUGGCAUGUAGGACCCAGAUGAUGUCAUUAGGUAUCCACAAUUGCAAAAAGCUGAAGCGGCUGCCAGAACGUAUGCAGGAACUCCUUCCCUCUCUUAAUAAACUGGAACUGUGGACUUGUCCAGAAAUAGAGUCCUUUCCUGAUGGAGGAUUGCCCUUCAAUUUACAACUCCUUACGAUCAACAAUUGCGAGAAACUGGUGAAUGGCCGAAAGGAGUGGCGUUUACAGAGACUCCCCUCUCUCAGAGUGUUACGCAUCUACCACAAUGGCAGUGACGAAGAUAUUGUUGGUGGUGAGAAUUGGGAGUUGCCUUGCUCUAUUCGAAAGCUUACCAUAAGCAAUAUGAAAACAUUAAGCAACCAACUUCUCAAAAGGCUCACCUCUUUUGAAUAUCUAUAUAUUAGUGAUUUACCUCAAGUUAAGUCACUGCUUGAAGAAGGGCUUCCCUCCUCCCUCUCUGUGCUGACCAUCGGGAAUUGCCGUAAUCUCCAAUCCCUUCCAGUAAAAGGGAUGCCCUCCUCCCUCUCUAAGCUGUCCAUCGAGGAUUGCCCUAAUCUCCAAUCCCUUCCAGUAAAAGGGAUGCCCUCCUCCCUCUCUGAGCUGUCCAUCUCUCAUUGCCCUAAUCUCCAAUCACUUCCCGAAUCAGCGUUUCCCUCCUCCCUCUCUGUGCUGACCAUCGAGUAUUGCCGUAACCUCCAAUCACUUCCAGUAAAAGGGAUGCCCUCUUCCCUCUCUAAACUAUCUAUUCGCUACUGCCCAUUGCUCGAACCACUCCUAGAAUAUGACAAGGGGGAGUACUGGCCAGAAAUUGCUCACAUCUCCACCAUAAAUAUUGAUGGCAAAUUCCUUUGAUGACUUAAACCGAAUGGUAAGUUAUUCUUUUCCCACAGAAGCUUUUUAUUUUUUACUUCCCUUUGUUCUUUUGUUAAUUCUCUCUUUUUUAAAUCUUAUUGAGAAGUGUGGAGCUUCUGUUGCUCCAACCACAUCUAGUAUUCGAUAAGCGGGUAUGCUAGCCAAAAAUUUCUUGUUUGUUAGUAAUUCUGUUUCUUUGUUUAAUUAUUUUGACCAGUGUGUAGCAUCUAUUGCCUCUGUGAAGCCGAGGAAGCAUCUUCAGAUCAAGAUAAAGUAUUUAUACUUGCACUGGAACAUUCAAAAAGAAAUCUAGUGUAGCUCCACAAAAUUGAUUGUUCAAUACGUAGACUCUCUUUUCUUGUCUAUUAACUUAUGUUCUCCCUCAAAUCUUGCAGACGAAAAUAUGAUUCGCCAUCAAGAAAGCUGUUCCGCUUUGUUCUGCAUUUUUUCGUCUCUUCUACAGAGAUAAAGGGUCCAAGAUGCUUCAGUUACCAAGAUGCCUCCCAAUAAGUUAAAACUACUAAAAGCAUCAGCACUGUGCAGUUUUUUGUUAAUGAUUAUUGGAUAUCAACUUUGCAAAUUUUAUUCUUUGUCAGGAUUUUCGUAUGCUGUUACAACUCUCAGCUCAGUUGGUAAAAGGAAAAUUCUGCUGCAAUUCUCUAUUGAAUAGAAAGUCACUCGAAUGUGGUCUGACAGCAAAGUGUAAGUGAACAAAGACUAGUCAUUUUUUUAUCAUCUAGUGAUCUUGACUAUCAGUCCAAGGUUUUGUUAUCGUUGGCUGUAAACGUUGUACUAAUGCUUUAAAUUUUUAUACAUAAAUAUGUGUGAUCAUCAGAAUGAUGUAUCUCUUUGCUAUUGAUGACGUUUAAUUUUCUUUUCAGGAUAUAAAUUACGUUGUGCUCAUUUAUCAAACACAUAGCUUUAAAUUAAGGCUCCAUAGAGAAUCUAUUGAAAAGAUAAUGACAGAUAACAAUCAGAAGUUUUAGGAAAUAAGUAAACUUCCAUUGUCGGGAUUUUGGGAGCUAUUCAACAUCCAAUUGCCGUCUCAGUUAGAUUGCUUGUCCUUACCAUUUUCCUUUAAACAAGUCACUUCAGGUUGGGAAUAUCUUCCUCCGGGAAAGAUGUCAUUGCCUUGUGAUCUUGGUUUCGACUUACUGAAAAAAGUAGACAAUUUACAAGUUUUUGAGAUAUCACACAAGUCGGAAGUUCAGCAGAAAGAAGGUCGAGAUGGACCUGAAGAAACUGAGAGGGACUCUCCAUGGCAUCAACAGCUUAUUCUGUAUUUUGGUACGUUUAGUACAUAGAGGAGUUCAACUGAGAAGCCAACCUCUUUAACCAACGUGCAGCCCAUUUUUAUAUAAAUUCUGUUUGUGCUUUUUCAUGAUCAGGAGAGUGGUGUUUUCAUCCAUUCAGACCAAAAGCGCACCAAUUUUAGAAACUUCAGCUGAUGGAGCAAGUCCGGCAACUGCUGCCUCUGAUCAAUCUGGAGACCUGUGGUCAGAAGUCAAAUCCAACGUUGCACAGAAGGAGGACCGCAUGCGAUUCAACUUUUUGGCAUGGCUGGACUUGUCCAAUCGGAAAAUCCCUGGUGUAUGGCUUCAAUAUAAAUAUUUAAUUGGCAGCUAAUAAUAAAGUUCUCUGCUUUUCACUUGUAUUACUGGCUUUUGGUUUCGGAUUGACGACUUUAAAAUGUGUCACGGGGGUCUACGGCUCGCUUCUUUAUAUACUAACAUCAUCAGGACUAUGGAUGUGAUAGAUUUGUGUUAAGUCUUUCUCUUCUGACUUGACUUGUAGGGUUUUACUGAAUAUAUUGUUUUUUUUUUUUUUAUUAAGGUAAAGUUGUAUUCUUCAGCAUUGAGGAUAUGCUGGCAACCUCCAAAAAAUUACAGGGCAAUAAGUCAUACUUACAAAUAACCAAGGAAAUCUACUAUUUGGCCUGCUUUAUCUAUACCUUCUUCUUUACACCAAAAAUACAUAGUACUAAUGCAAGAAUCUUUGACUUCUUUCCAUAAAGCAUGAUCUUCUUUGACAAACCUCCGAAGCCACUUUGCAAGUAAACACUUAUUGUGGAGCCUUAAAUUCUUGAUACCAAUCCCCCCUGAUUGUUUGCUGAGUUGAGCAGUUUGCCAUUUGACUAAAUGAAUACCUUUCCCUCUCUUGUUGCCCAAACACAAGAAGUCCUCAGUUUGUCUAGUUUCUCUUCCACCUUAACAGGUAGAGGGAAGAGUGACAUGACAUAUGACGGUAGUGCAUCUAGGACUGAGUUGAUCGGGAUUGCUCUUCCUCCCAGGGAUAAGUACUGUGACUUCCAAGUAGCUAAUUUUUUCUCAGUCUUCUCCACAAUACCAAAGGCAUCCCCAGAUAGGUAGUUGGGAAUUUUUCUACGUUGUUACUUAAGGUAUUCGCUAGGCUUUGAAUGUUUGCAACUUCCUCCUUCUAACAUAUGAGGUGAAUUUCUUACUAUAAAUGUGUAUAUGAUUUGAAUCAAAAUUGUUAAAUUUUAUCGAAUUCGUAACUUUGUUAUGUUUCUGUAAGUGAGUUAAGAUUAAAGGUUAUAACUCACUUGUUUAGCUCCUCUACCUUUCACGAUUGAAGUGAAGGAUUUAAUAACCCAUCAGUAGACAACAAACUACGUCGAUUUUAAUAAAUAUUUAUAAAAAUGAAUAAUUUUUACGCCAUUCAAUUAUAUAUUAUCAUAUAAUAUAUGUUCUAUUUUAGUUUUCAGAUUACAAUAGAAUUAAACAUAAAUAUCUUUCGACAAAGUGUAAUACUAUUGGUGUAAAUAUCUUUUUAUAUUGUUAGUGAAUACUGUUAGGAUCGAUUAGCAGUUCACACACACUAAAUCUAUGGAGAGGAUGAAGAAAACUAGAGAGAGUUCUUGAGGAGAGAGAGAGAGGUAAUUUCGUGGUAACACCCGUGGGUAACCUCCGCAGCGGAUAGACUAUUUAUAUUAAUGACUUGGAGUAUGUACAACUACACAGAGAAUGAGAAUAAAAGAUACAUUAAUAUAUAACAGUACGUCACAUAUUAAUCAGGCUCCACAACCUAACAAAUACUAAUCAAACUCAACUUACUAUGGCAUAUCAAGUAGUGUUAUACCUAUAAGAGUUUAUUAUGAUUAUUUUAUCAAGUAGACACAUGGGUUGGUCGGUAAUUGUAAUACCUAGAUGUGACAAUGACUUUCUUGUUACUCUGAAUACGUCCGAGCCAACGAAAAUCAAAAGAUGACAUGAUUAUUAUUGGAUCUUCAGUAUUGACAAAUCUGAAUUUGAGCUAUGUGUAAUUGUUUAUCGUGUGUUUUAAGAGAGUAUAAUCACUUUCUAGUUUUUAUUCUCGCUGAAAAAAAAUUAGGACCUAGUUACACACUAUAUUACUAAUUUAUUGUUAAAUAGUUUGUAACUAACAAAAUCUUUAGACAACAUGUUGCAACUACAGCGCAAACUUUUAUCAUUUCAUCGUAUCUCUUGGUGUUUCCAAAUUCCCAACUUGUUAACAUGUUUUCAAGUACUCCCUUUUACAAUUUAUACGAUUCACUUUUCUUUUAGUCAGUUCACACAAAUAUCGACGAUUUAUUUUAUACUUAAUUUUCAAAAAAAUUCUUUCUUAUAUUUCUCGCCAAAUGAAACUACACAUAAACUGAGAAUGAGGAAAUAAAAAAGUCAUGGCAAGGAGACGUGAAAUGAAAACAAAACAUUAUGAAGUCUUUGUCAACGCAACCACCCCACCACCCUUUCUCUGUUGCCUCAAUUAUUCAACUUUGUCAUACUCAUGUAAGGGAGAAAAAAGGACAGCUUUGAUUCAUAGUUGUACCAAUUACAAGUAAAACCACUGCAAAAAAAAAAAAAAAAAAAGAAAGAGAAAGACAGAAGAAUCACUUUGCAAAUUACUCUUACCAUUCAACAGGUAAAAUAUAGUUGUUAAUAUUUGAAGAUCGAAACCAUUAUCUUCUCAAAAUUCUUAAAAUCAUUUUUGUGGUUCCUUGUUUUGCUUUGUAGAUUUCAAAAAUGGAUAUUGGCUUAGCAGUUGGUGGUGCAUUUCUCUCUUCAGCUUUGAAUGUUCUCUUUGAUAGGCUUGCUCCUCAGGGCGAGCUUCUCAAGAUGUUUCAGAAGAAUAAGCAUGAUGUUCGACUCUUAAAGAAGCUGAAAAUGACUUUGGUUGGCCUUCAGGCUGUGUUNNNNNNNNNNNNNNNNNNNNNNNNNNNNNNNNNNNNNNNNNNNNNNNNNNNNNNNNNNNNNNNNNNNNNNNNNNNNNNNNNNNNNNNNNNNNNNNNNNNNNNNNNNNNNNNNNNNNNNNNNNNNNNNNNNNNNNNNNNNNNNNNNNNNNNNNNNNNNNNNNNNNNNNNNNNNNNNNNNNNNNNNNNNNNNNNNNNNNNNNNNNNNNNNNNNNNNNNNNNNNNNNNNNNNNNNNNNNNNNNNNNNNNNNNNNNNNNNNNNNNNNNNNNNNNNNNNNNNNNNNNNNNNNNNNNNNNNNNNNNNNNNNNNNNNNNNNNNNNNNNNNNNNNNNNNNNNNNNNNNNNNNNNNNNNNNNNNNNNNNNNNNNNNNNNNNNNNNNNNNNNNNNNNNNNNNNNNNNNNNNNNNNNNNNNNAUAAAGGAGAAGUUGGAAGACACCAUUGAAACAUUGGAGGAUUUGCAAAAACAAAUUGGUCUCCUUGGCUUAAAGGAGCAUUUUGCUUCGACUAAACGAGAAACUAGAAGACAGUCAACUUCUUUGGUUGAUGAAUCUGAUGUCUUUGGUCGGCAGAAUGAAAUAGAGGAAUUGAUUGAUCGUUUAUUGUCCAAGGAUGCAAGUGAAAAAAGUCCGACUGUUGUCCCUAUUGUUGGAAUGGGGGGUGUGGGCAAGACAACACUUGCUAAAGCUGCUUACAAUGAUGAGAAGGUAAAAAGCUAUUUUAAUUUGAAAGCUUGGUUUUGUGUGUCUGAGCCAUAUGAUGCUAUCAGAAUAACAAAAGCAUUACUUCAAGAAAUUGGCUCAUUUGACUUAAAGGAUGACAAUAAUCUCAAUCAGCUACAAGUCAAAUUGAAGGAAAGCCUUAAAGGUAAAAGGUUUCUCAUUGUCCUUGAUGACAUGUGGAACGAUGACUAUAAUGAGUGGAAUGACUUGAGAACUCCUUUUGUACAUGGAGAUAUGGGAAGUAAGAUCAUUGUAACUACACGUAAGAAGGAUGUUGCCGGGAUGAUGGGUAGUGGGGCAGUCAACGUGGGAACUCUGUCUAGUGAAGCCUCUUGGGCUUUAUUCAAACGACAUUCGUUAGAAAACAGGUAUCCCGAGGAACAUCCAGAACUUGAAGAGGUUGGAAAACAAAUUUCAGACAAGUGCAAAGGAUUGCCUUUAGCUCUAAAGACACUUGCUGGUUUUUUAUGCUCCAAAUCAGAGGUGGAUGAGUGGACAGACGUUUUAAGAAGUGAAAUAUGGGAGCUGCCACGUCGUCCGAAUGGUAUAUUACCAGCAUUGAUGUUGAGCUACAAUGAUCUUCCUGCACAUUUGAAGCAAUGUUUUGCUUAUUGUGCUAUAUAUUCCAAAGAUUAUCAAUUUUGCAAAGAGCAAGUUAUUUUCUUGUGGAUUGCUAAUGGUCUUGUACAGCAGUUCCAUUCUGGUAACCAAUACUUUAACGAGUUGAGAUCAAGAUCAUUGUUCGAAAGGGUCCCAGAGUCUUCUGAAAGAGAUGGAGGGAAAUUCUUAAUGCAUGAUCUUGUCAAUGAUUUGGCCCAAAUUGCAUCUUCAAAACUUUGUGUCAGGUUGGAAGAGUGCCAAGGACCUCAUAUGUUGGAACAAAGUCGGCAUAUGUCGUAUGCAAUGGGGAAAGGUGGUGACUUUGAGAAAUUGAAACCGCUCUCUAAGUCAGAGCAGCUGAGAACAUUGCUUCCAAUCUCUAUCCAGUACCUUUUCCGCCGUAAUCUAAGCAAGAGGGUGCUGCAUAACAUACUGCCAAGGCUAACAUCUUUAAGGGCAUUAUCAUUGUCACGUUAUGAGAUUUUGGAGUUGCCGGAUGCUUUGUUUAUCAAAUUAAAACUCCUGAGAUUUUUGGACCUUUCUCGGACGCAGAUUAAAAAAUUGCCCCAUUCCAUCUGUGCAUUGUAUAACUUGGAGGCACUUCUCCUGUCAUCUUGUGCAUAUCUUGAGGAGCUACCGCCGCAGAUGGAAAAGCUAAUCAACUUGUGUCAUCUUGACAUAAGCGACACUUCUCGCUUGAAGAUGCCGCUACAUCUGAGCAAGUUGAAAAGCCUCCAAGUGCUAGAUGGAGCCAAAUUUCUUUUAGGUGGCCCCUGUGGUUGGAGAAUGAAAGAUUUGGGUGGAGCACAUUACUUGUAUGGAUCUCUAUCAAUUUUAGUGUUGCAAAAUGUGGUUGAUAGAAGGGAAGCUCAGAAGGGAAAGAUUAGGGAGAAGAAUCAUGUUGAGAAGUUAUCGUUGGAGUGGAGUGAAAGUGAUGCUGACAAUUCACAAACUGAAAGAGACAUACUUGAUGAGCUACGCCCACACACAAACAUAAAAGAACUCCAAAUCUCUGGAUAUAGAGGGACGCAAUUUCCAAAUUGGCUAGCUGAUCUUUCGUUUCUUAAGCUCCUAGUACUAUUGUCUCUUUGCAACUGCAAGGACUGUUUUUCCUUGCCAGCACUAGGACAACUUCCUUGUUUGAAAUUCCUUUCCAUUAGAAAGAUGCAUCGAAUAACAGAGGUGACGUAAGAAUUCUAUGGUAGUCCGUCCUCCUAAAAGCCUUUUAACUCUCUUGAGAAGCUUGAAUUUGCAGAGAUGCCUGAGUGGAAGCAGUGGCACGUACUUGGGAAUGGAGAGUUUCCUGCACUUCAGUACCUUUCAAUUGAUGAUUGCCCCAAGUUGGUUGGGAAGUUCCCAGAGAAUCUUUGUUCUCUGACGAAAUUGAGAAUCACAAGAUGUCCUGAACUGUUUACCUCCCAACUUGAGGGAAUGAAGCAGAUUGAGGAAUUAUAUAUUAGUAAUUGCAACUCUCUUACCUCCAUGCCUAUUAGCACUCUGCCGAGUACGUUGAAGACAAUAUGGAUAUUUCAUUGCCGGAAAUUGAAAUUGGAGGCACCAGAUAGUAGUAGGAUGAAUUCUAACAUGCUUCUGGAGGAAUUGAGACUGGAUGAAUGUGAUUCUAUAUCAUCAUCACCUGAGUUGGUCCCAAGAGCACGCACUUUGCGUGUAUUGAAAUGCCAAAACCUUACUAGGUUUUUUAUUCCUAAUGGGACUGAAACACUCCAUAUUUGGCGUUGUGAGAAUCUUGAAAUACUACUUUCGGUGGCAUGUGGGACCCACAUGACGUCAUUGUAUAUUUUCGAUUGCAAAAAGCUAAAGCGGCUGCCAGAAGGUAUGCAGGAACUCCUUCCAUCUCUUAAGAUUCUGCGACUGCAACAUUGUCCAGAAAUAGAGUCCUUUCCUGAUGGAGGAUUGCCCUUCAAUUUUGAAGUCCUUGAGAUCUACGAUUGCGAGAAACUGGUGAACAGCCGAAAGGAGUGGCAUCUACAGAGACUCCCCUGUCUCCGAGAGUUGGAGAUCUACCACAAUGGCAGUGACGAAGAGAUUGUUGGUGGUGAGAAUUGGGAGUUGCCUUGCUCUAUUCGAAGUCUUUCCAUAGCCAAUCUGAAAACAUUAAGCAGCCGACUUCUCAAAAGCCUCACCUCUAUUGAAUAUCUAUGGACUUGUAAUUUACCUCAAAUUCAGUCACUGCUGGAAGAAGGGCUUCCCUCCUCUCUUUCUGAGCUUUAUUUAUACGACCAUGAUGAGCUUCAUGCACUACCGACCGAAGGUCUUCGGCACCUCACUUCGCUUCAAAGUCUACACAUCAGCAAUUGCAAUCAAUUCCAAUCACUUCCCGAAUCAGCGCUGCCCUCCUCCCUCUCUGAGCUGAACAUCUGGAAUUGCCGUAAUCUCCAAUCACUUCCAGUAAAAGGGAUGCCCUCUUCCCUCUCUAAACUAUCUAUUCGCUACUGCCCAUUGCUCGAACCACUCCUAGAAUUUGACAAGGGGGAGUACUGGCCAGAAAUUGCCCACAUCUCCACCAUAGAGAUUGAUGACGAAUACCUUUGAGGAUUUAAACCGAAUGGUUCUCUCACAAAUGUAAGUUAUUCUUUUCCCUUAGAAGCUUUUUAUUUUUGUUUGCUUCCCUUUGUUCUUUUUUUAAUUCUUUAUCUUUUUUUUUUUUUUAAUCUUAUCGAGCAGUGUGGAGCAUCUAUUGCUCAAUCCGUAUCUUGUAUUCGACGAGGGAGCUUACUAGCCAAAAAUUGCUCAUAUUUCCACCGUAAAUAUUGAUUGGGAGUACCUGUAAUCCGAUAGAUGUAAGUUAUUCUAUUUUCUUAGUAUCUUUUGGUGUUUGGUACCUUCUCUUUGCUUGUUUGUUAAUAAUUCUGUUUCUUUGUUAAAUCAUUUUGACCAGUGAAUCUGAGGAAGCAUCUUUAGAUCAAGAUGAAAUCUUUAUAUUUGCACCAAAACAUUGAAAAAGAAAUCUAUUUUAGGUAGGAACCCUCUUUUCUUGUCUAUUAACCUAUUUUCUCCCUCAAAUCUUUGCAGACAGAAGUAUGAUUCACCAUCAUGAAAGCUGUUCCGCUUUGUUCUGCAAUUUGUCGUCUCUUCUACAGAGAUAAAGGGUCCAACAAAUGCAACCUCACUUUCUCAAUGAGGUCCAACAAGCAAGCAAUUUGCGCCAGAGAUGAAUUUAAGUCUAAUAAAAUGGACCCACGUAUCAUGAUGUAUUUAACACUAUGCUAGUCGCUAGAGGUUGAACAAUGGAGAAGCCUUCAGUUCUUGAUUAAUAGACGUCAAUUGGCAGCUUGGCUCCCUUCCCGUUGCUUUGUUCUUCUAUCGAAUGCAAAGCUCUAACAGAAUUCAUAGGUGUAUAAUACACAAGGUUUGUUUCCUAUCUAUCAAAAGUAUAAAUGUUUGCCUCACAAUAAAUUUAACAAAUAAAAGCAUCAGCACCGUUGAGGUUUUUGUUAAUGAUUAGUGGAUAUCAACUUAGCAAAUUUUAUUCUGCUGCAAUUCUCUAUUGAAUAGAAAGUCACUCGAAUGUGGUCUGACAGCAAAGCGUAAGUGAACAAAGACAAGUCAUUUUUUUAUCAUCCAGUGCUCUUGACUAUCAGUCCAAGGUUUUGUUUUCAUUGGCGGUAAACGUUGUACUAAUGCUUUGACUUUUUACACAUUAGUAUGUGUGCUCAUCAUCAAACACAUAGCUUCAAAUUAAAGCUCCAUAGAGAAUCUAUAGAAAAGAUAAUGACAGGUAACAAUCAGAAGUUUUAGGAAAUAAGUAAACUUCCAUUGUCAGGAUUUUAGGAUCUAUAUAACAUCCAAUUGUUGUCUCAGUUACAUUGCUUGAUUUUACUAACCACUAUAUAUAUUUUUGUAUAAAUUCUGUUUGUGUUUCUUUCAUGAUCAAGAGAGUGGUGUUUCUUUUCUUUUUCAGAACGGGUUCAUUGGGUCAUAGAAUGGUGGUCAACAUUAGUUUUUAACAGUUCUCAUCCAUACUAGACCAAAAAUGCACCAAUUUUAGAAUCUUCAACCGAUGGAGCAAGUCCUGCAACUGCUACCUCCGAUCAAUCUGGGGACCUGUCGUUAGAUGUCAAAUUCAAUGUUGUACAGAAGAAGGACCUCAUGCGAUUGAACUUUUUGGCAUGGUCGGACUUGUCCAAUCGGAAAGCCCCUGGUAUAUUGCUUCAAUACAAGUAUUUCCUUUGAUACCUUCUAAUUAUUGUUCAAGAUGGGUAUGAGUGUGUGCGUGUUUAUUUUGUGCUUGCAGUCCUAUAUACAAAUGUUUGGGAUUUCUCCACUGUACUUUUUUCCUUUAUAUGAAGGGAAGCCUUGGAGUAACUAGUAAAGUUACUGCCACGUGACCAGGAGUUCACGGGUUCAAGCCGUAGAAACAUCCCCUUGCAGAAAUGUAAGGUGAGGCUGCGUUAAACAGAUCCUUAUGGUUCGUCCCUUCCCCGGACCCCGCGCAUAGCAGGAGAUUUAGUGCACCACCCUUUUACAUUUUCUUUUAUAUAGUUAAACUAUAGAUCGGAGUAAGCAACUAGGUAGGAUAACAAACUGUGAAGCUUCUUCGCACAUUUAGGGGGAAGUAUUCAUGCAACAGUUCAUGAGAAAAAUGUGUAUCAGUUCUUUUAAUUGAUUUACAAAUGCUUUUGAGGUUGCAUUUGUUUUGAUGGUUGGCAUCUAUGAUACUUCAUAUUUUCAGAGUUGGCAAGCAGCAAUUGCGAGAAGCCUGGAUAGUUGGACUCUGCUUGGGAACACUUGCUAAAGUAAGCGAUGAAACCCUUGGAUUGAGUACCUUUACUCCUGCAUUGCAGUUCGUAAGUUCAUUGUUACUGGCAAUCCUCAUAUAUCUUCAUUACCUUAUCUCACUUUACCUUAAUUCUAAUCUUCCAAAAUGUUUUCCAGCUCUUCUCACCGAGAUUCCGGCUCUGAGAUCAUUUUCUCUAGAUACAUUACACUACUGGAGAGAGAGUGCAUCUGUCACGAGCAGUUUGGCAUACUUUCUGGCCAAGGAUAUGAUUGAUCAUAUCAAUACUAUUGUAAGGCCUGCAGUUUAUCUCUCAAUGUUCUACUUCUUCAACAAUCCAAGAUCUUUAAUUUUGGAUAAUUAUGUCGUCUUGCUUUGUGUCGUAUAUUGUGUUACUGGGAUAGCUUAUGCACUUUCCAUCUACUUUGAACCUGGUCAAGCUCAACUGGUGUGUACUCAGUACUUUGAUCUUACAAUACAUAUCAACUCCAACCGUUAUCCUCUAUUGCCGCAAUUCUCUACUAACAAACUGAUGUGUCUUUCAGUGGUCGGUGUUGCUACCAGUUGUCUUGACCCUUGUAGCAAGCAAGGGCAGUUGCGUUCACUGCAAUAGUAGGAGAUUAUAUCUAUUCAAAGUGGGCCUUGGAAGCAUUUAUAAUUGCAAAUGCUAGAAGGUCUGGUGAAUCCUUCUCCAUUGUGUCUAAAUUCUUCUUGCAUUACGGUUAAACUUGCUAACAAAUACUUGCUGAAAUUUAGAAUGACAACAACAAUGGCAAUACCCAGUGUAAUCCCACAAGUGAAGUUAUGGAGACAGUAGAGUGUACACGACCUUACCCUACUUUGGGUGCAGGUAGAGGUUGUCUCUAAUAGAUCCUCAGCUCUAGGAAAGCAUAAUCACAGCAUUUAGGGAAACAUAUGCAGUAACAACAGUAAGAUAGUAAGAAAACCGAAGCAUACGAGACAAUAAGUAGUAAUAGAAAAGUAGGAAUGAGAAAUACGGAAAUAAUAAUAAUACCUACUUCUAGCCUUCUAAGUAAUCAUUAGCCAUGAUCAGCUGUUGAAUAUCAAAUGCACCUCAUAUUUUAGGAUUAAGAAGUCAUAUGUUGAUCUAUUUUAGGUACUUUGGGGUGUGGCUGAUCACAAGAUGUGGUGUACUAAGGACGAAAGGCUACGCGCUUGAUCAUUGGUACCCUUGCUUACUAAAACUCAUCCUUCUCGGUGCUGCCAGUCGCUGCGUAGCAUUUUUGUUAUUGAUAACUUUCCAGAAAAAAUAACACUUCAUUGUUGCUGUCUUGCUUCAUCACUUGGUAUGAAAGGAAGAAUGCCAGUUUACAGUCUCAAUACCAUGACGAAAAUGUUGGGAAGCCUCAAAAAGUUGGGUCCUUUGCGAAGAUUAUUGUACAUAACCAAAAACGUAAUUUACUCGAAACAGAUGGUAUAUAGCAGCACGAGUCAAUUAAAGAGGUUAUAUGAUUCUUUCUUCUACAGAUGGAAAAUCAAAUGUAACAUUUGUUAAUAGUAGUUUCUCUUGGAGAAUGAUUCUACCUGGUUCCUGUUGAUUUUAUGUUUUAAUAAAUUUUGAAAUAAAUACAUCGGUUAAAGAUUUUUUAAGAGUUAUGUUUCAAUUAGUUUUGAAACAAAUGCAUCACUUAAAGUUUUGAGUUACAAAGGAAAUGAAUUUGAUAAAUUCAUUAUUCAUAAGUUUUGAGUUACAAAGAAAAUGUAUUUGACAAAUUCAUUAUUCAUUAAGUUUUACGUUAUAGGUUCUUGAAAGAAUGACAUUUUUUGUUUUAAAACAUACAUGAACCUAUUAACAAUUACUUAAUUAAUAUGCUUCUCAUGCAUGAAACUUUCAUCCUAUAAAUAGUGUUUUCUUUGGUUGGAAAAGACAAGCACUCAAAACUAAUUCCCCUUGAAAAACACUCGAGAGACAUUGAUCAAAUGGUGAAAUCAUCAAUUCAAGAAUAGAAGAGCAACAUUCUUGAAUGCUACUUGUUUUGUGGCUUAGUUGAAUCCCAAAGAUAGAGUUGUCACUUGUUCUUCCGUUUGCUCGUGGGAGAGACUCCAACUAUCUUCAAGAAGCGUAUUAUUGUACCUCUAAGCCAAGCAAAUUUUAUUUUGAAUUACUCACGUCCACCUUAUCAAACUUCUUCCCUAAUCAUCAUGUAUUCAUCAUCUUCAUAUCUUGGCAGAGGUGCCUUCUCGAGGUUCGGCUUGGAAACAAAAAUUGGUAGUUUGGGAGAUAAUUGUUUUCCCUGAGCCUUGUGUGGAUAACAUCAUCGCUAAGACUUUCUACUCUAAUGACGAUUUUAUGUUAAUGUUGAGUAAACCUACCAAGAUGAGGGAUUAGGCCAUAUGUGACUCUGCUUAUUUCAUCAAAGAAUCUGACACUCCUAUUGUUCAUCGACUAUGAUUAGUCAUGUGUUGUGCCCUCCAGGUUUUAAGAGCACCACUUCCCCAAACUGACUACUCCUUUGUCCCCACUUAUCCAUUUACCAUAUGCUUGAGGGAUUAUUUGAUCAACAAAGUUAUCACACCCUUUUAUGCAGUCUUCAAGUUAUACUUGGGGCAACUUAGUCCUCACGUGUGAAGGGUCGUUGUAUGCCUUCAUGUCCUUGUUCUCCAAACUGGCCAAAAAUUAAAUGUCACUCGCCUACUCCUUCUCUAUAUCUUUGUAUGAUUUGUGGGCAGCUGGUAAAGAUGGUGAGAAUUGGUAAUAACUCCAUUCUAAAAAUCAUGUACGACACUUAUAUAAGUUGGAUUAGCAGGUUCUUAGUCAUUGUCACCAAGUGCUCUACCACUCCAAGAGCUAUGGAAUAUAUCUCAUAAGUUGCUUUUAUAGACACUACUAUUAAAUAUUUUGACUUUUUAAUUUAUUUCUUAUUGGUCUCAUCUUUAAGUGUAUUAUGUAGCCUCUUACUGGAGCCUUAUUGUAGGUUCGUCAUCCCUUGAGUGAUCUGCACGGUUAAGAGAGUGGGUUAGGAAAUCAUAGACUGUACCACAACCAAAGACUAGAUCCAGGCUUAGAUUUCAAAGGGUCGAUAGUGGAUUUUCAAAGAUCAAAAUAGGUUUUUAGUCCUCAUCCUUUCCUUUAUCAAGUUUCAUUUUUUUGCCUAUUCUGACAUCAAGAUAUAAAUAGGCUUUAUCAGAAGCAUAAUAUUCCUUCACUUUUCUCUAUUUAUAGCUAACUUGUCUAUUGCACAUCAGAGGAUUGAAUACGAAACUGUUGAAACUCCUGGUACUAUCGACAUUGGGUUUGGGCAAAUCCCCUAGGAAUGAGCCUCAAACAUAGACAAGAGAAGACACAGGUUUGAGUUCACCAUAUUUGCCAUUAUGUGAACCUAAAAUUUCCUACCCUAAGAUUUUUUCACUACGAAGAAUCUGAGAGGGCUUCUGAGGAUGGGUCCCCUUUGGCGAGGACAAAAAACAUGGGUUCAGAUAUUUUUUAGGAACACAUCCAUUUCAUAUGUUAGAGUAGGCUAAACAAGUGAUCCCAUACUCGAAUACCUUUUAUACCAUUUAAGAAAAGGUCGUGCCUGUAGUUGGUACACCAGAAAAGGUUAGGACAUUCUUCCCUGAGAUGAAUUAUUUGUCACAUCAUGGAAAGAGGUAUUUUAUCACUUUUAUUGAUGAUACUCAAGAUAUACUUAUGUCUUUCCAUUGAAAACAAAAGAUGAAACAUUUGAGACUUUUAAAGCAUAUAAAGCAGAAGUUGAAAAUAAAUUGAGUGUGAAAGUUAAGUCAAUUAGGUCUGAUAGAGGUGGAGAGUACUUAAAGUCAGAUUUUAUUGAUUUUUGUUAGAGAGAAGGCAUUGAAAAAUAAUUGACCAUGUCCUAUACACCACAACAAAAUGGUGUAGCAGAAAGAAAAAAUAGGACUUUCAUAGAAAUGGUUAAUUCUAUGCUUUAUGGAUCUGGUAUAUCUNNNNNNNNNNNNNNNNNNNNNNNNNNNNNNNNNNNNNNNNNNNNNNNNNNNNNNNNNNNNNNNNNNNNNNNNNNNNNNNNNNNNNNNNNNNNNNNNNNNNNNNNNNNNNNNNNNNNNNNNNNNNNNNNNNNNNNNNNNNNNNNNNNNNNNNNNNNNNNNNNNNNNNNNNNNNNNNNNNNNNNNNNNNNNNNNNNNNNNNNNNNNNNNNNNNNNNNNNNNNNNNNNNNNNNNNNNNNNNNNNNNNNNNNNNNNNNNNNNNNNNNNNNNNNNNNNNNNNNNNNNNNNNNNNNNNNNNNNNNNNNNNNNNNNNNNNNNNNNNNNNNNNNNNNNNNNNNNNNNNNNNNNNNNNNNNNNNNNNNNNNNNNNNNNNNNNNNNNNNNNNNNNNNNNNNNNNNNNNNNNNNNNNNNNNNNNNNNNNNNNNNNNNNNNNNNNNNNNNNNNNNNNNNNNNNNNNNNNNNNNNNNNNNNNNNNNNNNNNNNNNNNNNNNNNNNNNNNNNNNNNNNNNNNNNNNNNNNNNNNNNNNNNNNNNNNNNNNNNNNNNNNNNNNNNNNNNNNNNNNNNNNNNNNNNNNNNNNNNNNNNNNNNNNNNNNNNNNNNNNNNNNNNNNNNNNNNNNNNNNNNNNNNNNNNNNNNNNNNNNNNNNNNNNNNNNNNNNNNNNNNNNNNNNNNNNNNNNNNNNNNNNNNNNNNNNNNNNNNNNNNNNNNNNNNNNNNNNNNNNNNNNNNNNNNNNNNNNNNNNNNNNNNNNNNNNNNNNNNNNNNNNNNNNNNNNNNNNNNNNNNNNNNNNNNNNNNNNNNNNNNNNNNNNNNNNNNNNNNNNNNNNNNNNNNNNNNNNNNNNNNNNNNNNNNNNNNNNNNNNNNNNNNNNNNNNNNNNNNNNNNNNNNNNNNNNNNNNNNNNNNNNNNNNNNNNNNNNNNNNNNNNNNNNNNNNNNNNNNNNNNNNNNNNNNNNNNNNNNNNNNNNNNNNNNNNNNNNNNNNNNNNNNNNNNNNNNNNNNNNNNNNNNNNNNNNNNNNNNNNNNNNNNNNNNNNNNNNNNNNNNNNNNNNNNNNNNNNNNNNNNNNNNNNNNNNNNNNNNNNNNNNNNNNNNNNNNNNNNNNNNNNNNNNNNNNNNNNNNNNNNNNNNNNNNNNNNNNNNNNNNNNNNNNNNNNNNNNNNNNNNNNNNNNNNNNNNNNNNNNNNNNNNNNNNNNNNNNNNNNNNNNNNNNNNNNNNNNNNNNNNNNNNNNNNNNNNNNNNNNNNNNNNNNNNNNNNNNNNNNNNNNNNNNNNNNNNNNNNNNNNNNNNNNNNNNNNNNNNNNNNNNNNNNNNNNNNNNNNNNNNNNNNNNNNNNNNNNNNNNNNNNNNNNNNNNNNNNNNNNNNNNNNNNNNNNNNNNNNNNNNNNNNNNNNNNNNNNNNNNNNNNNNNNNNNNNNNNNNNNNNNNNNNNNNNNNNNNNNNNNNNNNNNNNNNNNNNNNNNNNNNNNNNNNNNNNNNNNNNNNNNNNNNNNNNNNNNNNNNNNNNNNNNNNNNNNNNNNNNNNNNNNNNNNNNNNNNNNNNNNNNNNNNNNNNNNNNNNNNNNNNNNNNNNNNNNNNNNNNNNNNNNNNNNNNNNNNNNNNNNNNNNNNNNNNNNNNNNNNNNNNNNNNNNNNNNNNNNNNNNNNNNNNNNNNNNNNNNNNNNNNNNNNNNNNNNNNNNNNNNNNNNNNNNNNNNNNNNNNNNNNNNNNNNNNNNNNNNNNNNNNNNNNNNNNNNNNNNNNNNNNNNCAGAUCCUUUGUCUAAAGGGUUAGGCAAGAAAUUGGGGGUACAAUCUGUAAUGGGAUGGGAAUGAAGCCUGUUGUUGAUUGAUUGUACUUUAUGGUAACCCUACCUAAUGAUGCAAUCUUAGGUUCAAAGGGAAAAACAAGUAAAGUUACAAUUGUGAAGCACAUCAAUAAAAUUUUCUUUUUCCUUAGAGAGUGAGUAGAUGUGCAUAAGUUGAGAUUUAUUCUCUUGAUAAAUCGAUAAGACCGAUAUCGGUUGGAGUAAAUAAUAACACUCUUGAUAGAUUUGAUAGUAUUCCUACAAAAGAAAAGAAUGAGAUUAUAUUCUCUUAUUAAGUCUAUACACCAAUUUCGGUUGGAGUGUGUAAGAACACUCUUGAUAAAUUUACUAAUACUUUGUUGUAAAGGAGGAUGAGAAAUAAUUUCUCUUAAUAAAAUUCAUAGACUACUUAGUCGGAGUAUGCAAAGUUACUCUUGAUGAAUUCACCGCACUAAGUGCGAAGUGGAGGCCGCUUCAAUAAGAUUUUUACAAGGAAAUCUUAAAGCACUUAGCUAAAAGGAUUCGGGACACAUGGCCAUAAGGUGUCAAAGGAUUUUGAUUUUCACCAGAACAUAGCAAUAUNNNNNNNNNNNNNNNNNNNNNNNNNNNNNNNNNNNNNNNNNNNNNNNNNNNNNNNNNNNNNNNNNNNNNNNNNNNNNNNNNNNNNNNNNNNNNNNNNNNNNNNNNNNNNNNNNNNNNNNNNNNNNNNNNNNNNNNNNNNNNNNNNNNNNNNNNNNNNNNNNNNNNNNNNNNNNNNNNNNNNNNNNNNNNNNNNNNNNNNNNNNNNNNNNNNNNNNNNNNNNNNNNNNNNNNNNNNNNNNNNNNNNNNNNNNNNNNNNNNNNNNNCAUCACUUAAAGUUUUGAGUUACAAAGGAAAUGAAUUUGAUAAAUUCAUUAUUCAUAAGUUUUGAGUUACAAAGAACAUGUAUUUGACAAAUUCAUUAUUCAUUAAGUUUUAUGUUAUAGGUUCUUGAAAGAAUGACAUUUUUUGUUUUAAAACAUACAUGAACCUAUUAACUAUUACUUAAUUAAUAUGCUUCUCAUGCAUGAAACUUUCAUCCUAUAAAUAGUGUUUUCUUUGGUUUGAAAAGACAAGCACUCAAAACUAAUUUCUCCUUGAAAAAUACUUGAGAGACAUUGAUCAAAUGGUGAAAUCACCAAUUCAAGAAUAGAAGAGCAACAUUCUUGAAUGCUACUUGUUUUGUGGCUUAGUUGAAUUCCAAAGAUAGAGUUGUCACUUGUUCUUCCGUUUGCUCGUGGGAGAGACUCCAACUAUCUUCAAGAAGCGUAUUAUCGUGCCUCGAAGCCAAGAAAGUUUUAUUUUGAAUUUCUUGUACAAUUAUCAUUAUUGUUCUAACAGUUCCUAAGCCUCAUUUUGUAGCCUUGAACCUCAAGAGAAGAACUGAAAAUGUCCGGCCCGUCUUCAUGAAGUUGACAAGGAUAUGACUGAGAGUACACUUCAGAAAUUGGAGGUUCUACCCAAAAGUUGAUAAAGAUCAGGAUAUUAACAUCAAAUUAUGUAAAUUAUUAUGCAGCCAAAUGUAAUAAUAGCAUAAAUUCAGUUUUGAGUAGACAGUACAUCUUUUAUGUUCACAAAUUCUCCUGCUUUUUUCAUUUCUUUUUGAUUGGUAACAUUGAAGGGGAGUCUUGGAUUAACUAGUAAAGAUGCUUACAUGUGUUCGAGUCGUGGAAACAGCUUCUAGAAGAAAUACAAGGUAAGGUUGCAUACAAUAGACCCUUGUGGUCCAGUCCUUUCCCAGACCUCGCACAUUAUAGGAGCUUUAGUGCAUCGGGCUGCUGUUUGACUGGUAAAGUUAUCUCAUGUUUUUUGGAUGAGCAAAGAAGAAAAAUAGUGCUGGUAUUCUAUUCAUGAAGCCUGUGCACCCUUUUCAUCAGAUUUAGUUGGCAAUGAGAGAUUGUGUUUGUGCACAAACUUGCUUGUUGGUAAAUAGUCUUCUUACUCUUGUCGCAGUCACAAAAGUUGUGUAUUAAAAUAGUUGAGUUAGACGAACCACGUCCUACAUGUGUGUGCACAAAAACAAGAAGACACUCUAAUAGUUUAGUUAGAUGAAUGAAGAAGAUACUCGAAGUUGGAAGAAUACACAAGCACCGAGCUACAAGUCUGAUGACCCAAGAACGGGAUUCUCUAAAAAGCCAAGGUCGUGGGUGGCCAAUAGAGCCCCACUUGGAAACUUGAAAUGCUGAGGUUAAUGCCAAAUGUCUACCUUAUAAUGUUAGAAAGCUAAACCAUUCACCACAGAGCAAUCACAAAACAAUGCUACAUUAUUCUACAUGAUUGUUGACACAAUUCUAUUUCCAAACCAUAUUCCCCAUGAAUUUUAAUCCAGCGACACCCCUUAUCUCCACAUCAACCAAUAGUGCUUGAUAAUCAUCCCAUCCAAAAGAGAGAUAGUUUUAAGUAUAUGGGGUAUAUGACUCAGGAAAGUGGUGUGGUUGAUGAGGAUGUCACUCAUCGGAUUGGGGUAGGGUAGAUGAAAUGGAGGCUUGCUUCCGAAAUCUUGUGUGACACAAAGGUACCUCCUAAACUCAAAGGCAAGUUCUACAGAAUGGUGGUUAGACCGACUUUGUUGUAUGGGAUGAAACGUUGUUGAAGCUUUAAGUUGUACUUACUGUUGGCUUUGGGCCUACGCUCACACAACUUUAAAAUGUGUCACAAGGGUCUUAGGCUUGCUUCUUAAUGUACCAACAAUCAAAAACUUCAUUCCAAGGUCUCAUGCCCCAGAACUACGAGCCUCCGUAUGAUUUGAUUUACCCCAAGUGGGUUAAGCUAGUCAUCACUAAAAGUAAAAGGUUCUACUCCAAUGGCAAGGAUAGAACAGCUCUCCCCAACGUGGGCAAGACGUUGGAAUCCAUGUAGCUCACAUGGUUUAUGUCGGUUAGAAGAAACUCUCAAGUUUCCUAGAGUCUCAAGUCUUAAAGUUAUUAAGAUUUUAAGUCCUUGAGUGUCAAAGAAGUUCCUUGUUUUCAAAAGACUAAAGUGCAUGUUCUAAAAGUUGUUGUUUUAAGAGUUGAACUAGUUUACAAUCUUGAAAUCAAAGAAAGAAUACAGAUUUAGAAUAAAGUGUAAUGGCUCACGUGAAUUAUACUACAUGUUUCAUUAUUCAUGAUUUAUGAGAGUUUUAUUCAAGCUAUGCGAGUCACCUACAAAACCAUGUAUGUUUUCCAUAAAGAUUUAUUGUAUUGAUAUUUAGUUCCAUACACCCCCAUAUACUCAGUACAUUACCAAGUGCUGAUCCACAUAUACCUUUGUGUGCUACAUUGUCUCAUAAUGUAGGUUCAGGUGCUCAGUCCCAACAGCGUCUCUGUUUCAAGACUUACAACAAGGUUUAGGAUUAGGGGGUAUGUUUCUGGGUGAAGUGACUCAUUGAAACUUGACACUCCUUGCCUUAGCAUAUUUUCACCCUCAAUCUGCUACUUAUGUCCUUUUUUUUUUUUUUUUGACAUUAGCCACCCUCAACAUAUAUGCAGCUACAACAUAUAUGCAGAUCACCAAAUACAAAAAACAAACCAAUGAAGAAAAUAAUAGGCCGACAAACAACAGACCAUAGAUCUCUAGAAAAUUAUCCAAUUUGCAAUAAAGUUUGAAACUUUGUCAAGCAUAACUAUCAAUUUGGAGCGGAAAAAGGUGCCACAAUAGAAACUUCUCUGUAAAAACAGAAAAUAUAUGAGUGAAACAUCUGCAGCGGUUACUGAAACAAAAAAAAAAAAAAGAAGCUUCAAUUGUUAUGAACCUAAGGAACAAAUAUGCUACCAGUGGAGCAAUGAACCGAAUGAUGGUGAUAAUACUUUUAAUUAGAAAAAUAUAAGGCAAGAAAAGGAGUCAAUUAUGUGUUGUGCUGCUAAGUGUGUAGUUCUCACCUCCGAUUUUUCAGACAUCUCAUCCACUUCUUUUUUAUUAUUUUCAAACUUGAAUCCAUGACCACUGAUUACAAUGCGGAUAAAGAGUUAAACUGUAUGUGUAAAUCAGAAAUUAGUAUAAAUAAACAUUCAAAAUUAUUUUAAAAUAACAACAGAAAGAUAUAAAGAAAAAAUGAAACCUUGAUAAUUAUGUGGAAUUUGAUGUUAUCAUAAUACAAUGUAGAAGCAAUACUAUACAAAUAGUUAGAUUGUGAAAAAACUAAAAGAAAAGUAAAAGUAAAAGAAAGAAGCAGUUGAAGUCGUAAAGUGUAAAUGAACCAUUGAAAAUUUCAACCAACCACUUCACUCUCAAAUGUAUUUUUCCAGAAUGUGAAUCCUGAACUUGGUUAUGUCAAUUUUCUGUUGAAUGCCUCUCAACAUUGAGAGUCUUGCCAUUAAAUAGAAUGUAUUCAAAGACUACAUCCCUAAAGAUCCGUCUUCCUAUCGUAAAGACUCUUCCCGCAAUUAGUUUUGUAUCAUUAUUGAGAAAUGAAAGAUUUCAUUGAGAUAAACUAUCACUGUUUAUAUACUUGCAUUUGAAAAUAUUAAUCACAUCAUCCAUAACCAAUACUCCUACAAAACCAUACCACUACAUAAAGAGCAGCCGCAAGAUAGAUCAACCAUCCUUUAAUUCGCACGAUAAAAAUUAUUCUUACAACUGAUCUUUGUAUAUCUUGAGAACAUGAAUAUUGACCUAUAAAGCUCAUUAUAGGAACAAAUCAUCAUUCUGCAAACUGGACAUCUGUACUAUAUUUCCAUAACUAUCAAGAGCACCCUUAAAAAAAACAAAUCAAGAAAAACAUCAUAAAAUGAAAUCUUGUUCAAUUAGUCAAUGAGUGAGGAAGAUAUUAUUGAACAAACUCAAGAAUUUACUGUAAAGAAUCAUGUUGUUGUACACUGAGCUCCAUAAAAUAAUCUUUUGCAAAAGGAGAAGAGUCUUUUUUUAUGACAAAUAAUAUAUGGAUACAUAUAAAUAAAGCAACUUAAAAUUCAUUUUCGUCAAUGAAUAACUUCAUUUACACAGAUUUCAAUGAUAUUCACAACCUAUAGUUAUGCAAACCAACCUUAGCACAUGGAAAAAUGCCAUUCAAAUCUUAAACAAUUACACCCAUAAACUCGUGAAGAUGAUCAAAUUCUAACAUUACAACUUUCUUCGAUCUUCUCAUCCAUAACACUGGAUAAUAUGUAUCAAAAGAAAUCCUUAAUACAAUAGUUUUAAAACUAAUUCAAAAAUUGUGAAAACUUGAACCUCAAAAUUCACUGUCCCAUGUCUUUUACUGAAAAACAAAAAAGUUUGGAUACAACCAAAUCGUUGGAGUUUGAGAUCCUCUAUGUGGCAAGAGUCAAUUCAAGAAGUACCCACCAAAGAGUUGUAGAAUAAAAAACUAAUACAAUAAUUGAAUGAAUAAAUGAAAAUGAAUCUAAGUCUGCAUCAUAUGCAUGUUAAAUCAAAAGCUAAAACUAUAAAUAAUAUGUCUGUAGAUACAAACAAAUACAAAUAACGGAAAAGUUGAAAAACCUAAUAACAGAAGCUAUAACUUAAUAGAGGAGAAAAUUAUAGAAUGUACUAUUUACUUGAAGUGCUUGGACAUCGGAAUGGGCAAAAAGAUAUUCUGAUCAAUUUUGAAACUUUUGUGAGAGAGGUUCAUGUAAUAUUAAGAGUGAUACCUAAAAAUGUCUUCUCGAAUCAUAUGUCAUCCUCUUCCUUCAAGAAGAAAAGGAUAAGACAAUUUUAUUUUUAUCACGAUAGACACUUGAAUAUCAAAUAAUCAUAACCUCUUUCAUUUGAGAAUGAGAGUUGAGAAUGAAUGAUCUUUUCGAUACACAAAUACAAUGGUAAGAGUUUAAUGCCCAAAAAACGUGACUUUUAGGAAGACAAAAAAAAAAAAGGCAAGGUUUGUUUCUUUAAUGGACACAAUUUUUGGACUUCUUCAUGAAUUUUUUAUGCUAGCUGAAUAAUAAGUUCUUGUAUGAAUUCUUUAUCCGUUAUUUGAAAGAUUUAAACUAUGUGAUGCUAUUCAGUAAAUAAUUUCAAGAAAAAAAAAGAGACAGAGAGAUAUGUACCAGAAGAUUGAACUUGGCUUGUCUUGCCUUUGGGAAUAUCCAAAGACACUCUGAACAGUUCUUGUAGUACGGUUAAGUUUCAUACUACCUCCUCUAUCCACUACCCAAAUAUUUCUCCAAGUAAAAUAAUUUUUCUAAAUCAAAUCAUUGAAAUACAUUUGUUUAUUCUGCAUUACAAUUUACCUGUAUGUUAUUGUUUAUUGUUCACUGGGAAAAAUUGAAGUUGCAUUUUGAAUGUCUCUUAUGUUUAAAUGUGAAAAACGUACAUAUGAUGGGAAGUUAACAAAAUAACAAAUAUACAAUUGGCCAUCAUCCAACACUUAGCAUGAAUAACAUGAGAAUAAUUCCAACAUUUUAUCAUCUGAAGUGGCUAAUAUACAACUUGUUUAUUUUAGUUGAAAUAAGAUUAUGAAAUCAACAACGGACUUAAAGUAGAAUUCUGAAACAAUUAGGAUCUAAAUUUCUCAAUAGACAAUAGUAUCAAGUGAAAAUGGUAAAAUAAACCUUCACGUCUCUAAUCAAAAUUGAUGUGUUGAAACCGGGUUGAUCGAUGUCAAUUGCUGCUUCGAUUUGAGGGGAAAGUGGAGUAGAAAGGUAUUCAAACGGUUAUGUAUGCAACUACCAAAAACCAAUAAGAGAGAAUCCAAAAAGCACAAGUGAGAAAGUUCUUGAUAACCAAUCCAAUUCUCUUCCAUCAUGUCCUCUCAGUGCAUUGUUUUAUCUAUCAUCAAUGGUUUAUAUUAAUGAUAACCACCGAAUUUCAAUAUGAAUUAUGUAAAAAAAAUAUAUGAACAUCUAAAUAUUUUAGAAUGGGAAAAAUGGAUGGAAUCUAAGAAAAAGAACAAUUUGUUUUCCAUGAAUUAUGAAUUUGACCACUGAUAACCAUACAAUCUUCAUCGGAUUAUUAAUCUGCACAUGGUGAUGUCGAUUUUAUUUUGAUUUGUACAUGAAGAUGAAGAUUUGCUUACAAUUUGAAACCACUGAUGACCAUACAAACUUCCUCGGAUCUGCACAUGUUGAUGUGGAUUUUCUUUUGAUUUGUACAUGAAGACGGAGAUUUUCUUACAAUUUUAAAGCACUGAUAAGCCUACAAACUUCAACGGAUUAUUGAUCUGCACAUGGUGAUGUAGAUUUACUUUUGAUUUGUACAUGAAGAUAGAGAUUUGCUAAUAAUUUGAAGAGAAAUAUUGAGUGGAAGUAGUGGACUUCUGCCACUAUACUCACUUUAAAUUUUAAGAUUUGAAUUCAAAAGUUGUAUAGUGGAAUUCGUGGAUCAGAUAGGCUUAAUAUAUAUUGUCAUAGUUUUAAUUUAAACAAAAUAAUUGGUGAUAGUUAAUUUUUAAAUUAUAAAAAAUAAAUAAUAAAUAUAUGUAAGACAAAUGACUAAUUCAGAGGAUGCCACUUGACUUAUUGAGGAGGCUGCAUCCUCUCUUAUUAAUAAUAGAAGAUAGAUAAGGUGUAUUACAAUAAGAGCAAUGUAUAAAAGUAAGUACUUAAUAAGAUGUAUGAUACAACAAAUACAUGUAUUAUUUCUCUUAUAGAUUGAUUGGUGACAAAUGAGCUGUAUCAAUUACUUUGCUGUCUUGGUCUUCUAUGGGCUGUGUAGACUGUAGUCCUUUCCACUAUUUUUCAAUAACCCAAUAGUCAAUAUAGAUGGUUGCAUUCCUCCAUUUCAAUUUAAGUGUCUUAAUUUGAUACAGCACGGCGUUUAAAAAAUAAAAAGGAGAUUUUUGAAUAGUCAAAAAAACCCACUCUAUUAUGAAGUCUUAAGUCUUUGUCUUGUUGAAUGAAAAGUCAAACUUUUUUGGUAAUAGUAGAUUGUAGUUAAUAAUAGCAAACAUAGUUGUACCAAUUACAAGUAAGAACACUAACAAAAGAGAGAGGGAGAGAAAUCACUGAUCAUUCUUGUUUGCAAUUUACUCUUAUCAUUCAACAGGUAAAAUAAAGUUGUUAAUAUUUGAUUUGAAGAUAGAAACAUUUAUCUUCUCAAAAUUCUUAAAAUCAUUUUUGUGGUUCCUUGUUUUGCUUUGUAGAUUUCAAAAAUGGAUAUUGGCUUAGCAGUUGGUGGUGCAUUUCUCUCUUCAGCUUCGAAUGUUCUCUUUGAUAGGCUUGAUCUUCAUGGUGAUCUUCUCAAGAUGUUUCAGAAACAUAAGCUUGAUGUUGGGCUUUUAGAGAAGUUGGAGGACAUUUUGCUUGGUCUUCAGAUUGUGCUAAGUGAUGCAGAGAAUAAGAAGGCAUCAAAUCCACUCGUGAGGAAGUGGAUGAAUAAGCUUCAGCGUGCUGUGGACGGCGCUGAAAACUUCUUGGAAGAAGUCAAUUACGAGGCUUUGAGGCUUAAGGUGGAAAGUCAGCAUCCAAAUCUUGCAGAAACUAGUAACCAGCAAGUAAGUGACCUCAACCUGAACUUGAGUGAUGAUUUCUUGAGCGAAGUUAGAAGUAUUUCUAUUCGGAUAAGAAACUAGAAAUUAGAACACUUUCAACUUCUUUGGUUGAUGAAUCUGAAAUCUUUGGUAGGGAGAUUGAAAUUGAGCGAUUGAUUGACCGUUUAUUGUCUAAUGAUGCAAAUGGAAAAAAUCUGAUUGUGGUCCCUAUUGUUGGAAUGGGGGGCGUGGGCAAGACAACACUUGCCAAAGCAGUUUACAAUGAUAAGGAGGUGAAAGACCAUUUUGAUUUGAAAGCUUGGUUUUGUGUUUCUGAGACAUAUGAUGCUUUAAGAAUAACAAAAGGUUUACUUCAAGAAAUUGGCUCAUUUAACUUGAAGGUUGAUGACAAUCUUAAUCAGCUACAAGUCAAAUUGAAGGAAAGACUAAUGGAAAAAAGUUUCUCAUUGUUCUGGAUGAUGUGUGGAAUGACAACUACAACGAGUGGGAUGACUUGAGGAAUAUUUUUGUUCAAGGAGAUAAUGGAAGUAAGAUCAUUGUGACGACACGUAAAGAGAGUGUUGCCUUGAUGAUGCGAACUGAGCAAAUUAGCAUGGACACCUUGUCUAUAUAUGACUCUUGGUCUUUAUUUAAAAGACAUGCAUUUGAAAACAUGGAUCCUAUGGGACACCCAUAACUUGAAGAGGUUGGAAAACAAAUUGUAGCUAAGUGCAAAGGACUGCCCUUAGCUCUGAAGACGCUUGCUGUCUUGUUACGCUCCGAAACAGAGGUUGAAGGGUGGAGACGUAUUUUGAGAAGUGAAAUAUGGGACCUGUCGAACAAUGACAUAUUACCAACGUUGAUGUUGAGCUACAAUGAACUUCCCCCACAUCUAAAGCCAUGUUUUUCCUAUUGUGCAAUAUUUCCUAAAGAUUAUCCAUUUAGAAAAGAACAAGUUAUUCAUCUGUGGAUUGCUAAUGGUCUUGUAGUACCUCGGAGAGAUGAAGGAAAUAAAGAUUUAGGCAACCAAUACUUUAACGAGUUGAGAUCAAGAUCAUUGUUCGAAAGGGUCUCAGAGUUUUCUGAAAGAGAUGGAGGGAAAUUCUUAAUGCAUGAUCUGGUCAAUGAUUUAGCCCAAAUUGCAUCUUCAAAACUCUGUGUCAGGUUGGAAGAGUGCAAAGAAUCUCAUAUGUUGAAUCAAAGUUGUCACAUGUCCUAUUCAAUGGGCAAAGGUGUUGACUUUGAGAAAUUGACACCCGUCAACAAAUUGGAGAAGCUGAGGACAUUGAUUCCAGUCAAUAUCCAACACAAUCGUUGAUAUCCUCUAAGCAAGAGGGUGCUGCAUAACAUACUGCCAAGGCUAACAUCUUUAAGGGCAUUAUCAUUGUCUUAUUACACGAUUAAGGAGUUGCCAGAUGCUUUGUUUAUCAAAGUAAAGCUCCUGAGACUUUUGGACCUUUCUAGGACAGAUAUUACAAAAUUACCCGAUUCUAUCUGUGCAUUGUAUAACUUGGAGACCCUUCUCCUGUCAUCUUGUACAUAUCUUGAGUUGCUACUGGUGCAGAUGGAAAAGUUGAUCAACUUGCGUCUUCUUGACAUUAGAAACACUUCUUGCUUGAAGACACUGUUACAUCUGCGCAAAUUGAAAAGCCUCCAAGUGCUGGUGGGAGCUGAAUUUCUUUUAGGUGGCCCCUGUGGUUGGAGAAAGGAAGAUUUGAGUGAAGCACAUUACUUGUAUGGAUCUCUGUCAAUUUUAGAGUUGCAAAAUGUGGUUGAUAGAAGGGAAGCUCCGAAGGCAAACAUGAGGGAGAAGAAUCAUGUUGAAAAGUUAUCGUUGGAGUGGAGUGAAAGUGAUGCUGACAAUUCACAAACUGAAAGAGACAUACUUGAUGAGCUACGCCCACACACAAACAUAAAAGAACUCCAAAUCUGCAGAUACAGAGGGACACGAUUACCAAAUUGGCUAGCUGAUCAUUUGUUUCUUAAUCUGCUAGUACAAUUGUCUCUUAUCAACUGCAAGGACUGUUUUUCCUUGCCAGCACUAGGACAACUUCCUUCUUUGAAAUUCCUUUCCAUUAGAGAUAUGCAUCGAAUAACAGAGGUGACGGAAGAAUUCUGUGGUAGUUCGUCCUACAAAAAGUCUUUUAACUCUCUUGAGAAGCUUGAAUUUGCAGAGAUGCCAAAGUGGAAGCAGUGGCACGUACUAGGGAAUGGAGAGUUCCCUACACUUCAGAACCUUUCAAUUGAAGAUUGCCCCAAGUUGAUUGGGAAGUUUCCUGAAAAUCUUUGUUCUCUGACAAAAUUGAGAAUUUCAAGAUGUCCUAAACUCAAUUUGGAGACACCCAUCCAACUUUCAAGUCUAAAAAAGUUUGAAGUUGAUGGUUCUCUUAAGGCUGGAGUUGUUUUUGAUGAAGCUGAACUGUUUACAUCCCAACUUCAGGGAAUGAAGCAGAUUGAGGAAUUAUCUAUUGGUAAUUGCAACUCUCUUACCUCGUUGCCUACUAGCACUCUACCGAGUACCUUGAAGACAAUAACGAUAUGUUGUUGCCGGAAAUUGAAAUUGGACACUUCAGUUGGUGAUAGAUUGACAUUAACAAGUUGUGAGUUGGUCCCAAGGGCAUGCUAUUUGUAUGUAAAUAGUUGUCCAAACCUUACUAGGUUUUUUAUUCCUAAUGGGACUGAAAGACUCGAUAUAAGUUGUUGUGAGAAUCUUGAACUACUUUCGGUGGCAUGGGGGACCCAAAUAACCUCAUUAUUUAUUUACGAAUGCGAAAAGCUGAAGCGGCUGCCACAACGUAUGCAGGAACUCCUUCCCUCUCUUAAGGGACUGCAACUGUGGAAUUUUCCAGAAAUUGAGUCCUUUCCUGAUGGGGGAUUGCCCUUCAAUUUACAACUCCUUGUGAUCGACGAUUGCAAGAAACUGGUGAACGGCCGAAAGGAGUGGCAUUUACAGAGACUCCCCUCUCUGAGAGAGUUGUACAUCAUCCACGACAGUGAUGAAGAGAUUGUUGGUGGUGAGAAUUGGGAGUUGCCAUGCUCUAUUCGAAGGCUUACCAUAGACAAUCUGACAACAUUUAGCAGCCAAGCUCUCAAAAGCCUCACCUCUCUUGAAUAUCUACGUACUUGUAGUUUACCUCAAAUUCAGUCACUCCUGGAACAAGGGCUUCCCUCCUCUCUUUCUAAGCUAUAUUUAUCUGACCAUGAUGAGCUCCAUUCCCUACCGACCGAAGCUCUUGGGCACCUCACUUCGCUUCAAAGUCUAGAGAUCAGCAAUUGUCAUCAACUCCAAUCACUUCCCGAAUCAGAGCUGCCCUCCUCCCUCUCUAAGCUGACCAUCUACAAUUGCCCUAACCUCUAGUCCCUUCCGGUAAAAUGGAUCACCUCUUCCCUGCCAAAACUAUCUAUUCGCAACUCCCCAUUGCUCAAACCACUCCUAGAAUUUGACAAGGGAGAGUACUGGUCAAAAAUUUCUCAUAUCCCAGAAAUAUAUAUCGAUGACGAAGUCAUGUGAUGAUUAAAACAAAUUGCGCUCUGACAGAUGUAAGUUAUUCUUUCCCCCCACUAGUUUAUUUUUUUUCCCUUACUUCCCAUUGCUUGUCUCUUCAUUAUUUUCCUUUUUUAAAUCUUUAGGAAAAUAGAGCAAAGUGUCUAUCACCACUCUGAAGCCAAUGGAUUCUCAAGUAUUUUUGUGAAAUUAAAUUUAGGUGAUGUUUCAACAUGUGACUUUUAGGAAACAAAUUUCACUCUUUUUUUAAAAAAAAAAAAAAAAAAAAAAAAAAAAAAAAAUAAUUUUUUAUGUCCUUGGGAUCGACAAUUGCGAGAAACUGGUGAACGAGACUCCCCUCUCUCAGAGAGUUGUACAUCAUCCACAAUGGCAGUGAUGAAGAGAUUGUUGGUGGUGAGAUUUGAGAGUUGCCUUGCUCUAUUCAAAGACAAUCUGAAAACAUUAAGCCAAGUUCUCAACAGCCUCACCUCUCUUGAAUGUCUAUAUAUUGGUAAUUUACCUCAAAUUCAGUCACUACUGGAACAAAGGCUUCUCUCCUCUCUUUCUGAGCUGUCCAUCUGUCAUUGCCCUAAUCUCCAAUCACUUCCCGAAUCAGCAUUUCCCUCCUCCAUCUCUAAGCUGACCAUCGAGGAUUGCCGUAAUCUCCAAUGCCUUCCAGUAAAAGGGAUGCCCUCCUCCCUCUCUAGACUAUCUAUUUGCAAAUGACAAUGCUCAAACCACUUAUAGAAUUUGACAAGGGGGAGUACUGGCCAGAAAUUGCUCAUAUUCCUGAAAUAUAUAUCAGUGUUGCAAUAUUACGUCGAAUGCCUGUGAUGAUUAAUAAAAAAGAAGCUCCCACAGAUGUAAGUUUUUGUUUUUCCUCAGUAGCUUUUUAGUUUUGUUUAUUACUCCCCAUUGCUUGUUUGUUAAUUAUUUUUCCUUGUUAAGCUAUUGGGUAAAGUUUUGUGUUUCUGAAACAUGUUUCACUUUUUGUUAAAGAAGUGAUAAAAUAUAAGCUUAUAAGCUUUAACCACUACUUGACUUAACAAGAAUGAAACAAUUGGAACAAUUAUAGUUAUGAGGAAUAAUUAUUGGAGUUUUUUAAAAAAAUAUAAAAGUUCGAGGAAAAUCCUAAGUUUUUAAAGUACCCAAAAACUAUAAUUUCUCCCAAAAAAUAUUACUUUUUCGUCCAAAGAUGAAGAUCGGCGACAGUUACCUUUGAAAACUUCUCCUUGCUUGUCUAUUAGCUUUUUUUCAGUUUGUUGAUCCAUUUAUUAUUGCAGGAGUUGUUCAAUCAAUUUGCAGAAAAACUACGAAGUGCACAAAUGCUUGAAGAAUGAAAUCUUUAUUUCACAAUCAGGUAGUAUGUGUUGCCCAUUCCUUAUUAUAAAGCUUGGAAAGCAAAGAUUUUGAAGGAAAAUUUUCAUACUAAGUUCUUUUUUCAAUCUUGUUGAGCAGCGUGUAGCGUCUAUUGCCACUGUGAAGCUGAAGAAGCAUCUUGAGAUCAGCAUGAAAAAUGACAAAAAAGGUAACAUGUUGCAACUACAGAAAUUCUUAUACAUCGUGAGAAAAAAAGACUAAUUUAGGUAGGAAACAGGAGUAAUAAUUUUAUCUAGGAAAGUUCAUAGCAAAAUGUAAUAUAAACAAAUUAGAAGCCUUUUUAUCAUUCACAAUGCGUUGAUAUGUCAACCCCGGAUGUAUAAGACUUUUGAAAUAUGAGUCAUUUUUCAUUUGAAAAAGCUAGAGAUGAAAUAGACGUACCGCUGUGAAUAUGCCUGCCUAUGCAUUACUUGAAGUUUCAUCAAAUAACUCUUGUUUUACCCCUUGAUCUCCAGUUACUUGAGUAAGGAGGAUGCAGUUUAGAACUGCACAUGUUCAACCUUGUGCUUUGAUAACAUUUAGAAUCUUAUCAUCCUCCGGAAAUGCAGUCUCUCUAAAGUCUACUAGAAUAUCCAAGGUACAUGUGGAAGAAAAUUCUGGUUCCUAUAUAUCAAAAAUAAGCAAGGUUGUUUCCAGAUAAUUCAGCGUCUAAAAGCAUCAGAACAAUGAAUUACCUGGCCUCAACUAUCGUUUAUCAGCGAGUUUUAAAUCUUCUUUUUUUCUUGAUCAGGAUUUUGGUAACAAUAUGUUCUUAGCUCAUUGGUGAAAGGAAAGUAAACUUCCUUCGUUGUGAAUUGGCAGCUAAUUCAUGAAUGUAAGUGUAGUUUUGCCUAAAUCGAAGUAACAGACUGUCCUUUUCACCAUUCAUGUAAUGCUAAAUUUUUUCGCUGUUUUACAUUUUUUCUCUUUGCUUGAAGUUUCAAUGCCAUAGCAAUUCUUGUACUCUUGAAGUUUCCUUGAGCAAGGAAGAGGUGUUCUGGGGUAAAUAUCCAUUCAGUGUCGAUAAAGGUCUUCCUUCAUCCCUCUACAUUCUGGCAAUCAUUAAUUUCUCUAUCUCUGAAUUAUGUAUGGACAACGUCCUUUGCUUGAACCAUGUGAGGACUAGGAACAGCACUUACACUUCGGAUAACCUUCCAGUUAAUUUAAAAAAUUUCUCCUUGCUUGUUUAUUAGCUAGUUUCAGUUCAUUGUUAUCAUUGCAGGAGUUGCUCAAUCAGUUUGCGGAAUCAUUUGGAAGGGCAUGAAUUCUCGGAAAAAAUUAACACUUCGGAUAACCUUCAGUUCUUGAUUAAUCGUUAAAGAGAUGAAUUAACAGCUUGCUCCCUUGACGUUGCGCUGUUCUUCUAGCUUCGUCAGCAUUAAAAAUUGCUUAUGAGGUAUAUAUGACAUAUUAAAAUUACUAUACUUGGAAUUCUGUUAAUUAGAAUCCAUUUUUGUAGUGAAAUAAAACGAUCAUAUUUCGUUACUUGUCUAGAGGAAUUAUUCAUUUUUAGCUAUAGACACAUGGUUGAAGGGGAGUCUUGGAGUAAAUAGUAAAAUUAUUGUCAUGUAAUCAAGAGGUCACGAGUUCAAGCUGUCACACCCCUUUUUCAACUCCCAAAAAAGAUUGAUUUUAAGUUCGAAAGGGUUAUUAUUAUUAAAGUGACAAAAUGAUUUAAAAAAAUUUCCGAAAAAGAUUAUUUAUUCAAAACUCAGAGUCGCCACUUGACAUAAUCCGGUGUGCCAAGUCACCUUUGAAAGAUCCUUUUCAAAACAGUUUGACUCUAAAAACUGAUCUGUGAACAGAGAUUCCGGCUAAGGAAUUCCUUAGCCGGAAUCUCUGUUGACCGAAAGGAAGGUGUUAGGCACCCCUCAAUCGCUUGAUUUGACCACAGCCGCUUGGUGGAGCAUAUCGGCUAAUUUGACACUACGAAUGUACAAACCACACAAAAACACGUAAAACAAUCAAACAAACAAACAAAACAAAAUGAAUAAAAAAUAUAGUGUCCAGUCCAACUAUACAGUCCCAAAUAAUGAAAAAUAUGAAAAUGUAAACCCAUUCUAUUCCAAACUAUCCCUAAACUACUCCUGAAUUAAGCUUCACCCGACGUUUCAGGCCUUGACCGGCAAAUGAACACGAAUACCUCGGGGCAUUCCCUGACCAAAUGAAUAUAUCUGAGAUAACUAGAAAAACGUUCAAAACAUAUAUCUAAACAUUCAACGCAUGCAAUCAACACAUCACUCCUAAAUUUUACCUACCCGAACCUAAAUAUUCUCCACUCUGUUGUGCGUAUUCCCCCUUGGAGAAGAUGAACUUUCUCUUUCUGCCCCCUUCUCUGUGGGUCCCCCUUUCCCCCUUUUUGUUUUAUAUUCUGUUAUAGACCCCAAAAAGGAAAAAUAUGAGGGGAAAUGGGUGGGGUGACGUGGGGAGUAGGGUAGGUUGUUAGGAUAAAGUUUGUUAGGAUAAGGUUAGGGAUUUAAUUUGUUAGAGAUUUUGUUAAGGGUUGUUAUUUUUGUAUUUUUGUGGGAUAUAAUUAUACGGAUGAGGACACGUAGUAAUACGGAGGUAAAAUGGUAAAAAUGCUGUCGGGGAGGGACAAAAUUAGGUGUCUACAUCAUGCCCCCUUUGAAUGUAAAUACGAAGUAUUUUCAGACAAAGAAGUAGACAACGAGACAGAAUUUUGUCCCGACCAUUAUUCAAAAAUGAAACAGAAAGAAGGAGGGAGACCAAGUCUUGAUUUAGGACAUCCUAUCUACCCAAGUUAUGAGGGAAUCAAGUCAUGAGUAUCUUAAAGGAUUGGAAAGAGAAGGACUAUACCGAGUUGGAGAGUCGAGUGAGGCUCCAUCGAGGUUUCGGUCCGCGGCUCUGUCAUUACAUCAAAAAAUGAAAAUUACAAGUUAAAAACAUAAAUGAAAUUAAAAAAAACUCUAUCUAUGCAGAUUUCCUUGAUUCUUGACUUGCUACUUCAUCACCCUAUUCUUCAGGUAGGCUCCUGACUUGCAAUUUCUUCACCCUGUUCUUCAGAUGGGCUCCUGACUUGCAAUUUCAUCACUCUAUUUUUUGGGCGAGCUCCCGACUUACAAUUUCAUCACUUGUUGCUUGGUUUUCAAUUUUUUCACCCUAUUUUUCAGACGGGUUCCUGACUUGCUAUUUUUUGAUUUGUUGACUUUUAAUUUCUUCACCUUAUUGCUUGACUUUCAACUUUUUCACCAUGUUGCUUGACUUUUCAUUUAUUCGGCCUGUUCUUCAGGCGGGCUCCUGAAAUCACAUCAAAACUAAAAAAAAAAAUUAUCCCAAACAAAGAUUAUUAUAAAGAGAUUUCAUUUGCCAGGAAAGCAAAGUUCCAAACACAAGAUUUAAAUUUUGCCCUAGUUUCUCAUCAAAGGACUUUUGGGAAAGUCACAUCAUUAUAGGAAUCAAAGGGAAUGACUCGACUAAAAGAUACAUCUUAUAGGAAUCAAAGGGAAUGACUCGACUAAAAGGUACGUCUUAUAGGAAUCAAGGGAAAUGACUCGACUAAAAGGUAUGUCUUCUAGGGGUCAAGGGGAAUGACUCGACUAAAAGGUACGUCUUAUAGGAAUCAAAGAGGAAUGACUCGACUAAAAGGUAUGUCUUAUAGGAAUCAAAGAGGAAUGACUCGACUAAAAGGUAUGUCUUAUAGGAAUCAAGGGGAAUGAGUCGACUGAAAGGUACAUCUUAUAGGAAUAAAAGGGAAUGACUCGACUUAAAGGUACGUCUUAUAGGAAUCAAGGAAUGACUCGACUAAAAGGUACGUCUUAUAGGAAUCAAAGGGAAUGACUUAACUAAACGGUACAUCUUAUAGGGGUCAAGGAAUGACUCAACUAGAAGGUACGUCUCCUAGGAGUGAGGUUCAAUUUAAGAAGUAUAUCACCUAGCAAAUGAAAACUGAAAUUCCUGGACAAGAAAGUGUGUCUCCGAGGAAUAUAGGAUGAUGAUUUUUUACCAUGAUUUGAUUAUCAAACCUGUGCAGCAACUUUGCUUCCUGCAUUUGUAGAAGUGAGGCAUUGCAACCCUUGAUAUUUAUGCUCUAAAGUCCUUUCUUUGAAGGUAAUAUGUUUCCUAUUUCAUCAAAGAAAACUUGUGAGUUUAAAACAUGGUGGCUGGUUUGUGGCUUUAGCUUUCGCGGCGAUCGCGCUUGCCCUCGUCACAUUUAACCUUGCUUCCAACCAUUAGCAUAUAUCAUUGACUUGCUGAAUCAUUGACCCGAACUUAGAUUAUUAAGAGUGACUAAAACAAACACGGUAUCACUACUUUGCCAUGCUUCUCAAAUAGACCCUUUGAAUCUUGGUAUUUUCAUGAGUUCCCUGACUUCUCUUUUGACAAAAUUUUCUGCAUGCCCUUUUUUGGCUCACAAUCAUGUCUCUUUUAUGUGCUAGCUUUUGUCUUGCUUUGUGCAAUUAAAGAAGCUGGUAGCCAGUUUUGAAAUCUUUUUUUUCUUGUUUUGACACGGACUUGACUCAAAGACAAGAAAAGAAAAAUGACAAUGACUUUUAUUAGGACAACUGACUCAAGAAAAUGAAAUAAAAAUAAAGAGAAGAAAGAAAAGACAAUGAAUGUCCCCAUUUGAAACAAAAAAAUAAAAAUUUAUCUAGAAAAGACAGUCAACUCUAAUGAUUAUGUCAUGCAUUUUGGAUUAAGCUGCCUGAUCUUUCCAUCCAAACUUCUACCAAUUGUUGUUGAGUUAAUGACCUUGAAAUUGAGUUGCUUUCUUAGGCCAAAUUCAUUCGGAAACCUCAUUCGGCUAGUGGCACCUUGAAGGGUUUUCGCCAACAAACCUGUUUCUUUGUCUCAGCUCACCAUUGUCUUAUGGUGCCCGUGAGAGUUUUCACCCAUAAGACUCUCAUUUUUAUUUCUCUCAACUUACCAUCAUCUUACGGUGCCCGUGAGGGUUUUCACCAAUAAGGCUCUCUUAUUUUAUUCCUCUCAUGAUUUCUUAGGCUGAGAAAGACAAGUAGUACCCAAAAUGCAUCAUCAUAUUCAUUGCAUACUUAGCCUUACCAUUCUCAAAUUAAUCUGAAGGUCUUUCUUUAGUUGCAACUUGACUUUUGGAUAAGGUUAGAAAGAAGGGAUGACAUGACCAAACGACACUUGAAGUGGUGUAGGACUUACAACUUUUGGAAUCGACUCAAACAAUGAAGUUUAACUCAUGCCCCAGUUUCUUUUGACUGGGUAAUUCUAAAUUGUUUAUUUAGUUGGACCGAGCUCAGAGUAGGACAACCUACGUAUCUCACCCCCGAGAGAGGAGAAUCAAGUCACGCAUAGUUCUGGCAACUUGUUCUUUUGCUUGAUUCUAAUUUUUUUUUUUGCUUUUCUCCUUUAUUGACUUUUUUUUCUCUUUGAAACUUUCUGACUCUAUGUUUCUCGACACUCUUCUUUUUACUUUCUUUUUGGACAUAUUUUCUUCUUCUUUUUCUUCUCUUUUUUUUUUGAAACUUUUCUGACUCGACUGUUUUGGUCGAUACUUUUUUUUUGAGCUUUGUUGACUCUAUCUACAUUCCAAAAGAGGGGUAUGAAAGAAAAUAACACUAAGGCUCAAAUGGGAUAAAUAAAGAAUGACACAAUAUUUGAAUAACAGAAUAAAAUGUCUUCGUCAUAUCAAUCUGUGAAAAUGCCAGUACAUAGCAUGCAAUGUGAAAGUACACGAUCAAUAUCACUUAUGACAUGUUUUACGACACUAACUUGCCCUGAGCAUAUGUGCCACCUCUUCUUCUACACUUGUCGAACAUACAACUCCACCUUUGUUGUGCAUCCCUCACAUUGAAUGACUUAUGCUUUCAUGGAGUUGAUUUUUGUUCUGUUCCUCGGGAGCACACAUCCGCUAUUUGACCUAAUUGAGCUAGGUUUUUCAAUUGAUGACCAAGUUAUUCUUGUGAUUCUCAAAAUAAUUUUCUUAAUUUUCGAAGAAGGCUUCAACUUAUCACAAAAUGUCUCAGCACUCCACCUAUUUUCUCAGAUGUUUUUCCUAACUUUAGCCCUCUGAUUCAAUGUUUCAUGGUUAAGUUGGAUUUUAAAAUUUGGCUGAAAAUUCCGCUAGCAUGUCAUAUCACUCAAAUCAACAUAAAAUGUACUGUAUAAAGAAAGCAAACAAACGACACAUAUUUAAACACAAAGGGAAAGGGAUAAUUCAUUUAGUUUAAAUAAAAGAUAGAAGGGUUUGAACAUAAACAACAAAGGGACAAAAGAAAAUAGAUCCUGAACUACAACUCUAAAAUAAUUCAAAAAACAGAAAAGAAGACAAAACAAACGACCAGACCUCUUCCUAGUAAGGAGAGGGGUGACUUCUUAAUUCUCAGCCUGACGACUUAGCCAUUGGUUUGCAUAUCAGCAUGACUAGAACUUCCCUCACUGUCAACGUUCUGCACCAUAAUUGAUCCAUCUUGAAUCAUCUUUUCAAUUUCUCUUUUCAAAUCUCGACAAUCUUCAAUACUAUGACCCUGAGCAUCAGAAUGAUACACACAUCGUAUAUUAGGAUUAAAAUUUCUUGAACGCCGAUUAAGAGUGCACCCAAGAAGAGGAGUGAUCAUGCCCCAUUGUACUAAUCUCUGAAAUAGACUGGCAUACGACUCUCCAAUUGGUGUGAAGCUAUCUCUCGAUUUUUACCUCAUUUCAUUAUUUGACUUGGAUCGAAAAUCAAGCUUAGAAGGGUUUUGGUAUGUUUGUGGAGUUAGAGGACGACUCUGAGGAGUUGGUGUGUUCCACUGUGGGUAAGAUGGGGGUUGAAUAUGAGGUGCGUUAUAUACUGGAUAUAGAGGUGGGGGAGCAGAGUAUAAUGGAUUUUGGGAGUGAUUAUGUGGAGCUUGGGCAUAAACUUGGGUUUGAUCCUGAGAGUGACGACAACGGGGUCUUCUUGACCGUGCCCGCUGUCCAACUACAAUAGAAGAUGCAACUUCCUAAUUCUUUGUCUCCCCAAUACUUCCUGAACCCUUUUAAAUUGCUUGUGUUGUCGCUUUCAAUGUUGCAAAACUCGCAAUGCGACCAGUCUUAAUUCCCUCUUCUAUCAUUUCCUCCAUUUUAAGGACCUCAAUAAAUGACUUGCCUAAUGCAAGUAACAAGAGUUUAUAAUAUGUUUCAUCCUGUGCUUAAAUAAACACCUCCACUAUUUUACUUUCUUUCAUUGGCGGUUUUACUCUAGUAGCUUGUUCGCGCCAUCUGAUCGCAUACUCCCUGAAACUCUUAGUAUUCUUCUUUUUUAUACUAUUUAGGGAUUUUUCGUCAGGGAUCAACUCCACAUUGUAUUGAAAUUGUUGCAUAAAUUCAUUAGCUAGGUCAUCCCAACUAAUCCACUUGUCAAUGUCUUGGUCAACAAACUAUUCCGAAGCUAGGCCUGAAAGACUCUCCCCGAAAUAAGCCAUCAGUAGUUCUUCCUUCCCUCCAGCGCCCCUUAAUUGGUUACAAUAGCACCUCAAAUGUGCCACUGGGUCCCCAUGUCCGUCAUACUUCUCAAACUUUGGCAUUUUAAAGCCAGGAGGAAGGUUGACACAUGGAAACAUGCAUAACUCCUUAUACGAGACACUUUUGUAACCCCCAAAUGCUUGCAAGUUCUUCAUAGCCAGUUCCAAACUUCUCAAUUUUCUGGUUAUUUUCUAUUGUUCUUCUGUCAUAACAGGCUUCUUAGUGUUAGGAGGAAAUUCAGGAGGGUGAGUGUCACCAUAAAGACCAGUUAACUUGAAUAUAGGCUCGAAAGUGUAACGCUGAUCACUAAUAAUAUUCAAUGCAGGCUCUCUUGUAGAGUAGAGAGCUCGUGGAUGAACAUCAAAAGUCGGAGCUUCAGGUAGGGGUGGCGCCGCAAAAGCAUGAACAACAGGUGGAGUCGAGUAUGGAUUGGGGAGUGAGGAAAUGAACAUUGGAAGUGGUUGGAUAUUGUUGCCCCAGAGUCGAUCCUGAUGCAUAUUGUGGCAUAUCAACAAAAAUGGAAAAUUGUGCAUGUGACACAGGAGGCAAGCCAGAAAGAUAUUCCAGAUUAUCAGUGGGAACUGGGGGGAGGUGGCAACCCAUUAGCCCAAGCUCGAUGCAUCUCUAUCAUUUGCUGCCUUCCUAAAUUCUCAUUUCUCGAAAUCCCUAUCUGAUUAGUGACAACAAACUCGGUAUCGUUGUUGGCCAUAACGUUCUCUGUGACUUGGUGCAAUAUGGAGGACCAGCCAAAAUGCCACAAACCAACCACCUUAAACUAACUGAACAAGAGAUAGCAAAUGUGUUAGUUAAACACUUUUCUCAAAAUCUUUUUUUUUCUUUUUGAAAAGGUCACCGAACCCAAGAAGGGCACCUACGUAUCUCAUAUCAAGAAAGAAGAGAAUCAGGUGUGCGUAGUUCGUGAAGUCUUGCCAAAAUGGCCGAUUAAACUCUUUUUUUUUCUUUUUCUUUUUCUUAAAAUUUUAAGAAACAAAGAAAAAUGACAAAUUGUCAAAAGAAUAUACAAAAAUCUUUUUGAAUUUUUCGGCUUUAAUAACCUAUACAAAAUGAAACCUAUGAUUACCAAAGAAACUCUUUUUGGGUUUUCAAUUUUGCAUUUCAUACCAAAAUGAAACUUGAACCUAUUAAAGGAAAAUCUUUUGUAGUUUUCUUUUAAAGAUGUAUAUGAAACACCUACUCUAAAUGAAGACUUAAGAAAAAAUCUUUUUGGAUUUUUGAAUAAGAUCCCCGAACCAACAAUAGGUUGCUAUUGUUGCCUACGUAUCUCACAUCCCGAAAGAGGAGAAUCAGGGGUGCGUAGUUCAUUCAGAUUGGACAAUUAAGGAUUAAAUAACAAACUGAACCCUGACUUGAGAGACACGACGAAAGACAAACGAUGAACAACGUCAAUAAAAUCUUUUUUGAGUUUUCAACUUGACGCUUCACACAAAAAUGACACCAAUAACUAUGAAAGAAAAAUCUUUUUGGUAUUUUCAUCAUAUCAGAUGUACAAAACUUCUACCAUCUUUUUAAACGUUUCUUUUAUAAAAAAACUCCUAUUGAAAUAAAUCUCUUUAAAGUUUUCGAAUUGUGAAUGAUUACCAAAGGAAAUAAAAAAUAAAAUAUUUUUGAUGUUAUUGAUUUUUUUAAAAAUGAGUGCAACACAUAAAAAAUCUUUUUUUGAAUUUUUAAAUUGUGGAAAAUAAAAAUCAUAAAGAACUUUAAAAAUUAAGAUUUUUUUUUGACUCACUCUUUCUUCUUUUUCCUCUCUUUUUUUGAUUUUCCCUCGCCUACACACUCGAUUAAUUCUAGCAAUUGUUUUCUCCAAAUUAGUCUGUCAAAUGACCACGUUACCCUUAGAGAUGCAACAUUUAGCACGUAGGGAUGCUUUAGAGGUGAGUAUACUACAAAGGGCCACGUGGGUCCCAUAGGCUCAAUAUGAUGCAGAUAAGCAUGACCUAAAGGCUGACCUACGUUGGGGUCCACUAACAAGGUUGUUCGGGGGAGCGUAUGGUCGAUAGUGGCUGCGAGAGCUUUCCACCCACUCCAUAACACCGACGGCUCCCCCUCCUAACAUAAGGGUGACUCAACUAGAGGUCGUGUACAACACGUGUACUACAAACUUGUUGCAGAAAGAAUGACUCGGGUUAUGCACAUAACCACUCAAUAAUGAUAAACAAUAACACAAAACAACACAAAUAAAUGUCCAUACACCUAUAGUGCCAAACUGAGCCAAUAAAACUCCAAAAUAAGCUCGAGAUUCUGGGUUCGAUCCCCAGCAGAGUUACCAGAGCUAUCACAUCCUUUUUUUUUUAACUCCAGAAAAGAUUGAUUUUAAGUUCUAAACAAUUUUUAUUAUUAAAGUGAUAAAAUGAUUAAAAUAAAUUCUGAAAAAGAUUAUUUACUCAAAACUCAGAGUCGCCACUUGACAUAAUCCGAUGUGUCAAGUCACCUUUGAAAGAUUCUUUUCAAAACAGUUUGACUCUAAAAACUGAUCUGUGAACAGAUAUUCCGGCUAAGGAAUUCUGCUGACCGAAGGGAAGGCGUUAGGCACCCCUCAAUCCCGUGAUUUGACUAUGGUCGCUUGGUGGAGCAUAUCGGUUAAUUUGACACUACGAAUGUACAAACCACACAAAAACACGUAAAACAAUCAAACAAACAAACAAAACAAAAUGAAUAAAAAAAUAUAGUGUCCAGUCCAACUAUACAGUCCCAAAUAAUGAAAAAUGCGAAAAUGUAAACCCAUUCUAUUCCAAACUAUCCUUAAAAUACUCCUGAAUAAAGCUUCACCCGACGUUUCGGGCUUUGACCGUGCGUUGUCUUCAAGUACAUGAUACUUCGGGGCAUUCCCGGCAAAUGAACACAAAUACCUCGGGGCAUUCUCCAGCCAAAUGAAUACAUCUGAGAUAAUUAGAAAAACGUUCAAAACAUAUAUCUAAACAUUCAAUGAAUUUAAUCAACACAUCAGUGCUAAAUUUUGCCUACCCGAACCUAAACAUUUGCCUAUCCCAUUCGAUCUAUCAUGACACUAUAGAAUUCACAAGCUUGAAAUUAAUUCCACAUUAAACAACAAGAAGACCAACAUUAAUCCAAAUUGACCCUUUUCAUCAAUCUCGAAAUUCCACCUCAAAUUUCUACAAUUCGCAAUUACCAAUUUAGCUAUCCUUAAUCAUUUUUUGAUUCACGAAAUUAAACAACAACUCAACAUCACUCAAAUUUCAUCAUCAAAAGCAUCAAUAUCGAUAAAAUCAAACAAUCAUAAUCAACAAACACCUAAUCACAUUCACAGCCAAUUCAUUCAACCAACCAAAUAAAGAAAAGGAGAUGGGUUAAAGAAAUGGACCUCAAUAUAAUGUUUUUGUCGAUAAUAAAGAAAUUCGAGACCGAAAUCUUCGAAAGGGAACCCCAACAACAAAACAAAACCAACUCGAAUUGGGAGAAAUCCAAACCCGAAACUGAAAUCGAACUUAAAUUCCAAAACUAGUACCGAGCUCGAUGAACCAAAACGGAAAUUGCAAUAAGAGAGUCAAUGAGUUCGAAAAUCCGGUGGACCCGUCGGAACAGGAACAGGAACAGUGAUUGGGUGUUUUCCGGUGGAUUUUGAACUGAAAAACGAGGACCCUUUGCUACUCCUGAGCUCCAGUAAGUUCGGCAGCAACUAGAAACGGAGAUGCGAUCUGUAGCGACAACGUUUCCGGUGAAAAACUCAGUCCAAAUUUCUCUCUCGCACGUUUUUUGUCUGCUUUUAACUCUCAACCUCAAAUCUCACUCUCUCCGGUUCGAUCCCCUCUUUCUCUCUGUUUUUCGCUCGAUCUCGCUUCACCCUCACCCAAUUUUCGUAUAAUCGCCUAUAUCUAUGGGUGUAUUUGAGAGAUGUACGCCUAUGGCAUAUUCUGUGUCUAUCUAGGUGUUGAUGGAUGGGUUAUUUUUCUUAUCAGUGAGUGUGAGGGUAUUUAUGUACUGUGAGAGGAAAUGGUCAGGGAGGCUUCUGUGUGUGUAUAUUGUAUUCUGUGAUGGCGCAGAAGAAAAGAAAAUUCUCCACUCUGUUGUGCGUAUUCCCCCUUGGAGAAGAUGAACUUUCUCUUUCUGCCCCCUUCUCUGUGGGUCCCCCUUUCCCCCUUUUUGUUUUAUAUUCUGUUAUGGACCCCAAAAAGGAAUAAUAUGAGGGGAAAUGGGUGGGGUGAUGUGGGGAGUAGUGUGGGUUGUUAGGAUAAAGUUUGUUAGGAUAAGGUUAGGGAUUUAAUUUGUUAGAGAUUUUUUUAAGGGUUGUUAUUUUUGUAUUUUCGUGGGAUAUAAUUAUACGGAUGAGGACACGUGGUAAUACGGAGGUAAAAUGGUAAAAAUGCUAUCGGGGAGGGACAAAAUUAGGUGUCUACACAAGCUUUGUAAACAACCUCUGGCAUAAGGUUGCGUACAAUGCACCCUUGUGGUGGGGCCUUUUGCUUUAGUGCACCGGGCUGCCUACUUUUUUUAGCUAUAGAUACAUGGUUGGUCUGUUACUGUAAUUCCUAAAAUGGCUAAAAGUUCUAACAUUUCUUUUUAAUUUGCUUUCAGUUACGUUUUCUUUGCGUAAGGAGGUUGUGAUUUCCAAUUCGUACAACCAUCUUUUGGCUUGCUUGAGGUAUAUGAACCAGACUUUCUGCUAAUGGAACACACAACUCUAAUGGAACCCAAAGGUACUCGAGAAAAUUUUUCUUUUUUAUGUAACACACAAAAGAGCAUAUUGUACAUUAUGGUUAGAUUAUAAGGAAAGAUAUUAAUUUUGCCUUUUUAGGAUUUUAACAUGGCUAAAUGUUUAUUUGGGAAGGGAAAAGUUUUAAGGUGUCUCUGCUAGUAGAAGAAGGGAAAGUUGUUGAAUCAUUAAGUAGUAUUCAUUCUUAUGUGGAUUGAACAUAAAGACAAUGACUGUAAUACCCGUCUAUUUUGACAGAUGAAGCAUAACUUGCUGCAAAUGGAACAUACAGCUCUAAUGGAACUUAAAGCGCUACAUAGAAAAAAUGUUGUUUAAUGUAACACACAAGAGACUUAUUGUACGUCACGGUUAUUAUAAAUAUAUUACAUUUUCAUUGUUAGGAUUUGGACGAAGUGUUCAAAAUUAUCUUGGAAGGAAAAAGUUUUAAAGGUUUCUUUUCAAAAUGAGAUGGGAAAUCUACUGAAGCUUUCAAUAAUCUUUUGUUGGUUUGAACAUCAGAACUAGGGGAAAGACAAUGAAGUGUAUCCUGUUCGGAAUGAAUUGAAGGUUAGAUAACAAAAAAGGAUUUACUCAUAGUUUCAGUUACCAAGAUGCUUAUAUUUUGUGGUGGUAGUAGUUUAUUUUACUUGCUAGAAAACGUCAUCUCUUAUUAAUUCUUCUAGUUUUAGCGGAUGCAUAUAACCUGUUCAAAAUAUGACGCAGUCUUACUUAACGCAUCGUGACAGUUAAUUUUGAGGAUUUCUUCUUCGUUUAACAUUGUAGGAGUUGUUCAACCUUGUCUUCGUAGUCUUAAAGUCUUUCAUGGAAACACAAGGAAGAGAACAUGAAUGGUCAGAAACUACGCAAAUCAAAAAUGCGGAUGAAGAUUUUUAAGCAAAGGUUUUUUUUCACCACACAUCUGUCUACUUUGCCUUCCUUGAGAUGAAGCAUGCCUUGUUGCACAUGGAACAUACAGCUCUAAUGGAACCCAAAAUUACAUGAGAAUAAAAGUUGUUUGGUGUAACACACCACAAAAAACAUGUUGUAUAUUGCGGUUAUAGAUUAUAAGGAAAGAUAUUACUUUUUCAUUGUUAGGAUUUUGACAAGGCUCAGCGAUUAUUUGGGAAGUGAAAAGUUUUGAAGGGAAAGUUGUUGAAUCUUCAAGUGGUAUUUAUUCUUAUGUUGGGUUGAACAUCAGGACUAUGGAUGUGAAGAUAGCUUGUAUGGUUGGCUUUUGGUUUAGGAUUCACGACUUUAAAAUGAGUCACAAGAAUCUAGGCCUCGCUUCUUUAUGUACCAACAAUCAACAUCUCUCAUGUGUUUUGCUGGAUACAUCUGAGCCAACGGAAAGCAUAAUCGCAGCAUUUUAUGGAAACACAACCAGUAACAACAUCAGGAUAGUAAGAUAACCAAAGUUAGAAAUACGAAAAUAAUAAAAAAAAUCAGAUUUUUUUUAAUUGUACACCAGCUGCAAAGCCAACUACCCCCAUAGUUGAAAACAAUAUAUAUUUGAUCCCUCAAAAAUCGCACCUGUAGACCAAACAAAGAGCUUAGACAUAAGGACCACUUUAACACCAAAUCCACCAACUCAAAAAUGAAAUAUUAAAACAAAAGGUGCUUCGGGACCUACAAAGUAUUAAUUUUUACAUACAAAGAGACAAAAAUCAUGCAUUAAAGUAGAAGAUAAUAGAUCUUGAUAUCCAGGAAAAAGCACAUGACUCUUAGCAUUCAACAUUUAUCUUCUCAAAAACUCUUAAAAUCAUUUUUUCACUUUGUAGAUUUCAGAUAUGGAGAUUGGCUUAGCAGUUGGUGGUGCAUUUCUGUCUUCAGCUUUGGGUGUUCUCUUUGAUAGACUUGCUCCUCAUGGCGAUCUGCUCAAGAUGUUUCAGAAGAAUAAGCAUGAUGUUCGACUCUUAAAGAAGCUGAAAAUGACUUUGGUUGGCCUUCAGGCUGUGUUAAGUGACGCGGAGAAUAAGCAGGCAUCAAAUCAACACGUGAACCAGUGGCUAAAUGAACUUCGAGAUGCUGUGGACGGCGCUGAAAACUUAAUGGACGAAGUCAACUGAGGCCUUGAGGCUUAGGUGGAAACAAGCAACCAGCAAGUAAGUGACCUCAACCUGAGUUUGAGUGAUGAUUAUUUUCUUAACAUAAAGGAGAAGUUGGAAGACACCAUUGAAACAUUGGAGGAUUUGCAAAAUCAAAUUGGUAUCCUUGGCUUAAAGGAGCAUUUUGCUUCGACUAAACAAGAAACUAGAAGACAUUCAACUUCUUUGGUUGAUGAAUCUGAUGUCUUUGGUAGGUAGAAUGAAAAAAAGGAAUUGAUUGACCGUUUAUUGUCCAAGGAUGCAAGUGAAAAAAAUCUGACUGUUGUCCCUAUUGUUGGAAUGGGGGCUGUGGGCUAGACAACACUUGCUAAAGCUGCUUACAAUGAUGAGAACGUGUAAAACCAAUUUUAAUUUGACAGCUUGGUUUUGUGUGUCUGAACCAUAUGAUGCUUUCAGAAUAACAAAAGGGUUACUUCAAGAAAUUGGCUCAUUGCAGGUUGAUGACAAUCUUAAUCAGCUGCAAGUCAAAUUUAAGGAAAUCUUAAAGGGGAAGAGGUUUCUUAUUGUUCUGGAUGAUAUGUGGAAUGAAAACUAUAACGAGUGGAGUGACUUGUGGAAUGUUUUCGUUCAAGGAGGUAUUGGAAGUAAGAUCAUUGUGACGACACGUAAAGAGGGUGUUGCCUUGAUGAUGGGAUCUGAGCAAAUUAGCAAGGACACCUUGUCUAUUGAUGAUUCUUGGUCUUUAUUUAAAAGACAUGCAUUUGAAAACAUGAACCCUAUGGGACAUCUAGAAAUUGAAGAGGUCGGAAAAAAAACUGCUUCUAAGUGCAAAGGGCUGCCCUUAGCUCUGAAGACGCUCGCUGGCAUGUUACGCUCCAAAUCAGAGGUUGAAGGGUGGAGAAGUAUUUUGAAAGUGAAAUAUGGGAGCGUCCAAACAAUGACAUAUUACCAGCAUUGAUGUUGAGCUAUAACGAACUUCCUCCACAUUUAAAGCCAUGUUUUUCCUAUUGUGCAAUAUUUCCUAAAGAUUAUCCAUUUAGGAAAGAACAAGUUAUUCAUUUGUGGAUUGCUAAUGGUCUUGUAUCACAAGAAACAAUUAAAGAUUUAGGCAAUGAAUACUUUCUCGAGUUGAGAUCAAGAUCAUUAUCAAAAAGGGUUCCAAAUCCUUCUCAACAGAACACAGAGGUAUUCUUAAUGCAUGACCUUGUCAAUGAUUGAUACAAGUCAAAUGGCCACUUUAAUUUUUGAAGACAUGAUUGGAGGUCAUCAUUUAAAGGCUCAAGACUUGGUCACCCCGAGGGCACAAGAAUAUGCAAGGAAGACCCGUUUUGAGCACAAGCAAGGACGUGUGUGGAAGAUUGCUUGGAGCAUCAAAGACUUGAGGACUCACGGUUUUGGAUAACACUUAAUGGGUAAUGAUUUGGUCAUCUUCAUUAAGGGUAUUUUGGUCACUUCAUUGGGUCCAAAUGCACUCCAUGGCCACCCCACCCUUUAAGGGCAUUGUUGUCAUUUUGCCUUGUCUUGUAAUAGAAUAUAAAUAGAACAUUUUAGGUCUUUUUCUCAUUAGUUGUUUAUUGAUGGAAGACAAACUUUCUCUCUAGUGUGAGGAGUGAAACAACCCUUAGUUGUAGGGCUUGGAAAAGCCACCAAUCCGUAACUAGGGCUGCCUAAGUGUGGAUAUCACUUGUGUUGCAUCAUUGUCUUGAUACCUUGGUGAUUAGGGAGGUAAUUGUGUCAAUGUAGGAGUUAGGUUAACCGUUGUGUGUAGUGUUAAGGGUCCAAGAUUACCAUAUUCUUGGAUUCUUAAGAUUAUACCAACCAAGGUCUAACUAUCUAUCCAUUUUGUUUAUGUUGUAAUCGUUUGUUUGUGUUCUUGUAAUUCAAAUCCGUGACUUGUUGUUCUUGUUCCAUUGUUGUUGUUCUUCAUCUUGUUGUUGUUAACAUAGUUUGUUGUUAACUGUUUUUAGGUGAUAAACACAUCAAUACAUUGUGUUCUUGUUGUUGUUUGUUGAAUCCGAGUGUGGUCUUCAAAAGGGUCCUCGGAUCUUUGAUCUUGUGGACUGAUUUUGAAGUGUGUUUCGUGUUGUCCUUGUAAUUCUUGUAUCAAUGUUCUAGCCCAAAUUGCAUCUUCAAAACUUUGUGUCAGGUUGGAAGAGUGCCAAGGAUCUCAUAUGUUGGAACAAAGUCGGCAUAUGUCGUAUUCAAUGGGGGGAGGUGCUGACUUUGAGAAAUUGAAACCGCUUUCUAAGACAGAGCAGCUGAGGACAUUGCUUCCAAUCUCUUUCCGGUGCCAUAAGCUAAGCAAGAGGGUGCUGCAUAACAUACUGCCAAGUCUAAGAUCCUUAAGGGCAUUAUCAUUGUCACAUCAUGGGAUUGUGGAGCUGCCAAAUGAUUUGUUUAUCAAAUUAAAGCUCCUGAGAUUUUUGGACCUUUCUCGGACAGAGAUUAAAAAAUUGCCGGAUUCUAUAUGUGCUUUGUAUAACUUGGAGACACUUCUCCUGUCAUCUUGUUAUUUUCUUGAGGAGUUACCGCUGCAGAUUGAAAAGCUAAUCAACUUGCGGCACCUUGACAUAAGCGACACUUCUCACUUGAAAAUGCCGCUACAUCUGAGCAAGUUGAAAAACCUCCAAGUGCUAGUGGGAGCCAAGUUUCUUCUAGGUGGUUGGAGAACGGAAGAUUUCGGUGAAGCACAUUACUUGUAUGGAUCUCUAUCAAUUUUAGCGUUGCAAAAUUUUGGUUGAUGGAAGGGAAGCUCAGAUGGCAAAGAUGAGGGAGAAGAAUCAUGUUGAAAACUUAUCGUUAGAGUGGAGUGAAAGUAGUGCAGACAAUUCACAAACUGAAAGAGACAUACUUGAUGAGCUACGCCCACACACAAACAUAAAAGAACUCAAAAUCUCCAGCUAUAGAGGGACACAAUUUCCAAAUUGGCUAGCUGAUCAUUCGUUUCUUAAGCUAGUGAAAUUGUCUCUUAGCUACUGCAAGGACUGUUUUUCCUUGCCAGCACUAGGACAACUUCCUUGUUUGAAAUUCCUUUCCAUUAGAGAGAUGCAUCGGAUAACAGAGGAAACGGAGGAAUUCUACUGUAGUCCGUCCUCCGAAAAGCCUUUUAACUCUCUUGAGAAGCUUAGAUUUGCAGAGAUGCCGGAGUGGAAGCAGUGGCAUGUACUGGAGAACGGAGAGUUUCCUGCCCUUCAGGACCUUUCCAUUAAAGAUUGCCCCAAGUUGGUUGGGAAGUUCCCCAAGAAUCUUUGUUCUCUGACAAAUUUGAGAAUUUCAGGAUGUCCUGAACUCAAUUUGGAGACACCCAUCCAACUUUCAAGUCUAAAAUGGUUUGAAGUUGAUAGUUCUCCUAAAGCUGGAGUUGUCUUUGAUGAAGCUGAAGUGUUUACAUCCCAACUUGAGGGAAUGAAGCAGAUUGAGGAAUUAGAUAUUAGUGAUUGCAACUCUCUUACCUCCUUGCCUACUGGCACUCUGCCGAGUACCUUGAAGACAUUAAGGAUGUAUCGCUCCCGGAAAUUCAAAUUGAAGACUUCAGUUGGUGAUAUGAUUUCUAACAUGUUUCUGGAGGAAUUGGCACUGGGUGGAUGUGAUUCUAUAUCAUCACCUGAGUUGGUGGUGCCAAGAGCACGCACUUUGCGUGUAUGGUGUUUCCAAAACCUUACUAGGUUUUUGAUUCCUAAUGGUACUGAAACCCAUAUGACGUCAUUGAUUAUUUCGGAAUGCAAAAAACUGAAGCGGCUGCGAGAACGUAUGCAGGAACUCCUUCCAUCUCUUAAGGAACUGCGACUGCCUUAUUGUCCAGAAAUAGAUUCCUUUCCUGAUGGAGGAUUGCCCUUCAGUUUACAACUCCUUUGGAUCAGGGAUUGCGAGAAACUGGUGAACGACCGAACGGAGUGGCGUCUACAGAGACUCCAUUCUCUCAGAGAGUUGUACAUCCGCCACAGUGGCAGUGACGACGAGAUUGUUGGUGGUGAGUAUUGGGAGUUGCCUUGCUCUAUUCGAAGGCUUACCACAAGCAAUCUGAAAACAUUAAGCAGCCAAGUUCUCAAAAGCCUCACCUCUCUUGAAUCUCAAAUUUACCUCAAAUUCAGUCACUGCUGGAACAAGGGCUUCCCUCCUCUCUUUGUAAGCUAUAUUUAUCUGAGCAUGAUGAGCUCCAUUCACUACCGACUGAAGGUCUUCGUCACCUCACUUCACUUCAACGUCUACAGAUCUACUCCUGCCAUCAACUCCAAUCACUUCCCGAAUCAGGUUUUCCCUCCUCCCUCUCUAAGCUUACCAUCACGGAUUGCCCUAAUCUCCAAUCCCUUGCAGAAUCAGCUCUAUCCUCCUCCCUCUCUAAGCUUGCCAUCACGGAUUGCCCUAAUCUCCAAUCACUUCCAGUAAAAGGGAUGCCCUCUUCCCUCUCUGAAUUAUAUAUUCGCAACUGCUCAUUGCUCAAACCACUAGUAGAAUUUGAUAAGGGGGAGUACUGGCCAGAAAUUUCUUAUAUUCCUGAAAUAUAUAUCGGUGUUACAAUAUUUCAGGGGGAAUCAGAAUGCCUGUGAUGAUUAAAUAAAAAAGAAGUUCCCACAGAUGUAAGUUUUUCUUUUUACCCAGUAGCUUUUUAGUUUUGUUUAUUCCCCAUUGCUUGUUUGUUAAUUAUUUUCCCUCGUUAAGUUAUUGGGUGAAGUUUUGGGUAAAGUCUUGCGUUUGGAAAACAUAUCACUUUUUCUCAAGAAAGUCAUAAAAUAUAAGCUUAUAAGCUUUAACCACUAUUGACUUGACAAGAAUGAAACAAUUGGAACAAUUAUAGUUUGGAGGAGUAAUUAGUAGAGUUUUUAAAAAAUAUAUAAAAGUCAAGGUAAAUUCUAAGUUUUUAAAGUACCCAAAAACUGUAAUUUCGCGCAAAAAGUUAUUAUUUUUCUAGAUUUUGAGAAUUUGGGUCUUUGGCAAGAUUUUUCUCAAAAAUUGCUUGUACUCUCAUUGUGCUUUAAUGUCUAGAUAACCUGACAGUUAUUUCCAUGGAAUUCUCCUUUGCUUGCCUAUUAACUUGACAUUUUGUUGUCAUUGUAGGAGUUGUUCAAUCUCUGAGCUGCAUAUAUAUAUAUCAUUGGCGUAAUCUCCAGUCGCUUCCAGAAUCAUCAGACUGUUCUCUUCCAUGUUUGAACAAUGUAUUUCCAACUGCCUGUCACUUGAACUACGUCUAGAAUUCUGAGAAAGGGGGUUACUUGCCAUAAAUUGUCCCCAGAUAAUUUAACAUCUAAAAGAAUCAAAACAAUGAAAUAUCUUGCCUCAACUAAUAGCAAGUUUAAACUCUUUUUUUUCUUGUUCAGGAUUUUGGUAACAACAUGUUGUUAGCUCAGCUGGUGAAAGGAAAGUCGUGCUAACAUUCUCCAUUGAAAAGACUUUGACCUCAAAUGUGAUCUGUUAGGAAACUGUAAGUGAAGUGCUUCUCUUUUGUGUGGAAUUUGACAAUAUCAGGACAUUCUAGUUUGAACACUUUGGGUAGACUCUACAGGAUCAACAACCAUAGCGCAUGGAAUAUGGUAGAAUUCCUCAAUAUGGCUAUUCAGGAAUCAUGUGAUGCGGUGAAAGGUUUCCCAUUGGGGUUCCCGACCCUCCAAAUCUCCACUUGCUUGUGGAAUGUGGGGAGGGGUUCCUUGCUAUUAAGGUGUCAGGGCGGUCGAAGGUCACAAGCGGAAGCAACCGAUGUGCUGGCAAAAGAAGGGGUUACUGUUGGUUUUACCUACUAUUGGAUUUUUCAGAUCAAUUCUUUGCUGCAAUCGCAUUGAUCCACCGAAAUUCUGUGAAGUUUGAACACCAAUUAGUAAUAGUCAUUUUCUAGUACCAAUUACAUGAUCCAGUCGUAUUAACUAUCAGAACUGAUAUUGUAAAAGCUGAAGUAUUCCAACUAAUUUACUCAUUAGACUUGCUUUGAGAUGUUGUAAAAGAGACCUAGUAUAGAUAGGAAAUGAUAAUUUUCUCAAUUAUGUUGAUAGCAUAAAUUAGUACUAACGUACCACAAAUCAUUUGCCAUUAACGUAGGUAUAUAUGUCAGCUGGAUGUUUAUAGUAUAUCUAUACAUGAACCAUUGAAGAUUUUUAAUUCAUCUCAAUAUCAAUUCAUAUACAUGAACCAGUGCAUUGAGCAAGGAAGAGGUGUUUCGGGUUAAUGAUUGUAUAGCAAUCAGCGUCAAUAAAGAUCUUCCCUCACCGCUCUUUGUUCCGGUAAUCAUUAAUUUCCUAGCUCUGAACUAUGCAUUUAUGGCAUCUGUUGCUUGAACCAUGUUAAAUCUUUAGAAUUGACAGCAUAACCAAGAAAGAGUCAUCUCUUAUUAACUCUUCUAGUCGUAGCGGUUGCAUAUAAGCUUUUCAAAAUAUGACAGUCUUACUUAACGCGUAUAUUGCAAUCAAAUGUCUAGAUAACAUGACAGUUAAUAAGUUUUGAUGUCUUCUUUGUUUGUCUAUUUAGUUUGAUUUCGAUGUUGAUUUGUUGUCAUUGUAGGAGUUGUUCAAUCUUGUCUUCGCUGUCUUAAAUCCAUCAAUUCUUGGAAUCGCAGGGAAGAUCAUGAACUGUCAGAAACUAUGCAAUCAAAAACUGAAUCGAUAUGGAACAUACGGCUCUAAUGGAACCCAAAGGUACAUGAGAAUAAAAGUUGUUUAACGCCGCACACAAAAGAACAUGUUUUAUAUUGUGGUAAUAGAUUAUAAGGAAAGAUUUUGCUUUUUCAUUGUUAGGAUUGUGACAUGGCUCAACAAUUAUUUGGGAAGUAGAAAGUUUCGAAGGUGUCUCUGCUCAAGUUGUAGAAGCUUUAACUGGUAUUUUAUUCUCAUGUUGGAUUGAACAUCAGGGACUAUGGAUGUGAUAGCUUGUAUUAUUGGCUUUUAGUUUUUGAUUAGGCUUGCACGACUUUAAAAUGUGUCACAAAGGUUGAAGGAUCGCUUUUUUAUAUACUAACAAUCAAUGUCUCUCAUGUGACAUUUGUCAAGAAUGUGACAAUGACUUUCUUGUUACUCUGAAUACGUCUAAGCCAACGAAAUCAAAAGAUUGACGUGAUUGUCCUUGGAGUCCGGAGCCAAAAAGGCUAAAUUUUUUGACCAAAAAUUUCAAAAGAGACACUUGAUUUGUGAAGAAACCAAAGGGGAUUAAACGUUGUUGGCUGAGCGAUUUACAAGUUGCUUGGUAUCCAACGAUUUGCAGGUCGCACAGUGUCCAGCGAUUUGCAAGUCGCCUGGUGUCCAAUGAUUACCAAAUCGUCGUGGGAACCAAGCGACUUGCAAAUCGCUGAACAUCAAGCGACUUGCAAAUUGCUCAACCACCAACGUUUUGUCUCCUUUAGUUUCUUUUCAAAUCAGGUGUAAAAAAAAUUGGAUGUCCAGUAUUGAGAAAUCUGAAUUUGAGCUAUGUGUAAUUGUUUAUCACGUGUUUUAAGAGAAUAUAAUCACUUUCUAAUUUCUACGCUCCCUGCGAAAAGAAAAUUAGGAAUUAGUUACAAAGUUCUAUUACUAAUUUAUUGUUAAAUAGUUUGUAUUGAUAAUAUGUUGCUAAUAAUUGCUAAUAUGUUGGGUCCCUUGCGAAGAUUAUUGCAUAUAACCUUGAUAUGAUUCUUGCCAAAAUGUAAUUUACUCGAAACAGAUGGUAUAAAGCAGCAGGAGUCAGUUAAACAGGUUAUAUGAUUCUUUCUUCUUUAGGUGAAAAAUCAAAUGUAACAUGUGUUAAUAGUAGUUUCUCUUGGAGAAUGAUUCUACCUGGUUCCUCAGCCUCAUUUUGUAGCCUUGAACCUCAAGAGAAAUUACCGAAGAUGUCUGGUCUCAUCUCUUGGGAUGGUCAUGUUUUACAUGAUGUCGGUUUUACUGGUGCAGAGUUUAUGUGAGCAACUACCGUCCAACAACUUAUGAAACAGCUAUAGCAUUCGUGGUGGAAGAAUUACAACAUGGGGCCAAGACAGCACAAGUUGUGGGGUUGGGCAUCUCAAUUGUCAAUUGUCACCAGUACUACCUAUAGGAAAAAUCUACCCCCUCUGAGCUACACACCCAAACCUAAUAAAAAUCAAUGUGAAGAGGGGGUGGGCAUCAUGGUUGUGGGGAAGGAAAAAAUUUUCUUCACAUAUUCAUGAUAUGGUAGGCCCAAGUAACACUAUUAGGGAUCGUUUGGUAGAGUGUAUUGAAAAAAAUAAUGCAGGCAUUAGUUAAUAUGUACUACAAGUACCUUGGUUGGUACAUUUUUUUAACCUAUUAUAUACUCUAUUGUGUAUUGAGGUGUGUAUCAAUAAUAAACACCAUUUUUCAUAUAUUAGUAAUACAAAGACUCUAUACACAUGCAUUAACUUGUUAAAUGACAAAUUUACCCCUUCUUUUCAUCUUUUUGUCUGCUGUGAUUUGUAGUUGCUGCUACCUCCAUUUCAAUAUUUCAACAGAUACUAGUAACGGACAUGGUAGUAUCUCAGAUGAAACAGUAGUAUCAUUGUGAUUGGAACUAGUCCAAUUUUCUGGAACUCAUUCUCAUCCUCAAGAACAAAAAUUUCACCAUUAAUAGAAGUUUGAGAUUUGUUCCAAUUUAAGUGUCUUACUUUCGUUUUGUGGUUUGUUUUAAAAAGAAUGUUUCUUUAUAUAUUUAGUUCGUUUUUCAAUUCCAACAUUCUACAUGGAAAACUUAAGACCGCAAUAUUUUAAAGACUAAACACAUCUUUAAUUUAAGAUGAUAAAAUUCAAAAAUCUCCUUUUUAUCUUUUAAACAUCGUGCUUAAUCAAACUAAAAUACUUAUAUUGAAAUGGAGGGAAUACAUCAUUUCUACAGCCAUUUAUAUUGACUAUUGGGUUAUUGAAAAGUAUUGGAAAGGACUACAAUCUACACAGCCCACAAAAGACCAAGACAACACAAAUUGUGCCAAAAGUAAUUGAUACAGUUCAUUUGCCAUCAAUCAACCUAUAAGAGAAAUAAUACAUGUAUUUGUUAUAUUAUACAUCUUACUAAGUACUUACUUUUAUACAUAGCCCUUACUCUAAUACACCUUAUUCUUUUAAUACAACAAACCAACAAUAACAACAACAACAACAAACAUAAUACAUAGUGAAAUUCCACAAGUGAGGUCUGGAGAAGGUAAAGUAUACGCAGACCUUAUUACUACCUCGGCAAGGUUAAGAGAAUAUUUCCGAAAGACCCUUAGCUUAAGUGUAGAAAAUUCAGGUACAAAGUAGAGUUUAACAGUGAAAAAGAUAUAGCAACUAGCAUGCAAUAGGUUGAUUGGUGACAAUUGAACUGCAUCAAUUACUUUUGGCACAACUUUUGUUGUCUUGGUCUUCUGUGUCCCCUUACUCUAGUACUUUUCACUACUUUUUAAUAACCCAAUAAUACUGUAUUUAUUUCAAUUUAAGUAUCUUAAUUUGAUUGGAUGCAAUGCUUAAAAAAUAAAAGGAUACUUUUGAAUUUUAUGAUCUUAUAUAGUCUUUUAAAUCUUGCGGUCUUAAGUUUUUCAUGUAGAAUGUUGGAAUUGAAUAAUGGACUAAAUAUAGAAAGAAACAAUCUUUUUAAAACAAACCACAAAACGAAAGUAAGACACUUAAAUUGGAACAGAUUUAUUUUGUUGAUUAAUCUUCACUUAAUAAUCCUACAAAGUUUCUGGGGGGCUUGGGCCACAGGUGACAAAAGAGUUUUAAAAUGAGGUGUAGGUGACACAAGUCUUAAUUAUUAGUUGGAGGUGACAAUUACUUUAUUAUGUAUUAAGAAAGUUGGGAAAGUUUUAAAAUAACCCACAAGUUUUUAAAUUUACACUUUGAUCCCAAUGUAUACCUAAAAUAACGGGAAACGGAGGAAAAAAAAGCGUCUUUCUCUCUCUUCUCAUCCAUUGUUGUUUUCUCUCUCUUAUCGAUUUUUGUUGUUAAUUGUUUCUGUUUCUGCUGCUUUAUUCAUCAUCUUCUUCUUCAUCUUCUUUUUGUCGAUCAUUUGUUGUUGUUGUUGUUGGUACAGCGCUACUGCUGCGAUCUGACCAAUUUCUUAGGUCAAAUUUUAUUUACUACAUCACUUUCCACUUUAGCAUUACUUCAUAGGUUACUUUGGUAAGUAAAAUUAUGAUUUUUAUUCGUCUUUGUCAUCUAGGUACACUUCUAUUUUUCCAAUAAUUGAUAGAACCCCGAUUAUGAAUUCAGCACAAGUGCCCACAAUUUAAACAGAUCAAUCAUCUGGUGCAUCAUAUGAGUAAUCUGUUGCAUCAGACUAUUUAUAUGUUGCAUCAUCGUAUUAUCUAUUGUAUCAGACGUAUUAUCUGUUGUAUCAGGAUGUUUAUCUAUUGUACCAGACUAAUUAUCUAUUGCAUCAGAAUGUUUAUCUGUUGCACCAGACUAAUUAUCUGUUGCAACGAAUGAUUAAUCUGUUUGAAACAACACAAAUCAACCCCUGCCACAAACCCAACAGAUAAAUCUUGCUAUUGCUACUGGAUUCUAAAUUAUUUCUUUUUACAUCGAAUCGUCGAAAUGUUUGUUGAGAAGAUAAUAGACAGAAUNNNNNNNNNNNNNNNNNNNNNNNNNNNNNNNNNNNNNNNNNNNNNNNNNNNNNNNNNNNNNNNNNNNNNNNNNNNNNNNNNNNNNNNNNNNNNNNNNNNNNNNNNNNNNNNNNNNNNNNNNNNNNNNNNNNNNNNNNNNNNNNNNNNNNNNNNNNNNNNNNNNNNNNNNNNNNNNNNNNNNNNNNNNNNNNNNNNNNNNNNNNNNNNNNNNNNNNNNNNNNNNNNNNUGGGUCAGCCAUAAUCUUAUCUUCUAGAGUGUAAUAUGAAAGACGAGAUGCAAUAAAUAAAUAGAGUGUGUAUUUGAAUGAACGAUUGUUUAAGAAUGGACCUAUUUAUAGAGGAUUGAAUUUGAAUAAGGAGACAAAAGACGCGACUAUUCACUUCCAUUCUUUAAUUAUAUUUAAUUUUUAAAUUAAGAAAAUAAAUAUUGUGAUAUAAGUCAUGACUUUUCAGAUUAUUAUUAUUAUUAAUUAGUCUUUCGAAGAACCAUUUUUAUUGAGUUGUGGCAACAAAUUCUAUAUCUGUUGCAUCAGAUAACACAUCUGUGACAACAGAUAUAUUAUCUGUUGCAACAAAUAUAAAAUAUGUUGGAUCGGAUAGCAUAUCUGUUGCAACGUAUAAUCUAACUGUUCACCUCCAUUUAUUAAUUACAUUUUUUAUUAAUGUGAAAAGUAAUGAAUUAAUUAAAUUAAGAAAUAUUAUGAUAAGUCAUGACUUUUCAGAUUAUUAUUAUUAAUUAGUUCUUUCCAAGAACUGCUUUUAUUGAGUUGUGACUCGAUAUAGGUUGCAUCAGAUAAAUCAUCUGUGACAACAGAUAUAUCAUCUGUUGCAACCAUAGUGAACCUGUUGCAUCAGAUAAUUUAAUUGUUNNNNNNNNNNNNNNNNNNNNNNNNNNNNNNNNNNNNNNNNNNNNNNNNNNNNNNNNNNNNNNNNNNNNNNNNNNNNNNNNNNNNNNNNNNNNNNNNNNNNNNNNNNNNNNNNNNNNNNNNNNNNNNNNNNNNNNNNNNNNNNNNNNNNNNNNNNNNNNNNNNNNNNNNNNNNNNNNNNNNNNNNNNNNNNNNNNNNNNNNNNNNNNNNNNNNNNNNNNNNNNNNNNNNNNNNNNNNNNNNNNNNNNNNNNNNNNNNNNNNNNNNNNNNNNNNNNNNNNNNNNNNNNNNNNNNNNNNNNNNNNNNNNNNNNNNNNNNNNNNNNNNNNNNNNNNNNNNNNNNNNNNNNNNNNNNNNNNNNNNNNNNNNNNNNNNNNNNNNNNNNNNNNNNNNNNNNNNNNNNNNNNNNNNNNNNNNNNNNNNNNNNNNNNNNNNNNNNNNNNNNNNNNNNNNNNNNNNNNNNNNNNNNNNNNNNNNNNNNNNNNNNNNNNNNNNNNNNNNNNNNNNNNNNNNNNNNNNNNNNNNNNNNNNNNNNNNNNNNNNNNNNNNNNNNNNNNNNNNNNNNNNNNNNNNNNNNNNNNNNNNNNNNNNNNNNNNNNNNNNNNNNNNNNNNNNNNNNNNNNNNNNNNNNNNNNNNNNNNNNNNNNNNNNNNNNNNNNNNNNNNNNNNNNNNNNNNNNNNNNNNNNNNNNNNNNNNNNNNNNNNNNNNNNNNNNNNNNNNNNNNNNNNNNNNNNNNNNNNNNNNNNNNNNNNNNNNNNNNNNNNNNNNNNNNNNNNNNNNNNNNNNNNNNNNNNNNNNNNNNNNNNNNNNNNNNNNNNNNNNNNNNNNNNNNNNNNNNNNNNNNNNNNNNNNNNNNNNNNNNNNNNNNNNNNNNNNNNNNNNNNNNNNNNNNNNNNNNNNNNNNNNNNNNNNNNNNNNNNNNNNNNNNNNNNNNNNNNNNNNNNNNNNNNNNNNNNNNNNNNNNNNNNNNNNNNNNNNNNNNNNNNNNNNNNNNNNNNNNNNNNNNNNNNNNNNNNNNNNNNNNNNNNNNNNNNNNNNNNNNNNNNNNNNNNNNNNNNNNNNNNNNNNNNNNNNNNNNNNNNNNNNNNNNNNNNNNNNNNNNNNNNNNNNNNNNNNNNNNNNNNNNNNNNNNNNNNNNNNNNNNNNNNNNNNNNNNNNNNNNNNNNNNNNNNNNNNNNNNNNNNNNNNNNNNNNNNNNNNNNNNNNNNNNNNNNNNNNNNNNNNNNNNNNNNNNNNNNNNNNNNNNNNNNNNNNNNNNNNNNNNNNNNNNNNNNNNNNNNNNNNNNNNNNNNNNNNNNNNNNNNNNNNNNNNNNNNNNNNNNNNNNNNNNNNNNNNNNNNNNNNNNNNNNNNNNNNNNNNNNNNNNNNNNNNNNNNNNNNNNNNNNNNNNNNNNNNNNNNNNNNNNNNNNNNNNNNNNNNNNNNNNNNNNNNNNNNNNNNNNNNNNNNNNNNNNNNNNNNNNNNNNNNNNNNNNNNNNNNNNNNNNNNNNNNNNNNNNNNNNNNNNNNNNNNNNNNNNNNNNNNNNNNNNNNNNNNNNNNNNNNNNNNNNNNNNNNNNNNNNNNNNNNNNNNNNNNNNNNNNNNNNNNNNNNNNNNNNNNNNNAAGACUAUAUCAUCUGAGAGCUAAUUGAAGAAGAGACACAGGGUAGAAAGUAACUUCUAACAAAUCUGGCCGAUGGAAUUAUCUUAACAGAUGCAAAAUUUGAAUCAAGUCCAAAUAUGAAAGUGUAUCCGGUAAUGUAAUUUUGUCUGUUGUGUCUCUGAAAGAAAAACAAUGCAGAUGGACACUUUGCUAGGGAGCUGCAUGGUCGGGAUUAUCACCUAGGUAGAAAAUAGGAGAAGACCAACAAAGCAGCCUCAAGGGCAUCGAGGGUAGAAAUGAUGUUCAGCAAGUCUAGAAAACUUAUGCCAAUAACAACUACAGUGAAAAUAAAGAAACUAAGCGAAGGCGGUAAUUUUUGAAUUUUAAAUUUCAUCUCAUCUUCUUGUUUGUGUUUCUGAUCAGGUCCACUGCGGUUGACCUGAUCGGAACCAAAAACGAGAUUGAAAGGAAAAUAGAGUAUCAUUGCUUCUUUAGCAAUAUGAUUAUAAUUGAUUGUGUUUUGUUGCCUUGACAUGCUUUCAACAUUCCUUGGAGAAGAUUAGAUGCUUGCUAUAGUAUGUGAAUCUCGAUAAUUUUUAAGCUUGCCUCCAGCUUGUUGAUUCUGUAUUCAAGCUGGUCGUUACCAUCUUCGAAGUUGGUAAGGAGUUCCUCAUCUCUUGUGAGCUCGAUCAGGAACACUACCUUCAAAGUUGUGGCAUUCUAGAAGCCCUUCAGAACACUUUCUCUUCAGAAGCUUUAAAGGAUACAUAGAGGGUCGCUGUGUUUGUUUUAGGUCAAAAUGUGUUGAUAUACGUUGAAGAUGUGGGCCCAACAGUUGAACAACACACUUUUAUCGAGCGUUGCUCCAUGCAUCUUGCUCAACUAAUUUGAUAAAUUAGUAAGCAUGGAGUUACGUAGAAUGUGAUUUAAACCGGAUCGACCAAGCCUAUCAAACAUUACGUAACUCCAAGCUCAUUACCCUAUCAAAAUAAUAUGCCCGAGUUAGUGCACAUAGAAAAAAAGCCCAAUCUGUCAGCCUUUCUGCUGAUCACUCUUCUCCAAUAUAGAUGACAAGAUAUCUGCUAUGCAAAAGUCUACACCAUUGCCAGACAUAUUCCCAGGCAAUCAUGUUUGGCGAUGGUGUAGACUUUUGCAUAGCAGAUAUCUUGUCAUCUAUAUUGGAGAAGAGUGAUCAGCAGAAAGGCUGACAGAUUGGGCUUUUUUUCUAUGUGCACUAACUCGGGCAUAUUAUUUUGAUAGGGUAAUGAGCUUGGAGUUACGUAAUGUUUGAUAGGCUUGGUCGAUCCGGUUUAAAUCACAUUCUACGUAACUCCAUGCUUACUAAUUUAUCAAAUUAGUUGAGCAAGAUGCAUGGAGCAACGCUCGAUAAAAGUGUGUUGUUCAACUGUUGGGCCCACAUCUUCAACGUAUAUCAACACAUUUUGACCUAAAACAAACACAGCGACCCUCUAUGUAUCCUUUAAAGCUUCUGAAGAGAAAGUGUUCUGAAGGGCUUCUAGAAUGCCACAACUUUGAAGGUAGUGUUCCUGAUCGAGCUCAUAAGAGACGAGAAACUCUUUUCCAACUUCGAAGAGGGCAACGACCAGCUUGAAUACAGAAUCAACAACCUGGAGGCAAGCUUAAAAAUUAUCAGGAUUCACAUACUACAGCAAGCAUCUGAUCUUCUCCAAGGAAUGUUGAAAGCAUGUCAAGGCAACAAAACACAAUCAAUUAUAACCAUAUUGCUAAGGAAGCAAUGAUACUCUAUUUGCCUUUUAAUCUCGUUUGUGGUUCCGAUCAGGUCAACGACAGUGAAGCUGAUUGGAAACACAAACAAAAAGGCAUGGGAUGAAAUUUAAAAUUCAGAAAUUUGCCGCCUUCAUUUAGAUUCCCUAUUUUAACUGCAGUUGUUGUUGGUAUAAGUUUUCUAGACUUGUUGUACAUUAUUUCUACCCUCGAUGCCCGUGAGGCUUCUUUGUUGGUCUUUUUCUAUUUUCUAUCUAGGUGAUAAUCCCGAUCACGCAGCUUCCUAGCAAAGUGUCCAUCUGCAUUGUUUUUCUUUUAGAGACACAACAGAUGAAAUUACAUUACCGGAUCCACUUUCAUAUUUGCCCUUAAUUCAGAUCUUGCAUUUGUUAAGAUAAUUCCACUGGCCAGAUUCGUUAAAAGUUACUUUCAACCAUAUGUCUCUUCUUCAAUUAGCUCUCAGAUGAUAUAGUCUUCCAUCAACCAUCCAUUUUCCUUCAAAAGCAUUCUCCUACCGCACAUUCUAGCAUAAAAUCAUCACCCCGAGCGAGCAACCCAACCAUAUAAAUUUUGGCCAGGGCAAUAAACAUAUUGGUUUUUCGUUAUUAUUAGAUGCAGCGCUAAGCUUUGAAGGCCCUCUAAGGGUCCAAUGCACCCUAAAAGUUAGUCCAAUCGCUAUUGAAUCUCUUUAUAAUGACACAAAAAUUAGAUCUCUUCACAAUGCUUGACAAAUAAACAUGAGCAACAAUCGACAUAAAUCUUAACAGGCUAUCAGAACCAUAUUCAUGGUCCCUCAGCCUUAUCAGUUCGGACCUACCAAACUUAACUGUAAAAUUACAGACAUUUUGUUUGAAUGAUCUAUGACUAAUCAGUAAAAACAUCAUUCACAAAAUCAGUGCACUAUAUCUGUGUGUCUACGAUAACAUUAUCAGUAAUACAUACCUCCCACAUAUAAAGUGGUUCCAUCUACAGGCAGCUUAUUCCUUCGAUCCCAUCUUUACUGCAGCCUCUUGAGAUAGUCCGUCAAAUUUGAUCAACUGUUAGUUCCUUAUAUCUACAAAGAAAAGAAAAAAAUUGAUGUCACAAAAAAACAUUGUUCAUCUGUUGCAUCAGAUGUGAAGUCUGUUGCAAUAUAUUUGGAGUCUGUUGCAACAGAUGUGGAGUCUGAUGGCAUACAUCAAACCUUCCUUUCUGGUGGUUUUAUUUGUUCCAACAGUUUCUCCAUCUAUUGCAACAUCAACAACAGCAUAAAUAUCAACAAAAAAGAAAUAGCAUUUGUCCCAACAACAUCAUCAACAACAAAGAAGCAACAUCCUUUGUGCCAGAACCAUCAAUAACACCACAAGUUCCAACAGCGCCAACCCCACCAACAACAUCAAUAACUGCAUCAACAAUAAUGAAACAAACAAAAUAUAUACAAAAAAAGUGAUACUGCCAACAAGGCUUUUAAACUUCUCCCCACAGAUGACUUUUUUCUCAUAUUGUAAUAAAAACUCUCGGAUUGUUUAUUCAACAUUUACAAGUUUCUUAAAAAAAAUUAAUAAAUAUGAUAUGGGUAAAUAGUAAUUAAAUAAAAAAAACAGAUGUAAAUAACAUGCAAAGAAGAAGACAAGAAUGAAAGAGCAAUAAUGAACUAUACCUUAAUAUCAAAAAGGGGAUCAAAACAAAAAUUUAAGUCGAGGAAAGAUAUGGAUAGGUUUAGAUCCAAAAAUAUCUUUAUGAGAAGAGAAGAGAAAAGAGAGAAAUAAGGCUAUGACCCUAAAGAGGAGAGAGAAAAAAAUGAGAGUUGAAUAAAAUAAACUACAGCUGAAGAAAAAGAUGAGAUAAUUUCUAUAGAUGUAUUGUGUACGUAGACGUGGUGGUUUUCAAUAUUCAUUAAUUUCAUUAAUAAUUUGAGGGGCACGAGGAAGACUAAGACUAGUGACAUUAAAAAGACAAGACAAGACUGCUCAAUGAACUCACUUUUGAGAUAUCUAAGAAACAUUUUUUACCGUCUUUAGUAGUAAGUACUACAACUUGAUAUUAUCUACUCUAACCAGAAGCUUCUUGCUUUAAAAUUAAAAGAGAUAAAAUAUUUUCAAAUAGAUAUGUCAUCUGUUGCAACAUAUAUAAAUAUCUGUUUAGAAAUCUGAACAGCUCAGUCAUCUGUUACAACAGAUAUAAAUAUCUAUUUAAAAAUCCCAAAAGCUCAGUCAUCUGUGACAACAGAUGAAAAUGUUUAUCUGAUAAUUAAUAAAACCAGAUAUGUCAUCUAUUACAAAAAAUAUAAAUAUUUUUUUAAAAAUUUCCAAUAGUUCGGUCAUCUGUCACAACAGAUACAAAUAUCUAUUUGAUAAUUAAAUCAGAUAUGUUAUUUGUUGCAACAUAUAUGUACCUGUUUGAAAAUUUUCAACAGCUUAGUCGUUUGUUGCAACAGAUUUCAUAGCAAUUGAUUUAGGUGGAACUAGGGAUUAAUGAAUGAGCUUGUAGGGUCAACUAAAAAUCCAAUCGAGUCUUUGCAAUUGCAUGGCAUUGGUAUUGCAUUCAUACCGACCUGAGUCGUCGAUAGAUCACUCUGAGUUGAAAUGAGUUCUCAUCAACUCAAUGUUAGGAUAGUGAUAGUACCUAAGUUAAUUUAGGUGGAACUAGGGAUGAAUGAAUAAGCUCACAGGGUCAACUAUAAAUCUAAUCGAGUCUCUGCAAUUGCAUAGCAUUGGCAUUGUGUUCAUCCCAACCCGAGUCGUCAAUCGAUCACUCUGAGUUGAAAUGAGUUCUCUUCAACUCAAUAUUAGGAUAGUUAUAGUACCUAAGUUAAUUUAGGUGGAACUAGGGGUGAAUGAGUGAGCUCGUAAGGUCAACUACAAAUCCAAUCGAGUCUUUGCAAUUGUAUGGCGUUGGUAUUGCGUUCAUCCUGACCCGAAUCGUCGAUCGAUCACUCUGAGUUGAAAUAAGUUCUCAUCAACUCAAUAUUAGGAUAGUGAUAGUACCUAAGUUGAUUUAGGUGGAACUAGGUAUGAAUGAGUGAGCUCGCAGGGUCAACUACAAAUCUAAUUGAGUCUUUGCAAUUGCAUGGCGUUGGUAUUGCAUUCAUCCCUACCUGAGUCGUCGAUCAAUCACUCUGUGUUGAAAUGAGUUCUCAUCAACUCAAUGUUGUGAUAGUCCCUAAGCUGAUUUAGGUGAAACUAGGGAUGAAUGAAUGAGCUCGCAGGUUCAAUUAUAAAUCCAAUUGAGUUUUUAUAAUUGCAUGGCAUUGGUAUUGCGUUCAUCCUGACCUGAGUCAUCAAUUGAUCACUCUGAGUUGAAAUGAGUUCUCAUAAAAUCAAUGUUGAGAUAGUGAUCAUACCUAAAUUGAUUUAGGUAGAACUAGGGAUGAAUGAGUGUGCUCGCAGGGUCAUCUACAAAUCCAAUCGAGUCUUUGCAAUUGCAUGGCGUUGGUAUUGCGUUCAUCCUGACCCGAGUCAUCGAUCGAUCACUCUGAGUUGAAAUGAGUUCUCAUAAAAUCAAUGUUAGGAUAGUGAUAGUACCUAAGUUGAUUUCACAGGGUCAACUAUAAAUCCAAUUGAGUCUUUACAAUUGCAUGGCGUUGGUAUUGCGUUCAUCCUGACCCGAGUUAUCGAUCGAUCACUCUGAGUUGAAAUGAGUUAUCUUCAACUCAAUGUUAGGAUAGUGAUAGUACCUAAGUUUAUUUAGGUUUAACUAGGGAUGAAUGAAUGAGCUCGUAGGGUCAACUAUAAAUCCAAUUGAGUCUUUGCAAUUGCAUGGCGCUGGUAUUGCAUUUAUCCCGACCCGAGUUGUCGAUCAAUCACUCUGAGUAGAAAUGAGUUCUCAUCAAAUCAAUGUUUUAAAAGCUAUAUCUUUUAAAAUUUUUAAAAUUAACUAAGAUCAAUUCAAACCAAAUUAGCAAUUUCAAAACUUGUCAUUCUUUUCCAAAAUUACAAAUCAUCCAUUUGCGCGAAAAACUUUUCAUUUCAAAUCUUAAGUUCUCGUUCUUCUCUCUUUCUCUCUCGGGGUGUACUCUCCCUUUAACCUAUACAAAUAAUACAAAUAACAGCUACUCAACAUAUUGCUCAACCCUUCAAAAUAGGUCAAUUUUCUUCCCAUUUACGACUAAAUAUAGUUGUUUUUUUCGAAUUCAUUCCCGCUUGUAUCUGUUGUUUUCUCUAUCUUCGCAUGUAACAGAGUUUGAGAAGAGUUCUACAUUUGUUCUUUAUAGGUUGUGCAUCCUUAGAUAGUGCCUACCAUUGAUGAGCUAGGGAUGACUUUUUUUCUUACUCUGGAUCUUGUUAAUACAAAAAAAGCCCAAUGGUGGAGUUUAUAAAGAAGGAAUUGGAUGAAGCAACAUCCAUAAGAAGAGCAGUUAGUCAAGGUCAGUCUAAUGUUGAAGCUCUUCACCACCUAACUCAAACUGUAACAGAUCCGGGUGCUUCUUCUGGGGGUGUUGCUGGUGGAGUUGUUUGUGAUGGUGGCAGCCAUCCUUCUUCUGCUUCUUCUGCCAGUCGUGAUUAUGAGCAUAUUGGUGCUCAGCAAAAAAUAAAUAUGUUUGUAAACACCCCUUGCACAGGUCCUUCCUCUUACCCCUACACCGGUCUCUCCUACCCUUACAGUGAUCCUUCUCACCCCUUCUCACCCUCAUGUUCUCAUUGCAAAUGCAAAGUGUGCAAGGACAGAGAGGAUAAACUUCUUGACAAGCUAGAGGCUAUUGAUGAAGCUGUCGAAGAGUUAAAAUCUAGGAAGGGUGUCAUACCAUCCAAUGAGGUGAGGGAGCCAUGCACUCCUACAAUGGAGGUUAGGAGGAAGAGAAUAAAAAUUAGAUAAAUUCUCUCCGUUCUGAAAUCAGCAAAAAAUGCAACUCCCCCCGCUCUAAUAGUUGUUGAAAUUCAAGGGCCGCCGAAGAAGGUGGACAUAUUUGUGGUACUUGGAAAGAAGAAGAAGAAGGAACUGGAAGAAUUCAUCAAGAUGAAGGUUCAAAAAGAAUACACCAUGCAUUCAUUUACCGCCAAAGACUUCUCGAAUAUGACAAAUAUGUGUGUGUGGUACGAGGACAAGGUAAGUUUACUUUUGCUAACCUACCCUUCCAAUCUACUCCAUGAAGAAGAAUAUACUCAGUAGAUGUGUAAUCUGUUGCAACAGCUUGGUAUUUUGUUGCAACUUAAUACAUAUUUGUUGCAUAAGUUGCGUUGGCUGGGUAAUCUGUGAACUGAUUCAGAGAACCCUCUGCAUCGGAUUCUUUCCACUGUGUUUUUAUUCUUUACAAUUACUAACCUAUUUAAAAAUUAUCUUCUUAUACCACAGUAUGUUGAUAAAAUUCUCUGCCACAUGAGGGGCAGGCAAUUAGCGUAACCAGAUGCUUAUGAUGCUGCUGAUAGGAUAAUGGACCUCAACUUCUACAAUAAUUUCAAAGAUAGGUACGCUGAUCUUUGUAAUCUACCUGAUUUCGGUGGCCUAAGAUUUGAUUAGUUAGUUUCUAUGUUCCAAUAGGAUGAAGAAGUGAUUAAAUAUGUUAGAGGGAAGAGACCAUAUCCACACGGCAAGAGCUGGACCAAGGCAAAGAAAAUCCUUGAAGUCAUGAACGUGGAUGUCACCCAUUUUCUCAUUGUUGAGAUACUACUAUACGAGGGAAAGAUUAAGGUUUAUGACUGCAACUUACCUGUGUUCAGCGAGAAGACAUUUUUAACCCACAUGCAGCCACUCUUGAAGUUGUUUCCCAAGUUGUUGACACAUAGUAAGCUGAUAGAUCAUUUGCCGGCUGAAGUCUUGGCAAAGGAAUCAUGGGUUUUUGAAGGUCGAAAUAAGAACAUUCAGCUCCCAAAAAAUACAACCGGUGCAGCGUGUGGGCCGUACUCGCUUGCAUACAUGGAGUGUUUGCUGACCGGCACACAAAUGACCGGUGUAUGCGACACCGUUGAGGGAAAGAUGCAAUGGGUCUGGGCAUAUGGGGUACUAACUAAAUGGUUGGAGCCCAUGUAUAAAAAAGAACAUGUACAAAGACAUGUUUUGCGGAGAAAUUUUGACUUUUGAAAGAGAGUCGCCACUUAAUUAUGAAAAGGAAUUAAGAAACCUUUAUAAAUACUUUAAACGAUUCAAAACAGAAAAAUCAUUUUAAGUUAAGAGAUUCCGAGUAAGUGGUUCCUAUUAACAUUUUAGGAAAGUGUUAGGCACCUAAAACGUCCGCUAACUUACUGUUAUCCGGACUGUUUGAAAAUCGUCUUUUGAUUAACUUCGAAAGAGACUAAUUUUUUGUCGAAAAGUGAUUGAUGUUUGGAAAGAAAGUGAUUUUACAAAUAUUUUGAUGUUUAUACAAAACUAAAAUAUUAUUUUUUAGCGACUUAGUUAGGGACUCAACUAGGUUCGCAAGAAACACGUAAAACAAACAAGUAUAAAGAAGAGGGGAAACGGAGGAUGUAAGGGAUUUAGGCCUUGAAGCCCAAACCGUCAACCCUGUCCUAAUCUAAUUAGGUUUUCAACCCAUUUCUCCUUCCACCUGUCCUAAUCUAAUUUUUGAGCGUUUGGCUCGAGUCUUGCUUCACCUGUAUUAAGUACAACUUUGGCUUCGUGGCCCGAAUGAAUGAAUAAAUAAGUAAAUAAAUAAAUAAAUAAAAGACAACAAUGAGUGAAUAAAUUAAUAAAGGAGACUUUUGAGUCUCUUCGCCGCUUCAAUCAUGGGGGAUUUAAACCAUUUUCCCUUUUCAAUUUCUGAUAUUCCGUGUGCCAUGAAAUUGAUUUGAACUUUCUUUUGGGCUUGACUCAGGAGAUGGGCCUCAUUGGCCGUGAUGAACAGGAAAAAAGGGGAAAGCAGUCCAUGUGGGACUCGAACGAUUUCACAUGCAAAAGAAAAGUGAAGGAAUUAAUACGUGUCUUAACAUUAAUAUGCAAGAAUGCUAAAGUAUUCAUGUAUCUUACUUGAUAGUAGGCAAAAUGUCAUGUCAAUUUAGCAAAGAGUAGACUCCCAUUUAAUGGUACAGUUCAUCCAAAUUCACAGAGUAUAUGAAUACAAAGAUGAUUCAGGAUCACAUAGAGAAAAGGCUCAAGAACAACCGCAAUUUCAAAAUGAGUUAAAAGGAAUCCAUAAAACAAAAGUUCAACCAUAGGAGAAUGUAUCCACAUGUUACCCAAAACAGAAGAUUGAUCUGUCUAAAUGGUCUCCUAUUUAUUCACAAUGUACAUUUGUAAUAUUCUAAGUUUUAAGAGGAUUUUCCAUAAACUGGGCAGGAGGGAUUUAGACGGAGAAGGGACGAUGAUCGUAAAAAAAGAUAGAAUUAUUUAAAGAAAAAAUAAAGGUCUCAACUUUACCAAAAGUUUGACAUUUUGAAACUUUGUUCUUGUCUGAUGAAAAUCGAAUAACAAUUAUGCCCCACAUAUUACUGACUUUACAUAUUUAAAACGAUGCACGUGAAAUUACAAACAUACAUGAGCUCAAACGAGAUCAAAUUCAAUCCCUCAUAAUGGAAACUUCGAUGGUAAUAGAGUCAAAAUACUUCACCCAUCAACAUUUAAACCAUAAUAAUCGAAGAUGCAUAUAGAUUUUGUCACCAGUUUCAAUUUUCAGGGGAAAAAGGAUGAAACACAAAUAAAGCGACCAAAUUUAAACAUAGGCAUGAUUCAAACAUUCUUUGCUAAGCGUAAGGACAACAUAAAGCCUUUUAACACAUACAGAUUCAGUUAUUCGCAUAUUAAAAUCUUUGAUAUAUACAAAAAUCAAACUAAUUGAAUUAUCCGAGAGGGGCUUCAUAACACGGAAAUUGCAGCAAUACCAGCGACACUUAUUCCUUCAUAAAAUGAUGAGCAUUUGCUAUAUACUAUUUGUCCCAUGAAAGGAGACAAGAAAAAUACUACAUUCUACAGCAAGGACGACUUUGAUUCAAAUCCUCCUCCUCCUUACGAUAGAUUCAAACGAAGCGAUCAUUGAGGAAUCCCAGGACUUUCUAAAACGCUUUUGGACCUUGCUCAUUAUCCUUUUGGCACAUAAGAAGACAAAGGAACCUGAGAGGUAGCUCUGCUAGCAACGUUGCUAGCUCAACAAUGGCGACACAAUCCAGCAGUAGCAACAAACAAAGUACCAUCAAGUGGCUAUUAAUAAAAACAACAUCAGGCUAAAACUAUUAAACAAUAUCAAAGCAUCAAACUUUAACCAGGAAACCAACUAUUCAAACCACAAGUAGCAUAUAAAGUGAGUCACUAGACCGCAAGUUUAUGAAGGCUGUUACGAGCAGAUAACAGCAGGUCUCGGAAAAGAUGACGAAAACUAUAUGUCCUACAAUCAGCACAAUAAUUAACUCUGGCGUAACACUACAAACAGCGUUGUCUUCCACUGAAAAAUAAUCAACCUAUGGUCUUUAAGACCUCUAAUUAGCAGACAACCCAGCAAACAAUAUUGCGUACAACUAAAUAGUUAACUAAAUCUACUGUGAAAAGAGAUGAAGCAGAAAAUGACUAAAUUAAAAGGAGGAAAAUGGGUUUACCUCUUUCGGGGCAGCAAAAUAGGGACUCGAGCUAUCAGCAAACUUAUCGCUACUAGAAUAUCACGACGUUGACCACCAACAGAGCGUCCUUUUUCUUUUACCUCUUAGAGAUUUUGAAACCCCUUAGAUUUUCAAACUAAAUAUCUUCAACUUGAAUUUAGAACUCUCAAAUUUUCUUUUAGUUUCACCAAAAAUUACUUCGAACCUUCGAACUCAAGAAAUUUCGAAACCUCAAGUUUUCAGCCUAAACUUUCAAACCCUUUAAAGAAAAGAAAGAAAAAUUUCUGAACCUUCCAAAAUUUUCGAACACCACCUGAUUUUCCCUACCCAAAAAGAGAAGAAGCCCCCCCUGAACAGUGACCCCAUGGGGUCUUUAUAUAAAGAUAGAAUUGGGUAUUUUAGAGAUUUUCGAAAUAGGACAUUUUGAAUUCAAAACCAAAAAGAUCCUCCGGCUCACCAAUCGUAUUUUGAAAUUGAGAAAAUUUAGGGGAAUGGAUUUUCUUCAACCAAUGGAAAAGGGGCACAUGCGUACCUUUAUGGUACAAUCCUAACAACCGGGAACUGAUUCUUGACAGCUAGGUUUUUUUGGAACGUUGAGGGCUGCCACCUAGCCUCUUUCUAGAAGAUUCUUGGGCAGGAUUUUUGCUGAAACUAUUGUUGUUGUCGUAACCUUGGACUAUUUCAUGAUAAACUCGGGUCAGUUCGGGCAUGGGUAGUCGAAUUUUGGGUUGGGGUUAUCGGAUUUGGGUCGAAGACGGGUUGGGGGUAUUGAGAUUGUUGGUGCUGUUGUGAAUUAUUAUUGUCCACUGUUUGGGUGCUGCUAUUGAAUAAGAAGGAGACAAGUGGGCUGGGUCAGUGUGAAUUGUUGGGCUGGCUGUUGUUUUGUUGCUGAAGAGAAUUGGGCCCGGGGCGGUUAGGUUUUAGAAAUGGGUUUAAAAUUGGGAUUGGGGUUAAUUAGGUUAUGGGAAUUGGGGAUUUGACCAAUUCAUUUAAGUUUUGGCCAAAUUGAAAAUCAAUUUGGGCAAUUGCAUUGCAAUUGGGGCCAAUUUGAUUUCAAUUAUAGUGAAAUAUAAUAGAUGGACUAAAUCAAAUGAAAAUUCGAUACGAAUUAACACAUUGUUUAAUCCUAAGCUUCUUGAUUCGAUAAAAUUAAACAAGUAUUUCUCCAAAUAGAUUAUUUGUAAGAAUAAAUUAUAUUUAAAUCAAGAUUUAAUUAUUUAUAUUUAUUUUUCAAAUAAUCCUUGAUUUAAAGUCCAAUUUUGAUGAAAAUGUUCAUUUAAAUGACAUCAUAGAUACAAUCCCGUAUAUUCAAAUACGAAAAUAUAUAAUUAUCACUUAAAUGACAAAUUUAACCCAAACGCAUAUUUUAAAAUGCGUUUAUUUGGAAAAAAUAAUUGUUGUGAUUUUAUUUGAAAAUCGAAGAAAUCCGAGAUUAAACGUAGUUGUGGAGAGCAAAAAUUAGGUGUCAACAAGACAGAGACGAAAACGAUAACAAAUUUUCAUUUCAAACUAAUUCACUAUGCAUAUAGGGGAAAUAAUUUUUAUGUCUGGCAAAGUUGAAUUUAUUUAAUGCAACAGAUUUUGUAUCUGUCGUAACAGAUAUAGUACCUGUUGUGACGGAUUGAUUAUCUAUUGGAAUGGGUUGGUCAUCUGUUGCGUUAUGCAGAUGUUCCCCGCUUGUCUGUCGCAACAGAUUUACGAUCUGUUGCAACAUAUGACUUAUCUGUUGCAACUGAUCGGUAAUCUAUUGGAGUAAAUCAAAAAAGUAGGAAGACCUGUUAUAUAAUUUCCAGCAGAUGACCUAUGUGUUGCAUCUCAUAUUGCAACAUAUGUCUAAAUCUGUCUGAUAAGAUAUGUCGUCUGUUGUGUCGUCUGGUGCAGCAGAUGUAUUAUCUAUUGCGAUAUUUGAAUCUAGUACUCCAUUUCAAUUAACAUGUUUAAAAAUCAGAAUUAAUUAUAUUCAUAGACAGAAUAAAAUAAAUCGAAGCCUUCAGAAAUUACAUGAAAUAAAAUAACUCAACAAAUAAAUGAAAUGUAAAAAAAAUUAUUAUGAGUACAAAUGAUCUACUCUACAAAUAAAUCAACAAGUUAAACCAAGGAGGAUAGGUUAUUACAUUGACGGACUCGAGCUAUAAAGAUCUAAUAAAUAUGAACAAGUUGUUCUUCAUCCAGUGCUAUGGAAUUCGGCUUUGGUCGUCGUGGAUCUUUAACGUCGGUUGCAUACGGCUUCUGAUCUUUCGCUUCUUCAUAUUUCCAUAAAAGAGUAGCAUAUCUUUUACGGAGUAAUCCGGCAUCAAGUCCAUCAUUUGGUACUUGUAAUCCAUCGCUCAAAUACUCAGCAUAGGCGGCAACAAAAAGACCGAAUCCCUACGUUAUAAAAAAAUAGAUAAUCCAUAUCUUGCAGUUCAUGCAAGCGUUGUGAAAUUUGUGAAAUAAAACUAAAUCAUGACACUUAAACUUACAGGCUACCAAUGGUUUGUUGAGCAAUUCCGUCAAUAUAUUGUACAUCAAAUAAAUCAGCCAUUUUAUCCCGGUAUGCUUCAAUCGUCGACCAAUCAUUAUAAACCUUUUGAUCAAAAAAGCCACUCAUAUCAAGGUAAGUAGGCAAUAUUUUGGCCAGUUUUUGUAUCUCAGACGACAGCCCGAAACGUCUCCUUCGCGACAUCGAGUCAUAAACUCGGAUGUGCCUCUCUUUUAGAACGACAACAGCCAAUACCCAAUGAAAUUCAUCACCACAAUUGAUUGGGAUGUACACUUCAUCGACCAAAUGCCAAGGUAAGCUAGCUGGAAUGCUAAAACCUUUGAUGAUGUUGAUUAAGCAUUCCUCGUUUCGGAAAACUUUCGGCUGCUGUUGACAAUACCUAUCAUAGGCAUUAUUGAUGUAAACUUUGUACAAAUAAUUGCCUGUUGUGUAUCUGUAUUGUUCUUGUGUUUGCAACUUGACCUUCUUUCGGAGGUAGUAAAAACUGACAUCGAUGUGUUGUACAUAUUAUCAAACAUUUUGAAUUACGUGACUAAUCAAUACAAAGAUGCAAUUAAAUAAAGUAUUAAUUAAUAGUAAUAUGUAUGACCCUUAAACCUCAUCAUUCCGGCAAGUUUGGGGCUGUGACAUCAAAUAGAACCAAUUCUUCAUUUCGGGAUGUGCAACAACAAAGUCGAACAUAUCAAAACCAAGACUCGAUUCGUUCACUUUGUAGCGCUCUUCAUUUUGUUUUCUACAUGAUGAUUUAUAUAUGUUAAUGUCAGGUUCUUACAACAAGAAUUGUAUAAAUCAAUAUCCAUAAAAUUGAUUUAUGUAUCUACCGACAUGAUGCUUUAACAGCCCAUUGACAAUCCAUUCUGAAUAGUCGUUGAUCAACUGUAUUAGUUUUUUUGGAGCCUCGUCCGAAAUGUUGAAUCCUUCAAAUGGGUAAUUUUUCUAUUCUUCCAAAUUGAUAGGCUCCACUUUUUGUUCAUCUUUGGAAACAGUUGAUGGAUUAUCAAUUGUCAUAUUAUUCUCUUCGGCAGUAGCUGUGACAUCCACCUGGAAAGCCAGAAUUAUCAAUGCUAAGUAGAGAUAUACAACAGAUUUUCCAUCUGUUGCAACAGAUGAUUCUUAUGUUGCAUCAUAUGGAUUAUCUGUUGGGAUAAAUUCGAACAGGUAAAUCAGAGCAGUACGAUAAUUUCAAACAGAUGACCCAUUUAUUGCAACAUAAGACUCAUCUGUUGAAACAGAUAACGAAUCUGAUGCAAAAGGUUAGACAACAGUUGCAAAAAAUGUAUACAUCUGUUUGAUAAUUUUCAGCAGAUGUGUCAUCUCUUGAAAAAGAUAUGUGCUUGUUUGUUUUUUGGAACAGAUGAUGUACAUUCACCUUCUUCAGCUCAUGCUGCUUUUCUGUGGCUCUUGAACGCUGAACAUCGGUGCAAGACAAAGACAGAGGCAUUGCAAUCUUGCUUUUUAUAAUUGAUGAUGCCUUGGAAGUGUCUUUCCUUCUCCUCUUAGCCGCCUUGAUCUCUAGUGGAGUGUCUGGAUAUGAAAUCCUCUUUGAUGGAAUGACACCCCUCUUAGAUGUCAUUUCCUUUACAGAAGUAGUUAGUGCAUUAAUAGCAUUAAUCACUCCAUUGUGUUUCGCCUUGCAGUUUUGACACUUGCAUGAAGAAAUCUAGAGAAAAAUUUGUACAACCAUUAUGAUCAUAAUCAUAAUGGCUUGUUGUUUCAAAAACUGUAAGAGGAUUAUCAUUAGCCCCACCAUCCAAAAUUAUUUUUCUUGUGAUGGAUAUUGCUCCAAACAAUUCCAUUUUUAUUCUAUCAAUGACCUUAGAGUCUGAUAAAAUUUGCACAGUCUGUAAAUUAAGAAAAAAUGGCAUCUUCAACUCUCNNNNNNNNNNNNNNNNNNNNNNNNNNNNNNNNNNNNNNNNNNNNNNNNNNNNNNNNNNNNNNNNNNNNNNNNNNNNNNNNNNNNNNNNNNNNNNNNNNNNNNNNNNNNNNNNNNNNNNNNNNNNNNNNNNNNNNNNNNNNNNNNNNNNNNNNNNNNNNNNNNNNNNNNNNNNNNNNNNNNNNNNNNNNNNNNNNNNNNNNNNNNNNNNNNNNNNNNNNNNNNNNNNNNNNNNNNNNNNNNNNNNNNNNNNNNNNNNNNNNNNNNNNNNNNNNNNNNNNNNNNNNNNNNNNNNNNNNNNNNNNNNNNNNNNNNNNNNNNNNNNNNNNNNNNNNNNNNNNNNCCCCAAGGAUAGCUGUUAAAUGCCUCAAGAUCCUCGGAGAGUAACGUCUCUCGCCCAAAGAACAUUAUGUACAAACCAAACCAAGCACAAUGAUUGCUUGUGCUUCUUUGAAAGCCCUUUACCUUUCAAUUCUUCAAUAAGAUUUUUGUUUUUGAAGCUUGGACCAACAAUGGACACCAGGUCAUCACGAUCACUCGACUUGCCUUUUCCUUUUUUGGGUGUGCGGGGUGUUUUUUUUUUUGUCAGAGUAGGUAUAACUUGAGAAGGAGAUGAAGGAUAACAUUUUAGUCCGGUAACUAUGGCAAACUCCUCCCAACCAAAACAAACAGGCAUGCCACAGUAAUUUAUCCAUACCUCAUCCAUCUUAUCUUUGUUUUCAUACAUAAACCUGCGCUUGAGAAGAUCAUAUACCAUUUUCAUCUGAAAAUGAGCAUUGUUGUCCUCCGACAAAUCAAGAUAUUUUUCAAAGCAGGUUUCCCUGAAAUAAGAAUCUAAUUUCUGUUCUUGAAUUAUUUUUCUGAAGGCGUCGAAAGAUUUUCCCAUGACUGACUUAACCACGAGAUCACCCGUUAAAUUUGUGGCACCAUCGCACUGCAUUCUCAUAGGGUAACGAUCAAUGCUGAAGGUUUUGAUCAACUCUUCGACGGAAGGGCUAUGAGCAUUUGGAUCAUCUUUUUUUAAAGAUUCCUCCUCCCCGUGUUCAUUAUCUUCUGCUCCUAUUUGAGAUAACGCUUGUAAAACAAGCUCAUAGAGUGGUGGAUGUAGCUGAGCUACUGCACUUGUUCCUUUACUUGGACUUAAUUCAAUUUCUUUUAUUUUGGGAGUCAUGCUAUCUUAAAUUAACAAGAACAUAACAUAGAUUAUAAUUGAUUAAUGCAUAACAGUAAUAUAACAGUUCCAACAGACAACUAAUCUGUUGCACCAGGUAUGUUAUUUGUUGCAACAUAUAACCGACCUGUUGCAACGGAUGAGUAAUACGUGGGAAUCACAAAAACAACACUAUUUGUUGCACCUAGUAUUUUAUCUGAUGCAACACAUAACUGACCCGUUGCAACGGAUGAGUAAUUCGUUGGAAACAAUAAAAAUAGAUCACUAAUCUGUUGCACCAGGUAUUUUAUCUGUUGCAACAUAUAACCGACCUAUUGCAACGGAUGAGUAAACCGUUGGAAAGAAUAAAAAUGGAUCACUAAUCUAUUGCACCAGGUAUGUUAUCCGUUGCAACAGAUAACCGACCUGUAUGAUUAAAUCGUAGGAAAGAAUAAAAAUAGUCUGAAUCUGUUGUAAUGAAGAGUAAACCGUUGAAAAGAAUAAAAAUAGAUCACUAAUCAGUUAUCUGUUGGAUCAAUAUUAUUUAGAUUUCUUCCAAACAGAAAAGUCGUCUGUCGCAACAGAUGAAUGAUCUAUUAGAUUGUUCACCUGUUGCGUUAGAUUUUCAUAGUUGCAUCAUAUUUUUAAUCUGUUGCAUCAGAUUUUAAAAUGAAGAGUAAACCAUUGGAAAGAAUAAAAAUAGAUCACUAAUCAGUUAUCUGUUGGAUCAAUAUUAUUUAGAUUUCUUCCAAACAGAAAAGUCGUCUGUCGCAACAGAUGAAUGAUCUAUUAGAUUGUUCACCUGUUGCGUUAGAUUUUCAUAGUUGCAUCAUAUUUUUAAUCUGUUGCAUUAAAUUUUCAUCUGUUGCAUCAUAUGUUUCAUCUAUUACAUCAGAUGUUUCAACUGUUGCAAUACCAUUUCUACCAAGACAAACAACAAAUCAACCCAGCAAUACCAACAUAUCACACACACACACAUACACACUAAGAACAUCAAUUAUGACCAAAAAUCACCAAUAAAUUUGAAUCAACAGUACGACAACGAGAAGAAGAAAUACAGAAAUGCCAAAAAUUAGGGUUUUAUUUAGUAUACAUUUCAAUAUCAGAAUAGUAGUUGGCUCAAGUUCCUCUGUUUCUUCAUAACUUUUUACCUGUGAAAAAGAAAAUGGGAGGACGAAGAACUCGAAGUUGUUGUCGCCAGAGAAGUAUUCACGUCGAUUCACAGUUGAAAGUCAAAAAGGAACUCGCCCGACUAUUUGUCGCCGGAGGUUGAAGAGAGAAAUUUUGCAGAACUGUUGGUUGGGAGAAGCUGGAGAGAGAGAGUGGUUAUUAGAAUUGAAGAGGGGUGUAGGUUGGAUUGAUUUGUAUUUUUGAAAAGAUUAGAAAGUUUUAAAAAUAUUAACCAAAUCCACAAUUAACUUAAUCAAGUUUCCUAAUGAUGUUUGAUCCUAUCUGUUGGUCAAUAUCACAAAUCCUUCAUUCAAGGCUUGAAAGACCCCCUUCCUUCAAUUUUCUCGAGUUUCUGCUACCACACGCGCCCAUUUCAUAUACCAUGCUUGUGUCCCUCACUUGGGUCCGCACAUUUCAUAUACCAUGCUUGUGUCCCUCACUUGGGUCCGCACAAGUACCCUUCCUCUCUUGCCUCAAUUAUUCAAUUUAGAAAGUCAAGAAACCACUCUAUUAUGAAGUCUUUGUCUUCUUGUUGGAUGAAAAGUCAAUAGUAGAUUGUAAUUAAUAGUAGCAACCAUAGCUGUACCAAUUACAAGUAAGAACACUAACAAAAGAGAGAGGGACAGAAAUCACAGAUCAUUCUUGUUUGCAAAUUACUCUUAGCAUUCAAAAGGUAAAAUAUAGUUGUUAAAUAUCUGAAGAUAGAAACAUUUAUCUUCUCAAAAUUAACCAUUUUUGUGAUUCCUUUGUUUUGCAUCUAAUGUAUAUUCAAUUUUCAAUUUUUGUCUUUCUUUUAUCUAGGAACAACUACUUGAGAUUUUAAUAUUGAGACUAAAAAGUAUGUUUUUUUUGCCCUUACAGUUUUAGGGACUCAAUUUUGAAAUUUACACAUCACACAAAACAAGCAGGUAACUUGUUCUUGCUUGUGCACCAUUUCAUUUCAUCAAGUUAUAAAUGCUAUAUUAAUUACAAUUAACAAAAUAUUUCAGUAUGAUUGAUUCUUUUGCAUCGCCCCUCUCCCCCUUACUUUUUUUGAUUUUCAACGUGAGUUGAAAUGAUUUUCAUUUUGUGCUCGUGUGAUGAGUGGAGAAACCCAUGGAUGCAUGAUGUCUGUGAAGCAAAAAGACUGAUUUCUUCUCGCCUAAUUCAACAUUAUAAUUAGAACACAAAGUGUAGGUCUGAGGUCUAUCUAUAUUGGAUUUGGUCAAUUAAUUUUAAAUAUUUUAUUCAAUAUCAACAGAGAAAUUUGACAUAAAUACAAUAUUUAUGCAAUCUACAUAAGUCAUUAUUAAAUAAUUCUUCAAUAUUCUUGUGCAAGUGAAGGAAGAAUUAUGUGGUGGGUGUGAUUGAUACUCCAGCCUUAUAACAAGCAGAUCUGAAGAUGGAUUUUUCCUAAAUUUUAUUCUAACUCAUAUUGGUACUAUAUUAAGUUAUAAGUGUUUAUUACAUAUUCUUAUGAGAAAUAUUAUUUUGUCAAAAGUGUGCAAGUGUUGGAUUACAUUGGGUAUUGUAUAUUUUACUAUAAUUCAUUAAUUUAGAUAUCAAAACAUAUACUAUCAUUAUUUUUAUUAAUAAAUAUUUGAUACACGUGCAAUACACAUAUGCUAAACUAGUUGUAUUAAAUGAGUAGAGUGUAUAAAAAUAAAAAUAAUACCAAAUAAGUAGUAUUAGAAUAGAAAUAGUACCCCGUAUUGUUAAUGUUAUGAUUUACCAUGUAUAAAAAUAAAAUGGUAUAUGGUGUAUAUUUAAUAUAAUUAGGGGUCAUUUGGUAGAGUGUGUUAACGAAAAUAAUGCAUGCAUUAUUUUUGUGUACUAUUAAUAUCUUGUUUGCUUCAGUCUUUUGGUCUAUGCAUAAUUAAUGCUUGCAUUCGGUAUACACUCAAUUAUGUAUUUUAAGUUGUGUAUUAAUAAUACCAUCAUUUUCUAUGUAUUAAUAAUUCAAAGCAUUUUAACACAUGCAUUAACUUAUUAAAUGACAAAUUUACCCCUCAAAAUAUCUUCCGAUUCCUUUUCCCACCAUAGUUACAUUUCCCAUUCCUUUUUCCUACCAUUUUUAUUGUAAAAAGCUUCCUAUUUCUCUUCUCCUUGUACUACUUUCCAUGGAAAAUAGAGGUUGUUUUAGAAUGCUAUCAAAAUAUUAUCUUUAUUCCCAAGCUUCAUAAAGCCACUUUUCUCCGUAUUUAUUCCUAUCAAAAUACCGUCGAUUUAAUUCCCAAGCUUUUGGGGUUUAGAGAAAAGUGAAAAUUGGUAUUUUCGUUUCUACAAACAGUAGCUAGCUAUUGCUACUCGCUCCUAACUUGAAAAGAUUGGGGUCUCAUGUCUACAACAAUAGUAGUUGCUACUUGCUUAUCUUGAAAAGAGAAUGUACAAAGAAGGAUAAUUUGGUAAAAAGAAUAUCUUUUUAUAAAAUUUAUGUAAAUUUAUAUUAUUUUUAAUAAAUCAAAUAAAAUACUGCGUAAGAAAUAAUGUCUGCAUAAUCAAUACCAACAUUAUUAAUACUUGCAUUAGUAAUACAUGCAUUACUAAUACACUAAUACACUUUACCAAACGACGCUUUAUUAGAUAUACAUAAAUUGAAAAUAGUACCAAACUUUAUCAACUACUUUUGGUACAACUUUUUCCAUAACCCAAUAGUCAAUAUUGAGAAUAGAGCACAUGGUUGCAGAACUGGAUGUACUAUAUUUACUUAACAUGUACUUAACAAUCCUACUGAGUUAAAACUUAGGUAGUUCCUUUUUUUCUUGUUUACAUGACACUGCUAAUUUCUACUAACACAUUGUUAAGGCCACCGUUAAUUUAAGGGAAAAAACUCAAAUAUACCACUGAACUAUUAGAAAUAGCUCAUUUAUGUCAUCAGUUAAAAGUUCAACUUAUUCAUGCCAUUAUCGUUACAAAACCAGCUCAUCCAUGUCAUUACUUUUUAACGGUGGUUUUCAAAAAUUGCUUUGCCAUGCGGCCUUUUAUUAAAGAUCCAUGUCAUUGAUUAAAAUAAGGAAAAAGGCUCAAAUAUACCUUUGAACUAUCAGAAAUGAUUCAUUUAUGCCAUCAGUUAAAAGUUCUGCUUAUUCAUUCCAUCACCGUUACAAAACCAUCUCACCCAUGCCAUUACUUUUUAAUGACGGGAUUUUAAAAAUAGCUUUGUCAUAUGGUCUUUUAUUAAAAGUCUCUAUCAUAAUUAAAACUAAUCAAUAUUAAUUUCAAAAUAUCUUAAAUUAAUUAGUAUCGAGAUUAUUUAUUCCACCAUUUAUCAUAAUGAUGGGAUAAAUCCCAUAUAUAUGACAGGAUAAUUAUGAUAGCAGACUUCUUUUAAGCCUUUAUUUGAAAAUAAUUUUUCAACAAUGUAUGCUCCCCUAAUUCAUGAAUAGAGAAGUUCUAUUGGUAUGUCUCCUUUUUCUUGCUUGCACUAAUUGUUCAUUGACUUCUUUUCUUGCAACUUUGGAGUAUAUAUUGGAGUCACUGGAAUUACAACUAAUUAGUUAUUGUAGGACAAAAUUUUUGAGGUUUCUUAAAUUUAUAAUGAUUUAGAAUCAACUAGAAACAACCAAAGGAUAUACAUUAAUCACUAUCUUUCUGAUCAGAAAAAUACGUGUUGUAGGAAAAAAAACACUUUAAUGAGUGUGGGUCGGUUAAUGUUAAAUGAAUCGGUUCUUCUUAAUUGGUCUAAGAUAUUUUGAAAUUAAUAUUAAUUUAUUUUAAUUAAUGACGUGGACCUCUAAUAAAAGGUCAUAUGGCAAAGCUGUUUUUGAAAAUUUACCAUUAAAAAAUAAUGACAUGGGUGAACUGAUUUUGUAAUGACGAUGACAUGAAUGAAUCGAACUUUUAACUAAUGGGAUAAAUGAGCCAUUUUUUAUGGUUCAAAGGCAUAUUUGAGCCUUUUUUUCUUAUUUUAAUUAAUGAUGUGGACCUCUAAUAAAAGAUCAUAUGGCAAAGCUAUAUUUUGAAAAUUCACCAUUAAAAAAUAAUAACAUGGGUGAGCUAAUUUUUUAACGACGAUGGCAUGAAUGAACCGAACUUUUAACUAAUGGCAUAAAUGAGCCAUUUAUGCAGCCAUCUGUAUUGACUAUUGGGUUAUUGAAAAGUAGUGGAAAGGACUACAGUCUACACAGCUCACAGAAGACCAAGACAGCACAAGUUGUGCCAAAAGUAAUUGAUACACUUCAUUUGUCACCAAUCAACCUGUAAGAGAAAUAAUGCAUGUAUUUGUUGUAUUAUACACCUUAUUAUGUACUUACUUUUAUAUGUUGCUUUUAUUCUAAUACACCUUAUUUUUUAAAGGGAAAAGGUUCAAAUAUUCCACUGAUCUAUCAGAAAUAGCUCAUUUAUGCCAUCAGUUAAAAGUUGAGCUCAUUCAUGCCAUCGCCGUUACAAAACUAGCUCAUCCAUGUCAUUACUUUUUAAUGGUGGUUUUCAAAAAUAACUUUACCACAUGGCGUUUUAUUAGAGGUCCACAUCAUUAAUUAAAAUAAGCAAAAAGGCUCAAAUAUACCAUUGAACUAUCAGAAAUGACUCAUUUAUGCCAUCAGUUAAAAGUUCGGCUCAUUUAUGUCAUCACCGUUAUAAAAUCAACUCACUCAUGUCAUUACUUUUUAAUGAUGGGUUUUUAAAAAUAGCUUUGCCACCUGGUCUUUUAUUAGAAGUCUACGCCAUUAAUUAAAAGAAAUCAGUAUUAAUUUUAAAAUAUUUGAAAUUAGUUAGUAUCGAAAUUAUUUAUUCCAGCAUUCAUAUCAUAAUGAUGGGAGAAGUUAUCCCAUAUACAUGGUGGGAUAAUUGGAAUAGCAGACUUCUUUUAAACCAUUAUUUGAAAAUGAUUUUUCAACAAUGUAUACUCCACUAAUUCGUGAUGGGAGAAGUUAUUCUAUAUGCAUGGCGGGAUAAUUAGGAUAACAGACUUCUUUUAAGAUGUUAUUUGAAAAUGAUUUUUUCAAUAAUGUAUACUCCCCUAAUUCGUGAUGGGAGAAUGGAGAAGUUCUAUUGGUACGCCUCCUUCUUUUUCUUGCUUGCCCUAAUCGUUCAUUGAUUUAUUUUCUUGCAACUUCAGAAUAUAUAUUGGAGUCAUUGGGAUUAAAACUAAUCAGUUACUGCAGGAUAGAAUUUUUGAGGUUUCUGUUAAGCGUAGCAUUUAUAAUAAUUUAGAAUCAACUAGAAAUAGCCAAAGGAUAUACAUUAAUCACUAUUUUUUACUGAUUAGAAAAACAGUUGUUGUAGGAAAAAAAAUAUUUUAAUGGGUGUGGGUCGGGUUAUGUUAAAUGAAUCGGUUGUUUUUAAUGGGUCUAAGAUAUUUUAAAAUUAAUAUUGAUUUAUUUUAAUUAAUGUCGUGGACCUCUAAUAAAAGGCCACAUGACAAAACUGUUUUUGAAAAUCCACCAUUAAAAAGUUAUGACAUGGGUGAGCUGAUUUGAUAACAACGAUGGCAUGAAUGAACUGAACUAUUAACUGAUGGCAUAAAUGACCCAUUUCUGAUAGUUUAAUGGCAUAUUUGAGCCUUUUUCCUUAUUUUAACUAAUGACGUGGACUUUUAAUAAAAGGCCACGUGGCCAAGCUGUUUUUGUAACGGCAUGGAUGAGCCGAUUUUGUAACGGCGAUGGCAUGAAUGAGUCAAACUUUUAACUGAUGGCAUAAAUGAGUGAUUUCUGAUAGUUCAAUGGAAUAUUUGAGCCUUUUCCCUUCUUUUAAUACAACAAACCAACAACAACAACAUACAUAAUACAUAGUGAAAUCCACAAAUGAGGUCUGGAGAAGGUAAAGUAUACACAGACCUUAUCACUACCUCGGUAAGGUAGAGAGAUUGUUUUCGAAAAACCCUUGGCUUAAGUGUAGAAAAUUCAGGUAUAAAGCAGAGGUAAAUAGUGAAGAAAAUAUAGCAACUAGCAAGCUAUAGAUUAAUUGGUGACAAAUGAAGUGCAUCAAUUACUUUUGGCACAACUUGGGCUGUCUUGGCCUUCUGUGCACCCUUGCUCUAGUCCUUUGCACUACAUUUCAAUAACCCAAUAGUACUGUAUUCAUUUUAAUUUAAAUGUCUUAGUUUGAUUAGAUGCUACGUUUAAAAAACUCAAGUAAGACAUUUGAAUUGAAACGAAGGAAGUAUAUAAGUUCUAACAGAUUUAUUUUGUUGAUUCAUUUAAUAAUCCUACAAAGUUUAAAUGGUAAGUAGACAAUAAUAGUUUCUGCUAACACACUCACCCCUUUCAUUUACCAUGCUUGUGUUUAUUACUUUAGCAAUUAGUAGGUAAAAUAAGGCUUAAUUAUGGUAGAGACUUUGUCAAGGUUAAGUUGCUCGGACUCUUCAAAAAUGUCUACGGGCGCGUGUUGGAUCCUUCAGUAGUGUAUUUUUGAAGGAUCCGACACGGGUGUGGCAAUAUUUUUGGAAAGUCCGAGCAACUUAGAUUAUAAACACCUAUUGUUUUCUCCAUAAACACAUACUAGAACUGCUAAUGUGCUUCUUCAAGAAACUCUGCCACUACACAUUAAGCUAUAAUACACAUUGGAUCAAUAAAUUCUUAAAGCCACCAUUGAUUUAAUUUCCUACACUGUUAUUCAACCUCUUAUACAAACCCUCAGGGGUUGGCCUGGUGGUAAUUGGCUUGAGCUUUGGGUGCUCCCUUUCAAGGUCUCAAGUUCGAUACCCACUGGGUGCAAACAAUUUCUGAGGGCCAUCAGACUAGGUGAAACCCUGAAUUACCCGUGGUGCACUUGCGGGAAACUCCUUGCCGAGAGCCUGUGCACCCCCUGGAUUACUCGGGGCUCGAAGAGUCUUGGACACCCGGUGCAAGUCAGAAAAAAAUUCAACCUCUUAUUCAAUUAUUUUCGAGUCCCCGAAGUACCCUUCCUCUCUUGCCUCAAUUAUUCAAUUUAGAAAGUGAUGAAUAAUCAAAAAACCACUCUAUUAUGAUGUCUUGAUCCUCUUGUUGGAUGAAAAGUAAAACUUUUUGGUAAUAAUAGAGGGUAGUUAAUAGUAGCAAACAGAGUUGUACCAAUUACGAGUAAGAACUCACUGAUUAUUCUUGUUUGCAAAUUACUCUUAGCAUUCAACAGGUAAAAUAAAGUUGGUAAUAUUUGAUUUGAAGUUAGAAACAUUUAUCUUCUCAAAAUACUUAAAAUCAUUUUUGUGGUUCCUUGUUUUGCUUUGUAGAUUUCAGAAAUGGAGAUUGGCUUAGCAGUCGGUGGUGCAGUUGGUGGUGCAUUUCUGAAUGUUCUCUUUGAUAGGCUUGCUCGUCGGGUUGAGCUGCUCAAGAUGUUUCAUGAUGAUGGGCUUUUAGAGAAGCUGGGGAACAUUUUGCUUGGUCUUCAGAUUGUGCUGAGUGAUGCAGAGAAUAAGCAGGCAUCAGAUCAACUCGUGAGGCAGUGGCUUAAUAAGCUUCAGAGUGCUGUGGACUCUGCUGAAAACUUAAUGGAACAAGUUAAUUAUGAGGCUUUGAAGCUUAAAGUGGAAGGUCAACAUCAAAAUCUUGCAGAAACAUGUAACCAACAAGUAUUUCGAUUUUUUUCAGAGUGCUGUGGGCGGCGCUUGAGUGAUGAUUUUUUUCUUAACAUAAAGGAGAAGUUGGAAAACACCAUUAAAAGUUUGGAGGAGUUGGAAAGCAAAUUGGUCGCCUUGGCUUACAGAAGUAUUUCGAUUUGGGUAAGAAACUAGAAACUAGAACACCUUCAACUUCUGUGGUUGAAUCUGAUGUCUUUGGUAGGAAGAAUGAAAUAGAGCGAUUGAUUGACCAUUUAAUGUCUAAGGAGGCAAGUGAAAAAAAUAUGACGGUUGUCCCUAUUGUUGGAAUGGGGGGCAUGGGUAAGACAACACUUGCUAAAGCUGCUUACAAUGAUGAGAAGGUGAAAAACCAUUUUAAUUUGAAAGCUUGGUUUUGUGUAUCUGAGCCAUAUGAUGCUUUCAGAAUAACAAAAGGAUUACUUCAAGAUAUGGGCUCAUUUGACUUAAACGAUGACAAUAAUCUUAAUCGGUUACAAGUCAAAUUGAAGGAAAAACUAAAUGGAAAAAGGUUUCUCAUUGUUCUAGAUGAUGUGUGGAAUGACAACUACAACGAGUGGGAUGACUUGAGGAAUAUUUUUGUUCAUGGAGAUAUUGGAAGUAAGAUCAUCGUGACAACACGUAAAGAGAGUGUUACCUUGAUGAUGAGUAGUGGGGCAAUCAACGUGGGGACUCUGUCUGAUGAAGCCUCUUGGGCUUUAUUCAAACGACAUUCAUUAGAAAACAAGGAUCCUAUGGAACAUCCGGAACUUGAAGAGGUUGGAAAAAAAAUUGCAGCUAAGUGCAAAGGACUGCCCUUAGCUCUGAAGAUGCUCGCUGGCUUGUUACGCUCCGAAUCAGAGGUUGAAGGGUGGAGACGUAUUUUGAGAAGUGAAAUAUGGGACCUGUCGAACAAUGACAUAUUACCAGCGUUAAUGUUGAGCUACAAUGAACUUCCCCCACAUUUGAAGCCAUGUUUUUCCUAUUGUGCAAUAUUUCCUAGAGAUUAUCCAUUUAGGAAAGAACAAGUUAUUCAUUUGUGGAUUGCUAAUGGUCUUGUAGUACCACGGGAAGAUGAAAGAAUUCAAGAUUUAGGCAACCCAACUCUUUCUCGAGUUGAGAUCAAGAUCAUUAUUCGAAAGGGUUCCAAAUCCUUCUGAAGGGAACACAGAGGAAUUCUUAAUGCAUGAUCUUGUCAAUGAUUUAGCCCAAAUUGCAUCUUCAAAACUCUCUGUCAGGUUGGAAGAAUGACAAGGAUCUCAUAUGUUGGAAAAAAGUCAGCACAUGUCGUAUUCAAUGGGGAGAGGUGGACUUUGAGAAAUUGAAACCACUCAUCAAAUCAGAGCAGCUAAGGACACUGCUUCCAAUAGAAAUCCAGGACCUUUACGGCCCUAGGCUAAGCAAGAGGGUGCUGCAUAACAUACUGCCAAGUCUAAGAUCCUUAAGGGAAUUAUCAUUGUCUCAUUACCGGAUUAAGGAGUUGCCAGAUGCUUUGUUUAUCAAAUUAAAGCUCCUCAGAUUUUUGGACCUUUCUUGGACAGAGAUUAUAAAGUUGCCCUAUUCUAUCUGUACAUUGUAUAACUUGGAGACACUUCUCCUGUCAUAUUGUACAUAUCUUGAGGAGCUACCGCUGCAGAUGGAAAAUUUGAUCAACCUGCGUCAUCUUGCCAUAAGAAACACUUCUCAUUUGAAGAUGCCGCUACAUCUGAGCAAGUUGAAAAGCCUCGAAGAGCUAGUUGGAGCCAAUUUUCUUCUAGGUGGUCGCGGUGGUUGGAGAAUGGAAGAUUUGGGUGAAGCACAUUACUUGUAUGGAUCUCUAUCAAUUUUAGAGUUGCAAAAUGUGGUUGAUAGAAGGGAAGCUCUGAAGGCAAACACGAGGGAGAAGAAUCAUGUUGAAAAGUUAUCGUUAAAGUGGAGUGAAAAUGAUGCGGACAAUUCUCAAACUGAAAGAGACAUACUUGAUGAGCUACUCCCACACAGAUAUAAAAGAACUCAAAAUCUCCGGAUAUAGAGGGACACAAUUUCCAAAUUAGCUAGCUGAUCGUUCAUUUCUUAAGCUAGUGAAAUUGUCUCUUAGCAACUGCAAGGACUGUUUUUCCUUGCCAGCACUGGGACAACUUCCUUGUUUGAAAUUCCUUGACGGAAGAAUUCUAUGGUAGUCCAUCCUCCAGAAAGCCUUUUAACUCUCUCGAGGAGCUUGAAUUUGCAGCGAUGCCGGAGUGGAAGCAGUGGCAUGUACUAGGCAACGGAGAGUUUCCUGCACUUCAGGGCCUUUCCAUUGAAGAUUGCCCCAAGUUGAUGGGGAAGUUGCCUGAAAAUCUUUGUUCUCUGACAGAAUUGAUAAUUUCAAGCUGUCCUGAACUCAAUUUGGAGAUGCCCAUCCAACUUUCAAGUCUAAAAAAGUUUGAAGUUGAUGGUUCUCCUAAGGCUGGAGUUCUCUUUGAUGAAGCUGAACUGUUUACAUCCCAAGUUAAGGGAAUGAAGCAGAUUGAGGAAUUAUGUAUUAGUGAUUGCAACUCUCUUACCUCCUUGCCUACUAGCACUCUGCCGAGUACCUUGAAGACAAUAAGGAUAUGUCAUUGCCGGAAAUUGAAAUUGGAGACUUCAGUUGGUGAUAUGAAUUCUAACAUGUUUCUGGAGGAAUUGACACUGGAUGGAUGUGAUUCUAUAUCAUCAGCUGAGUUGGUCCCUAGAGCACGCACUUUGUACGUAAAGAGUUGCCAAAACCUUACUAGGUUUUUGAUUCCUAAUGGGACUGAAAGACUCGAUAUUUGGGAUUGUGAGAAUCUUGAAAUACUUUUGGUGGCAUGUGGGACCCAGAUGACGUCAUUGAAUAUCCACAAUUGCGCAAAGCUGAAGCGGCUGCCAGAACAUAUGCAGGAACUUCUUCCAUCUCUUAAGGAACUGAAACUCUACAGUUGUCCAGAAAUAGAGUCCUUUCCUGAUGGAGGAUUGCCCUUCAAUUUACAACUCCUUGGAAUCAGCAAUUGCGAGAAACUCCCCUCUCUCAGAGAGUUGUACAUCUACCAUAAUGGCAGUGAUGAAGAGAUUGUUGGUGGUGAGAAUUGGGAGUUGCCUAGCUCUAUUCGAAGGCUUACCAUAAGCAAUCUGAAAACAUUAAGCAGCCAACUUCUCAAAAGCCUCACCUCUCUUGAAUCUCUAGAUAUUCGUAAUUUACCUCAAAUUCAGUCACUGCUGGAACAAGGGCUUCCCUCCUCUCUUUCUGAGCUUUAUUUAUAUGACCAUGCUGAGCUCCAUUCACUACCGACUAAAGGUCUUCGGCACCUCACUUCACUUCAAAGUCUAUUGAUCAGCAAUUGCCCUCAACUCCAAUCCCUUCCCAAAUCAGCAUUUCCCUCCUCCCUCUCUAAGCUGUCCAUUAACAAUUGCCCUAAUCUCCAAUCCCUUCCCAAAUCAGCAUUUCGUGCUCCCUCUCUGAGCUGACCAUCACACAUUGCCCUAAUCUCCAAUCCCUUCCUGAAAAAGGGAUGCCCUCUUCCCUCUCUACACUCUCUAUUUACAACCGCCCAUUGCUCAGACCACUCCUAGAAUUUGACAAGGGGGAGUACUGGCCAGAAAUUGCUCAUAUCUCCACCAUAGAGAUCGAUUUCAGAUACCUUUAAUGAUUAAAACCAAAUGGUGCUCUCACAAAUGUAAGUUAUUCUUUCCCCUCAGAAGCUUUUUGUUUUUGUUUACUUUCCUUUGUUCUUUUGUUAACUCUCUUUUUUAAAUCUUAUUGAACAGUGUGGAGCUUCUGUUGCUCCAACCACAUCUAGAAUUCGAUAAGGGGGUAUGCUGGCCAAAAAUUGCUCAUAAAUAUUGAUUGGGAGUAUUUGUAAUGAUUAAAAUGAGUGCUGCUCCAGUAGAUGUAAGUUAUUCUAUUUUCGUAGCAUCUUUUGAUUUUUUGGUUACUUGUCCUUGCUUGUUUGUUAGUAAUACUGUUUCUUUGUUUAAUUAUUUUGACCAGUGUGUAGCAUCUAUUGCCUCUGUGAAGCCGAGGAAGCAUCUUCAUAUCAAGAUAAAGUAUUUAUAUUUGCACUGAAACAUUCAAAAAGAAAUCUAGUUCAGAUAGGAAUUGAGAUAAAUUGCUCCAGAAAAUUGAUUGCCUAAUACAGACUCUCUUUUCUUGUCUAUUAACUUAUGUUCUUCCUCAAAUUUUGCAGACGAAAAUACGAUUCGCCAUCAUGAAAGCUGUUCUGCUUUGUUCUGCAUUUUUUCGUUUCUUCUACACAGAUAAAGGUUCCAAGAAAUGCAACCUCAUUUUCUCAAUGAGGUAGCCAAGACCUUGACAAGAGUUGCAUCAAGCUAGAGUAAAGAAAUUGGAAAAUACUUUGAAUGUCUGCUUCCAUUAUUUAAGCCAUGUUACAACGCAUUGAUCUCAAACUAUGUUGCUUGGGCUCUUAAAACAUGUUUGCGGGUGCGUGUUGGAUCCCCCAAAAGUAGUGUAUUUUUAUAGAAUCCGACACAGGUGAGGCAUCGGAAGUGAAGAAUCAGCGCAACUUAGAUUUCAAGCUUGAUACAACUGCAUUUGCUAGCAGACACUGAGCUUUUGUCGGUAUUUGGAUCUUUAUAACAAUAGGUAAAACAUCACUUUCGUCAGUAUUUGGAUCUUUACGUAAUAACAGUUUUUGUUUUGAAUAUUCAGAGAUUUGAACUGAGACAUAAACAUUAAGCUGAUAACUUUGGAGAUUAUGGAGUUCCCUUCAAAUGAUGUCCAUUACUCAACCAGCUCGGAAUGAAUUCAAGGUUAGAUAACAGAAGAAAAACAAUUUAUUCAUGCUUCAGUUACCAAGAUGCUUAUUUUGUAGUAAUAGUGGUUUGUAUUUUAUCUUAUAAUAGGCAGCAUAACAAAGAAAGAGCCAUCUCUUAUUAAUUCUUCUAGUUUUAGCUGAUGUAUAUAUUCAAAAUAUGAUGCCGCGUUACUUACUGCAAUUUGUUGCAAUUUACUGUCCAGAUUAUUGGCGCAUACAUCCUAUCUUGGAAGAUAUCUCAUGAUUGAUCUUCCCUAUCUCAGUAGAUCUUCCAUAUCUCAUAGUGAUUUAGUUUCUAUUUAGGAGAAGAUCACAAUUCUUUAUUAGUUGAUUCUUUCCUUAUUUAGUUUGUAUUCUCUUGUAUAUAUACACAUAUAUGUCAAUGAAAUCAAUAGAAGCUUUCAUACUUUACUCAUCUUUAUAUGGUAUCAGAAGCCUCAGUAUACUCUAACGAGUAAGAUUUCUUUUUCUCUCCCACCCACCCUCCUCAAAUGGCAGACACUCGAGUUGUUAAUGCUGACAGCAACGUCAGCCCGAUGGUUGUUCAAUUUAACCCUGUGUCCCAAUUGCCCAUUAAAUUACUUGACAGCCACAAUUUUGCAACGUGGAAGGCGCAAUUUUCCAUGCUUAUGCAUGGUCAUGAUCUCUAUGGUCGUCUUGAUGGGUCUACACCUUCCCCAUCUCGCACUAUCACAACUGGCACAGUCCCUAGUGCCAAUCCUGCGUUUACUCUUUGGUUUCGACAAGACCAACUCAUUCAAAAUGCACUUAUGGCAUCUGUUGAUCCAACAAUUGCCACAACUAUUGAAGCGGCUACCUCAGCAAAGACAACCUGGGAUGCACUGCUCAUCGCCUAUGCGAACAAGUCCAAACCAGAUUUUUUAGUCUGCAUGAUCGACUUAUGCAUUUGACCAAAGAAUCCCAGCCAGUCACGGAAUAUUUGCAAACUAUUCGAUCUAUUUCUGACAAACUCCCUAUUGCUGGUGCUCCGAUCUCCAAAUCUGAACUUAUUGUCAAGAUCCUCAAUGGUUUGGGUCCAGAGUUUCAUGAGAUCUCUGCUGCAAUCCGUGCUCGUGACUCCACUAUUACUUAUGAAGAACUCUACGAAAAGCUUCUGGAUCAUGAGCUUUUCCUUCGACAUGAAGAGUCAAAAAAAAGUUCCCAAUCAGAUUACUAUUGUUGCUGCUACCUCCAACAAGCCUGGUACUUCGAACAAUCACACCAAUCGUCGCCCCAACAAUAACAAUGGCAACAGCCAACAGUGGCGGUCUAACAAUCACUUUACUUCACCCAAUCCACGACGAUCUUCGACCACCAACAACUCUUCUAAUGGUGUUCGCUAUCAGUUGUGCAACAAACCAGGUCAUGUUGCAAGUGUUUGUCGAUUGAAAUCUCACAAUCUCUUUGAGGCGAAAGCCAAUUAUGUUCAAGAGGCAUCAGAAAAUCCUUGGAUCCUCGACUUCGGUGCGUCUCAUCACAUCACUGCCGAACCUCAAAAUUUGCAGCCACACAAUGGGAUGGAGCAGGUCUCCAUGGGUAAAAAAAUACCAAUAACUCACAGUGGUUCAACUCAAUUAAAUGCAUAAAAUAAAUCUUUCAAACUCUCUAACACUCUCGGUGUUCCUAGCAUUAAAUGCAAUUUACUCUCUGUCUCUAAAUUUUAUCAAGAUAACCUAACCUCUAUUGAGUUCUUUCCCUUUCAAUUUUUUGUGAAGGAUUUGAAAACGCGGACUCCGUUGGUGCACGGUUAGAAUAAGGACGGUCUCUAUGAGUAGCCAAAUUUACCCUCCAUGUCUUCUCCUUAAGUGCAUUUGACCUCCACCAGCACAUCCACUUCUACCUGGCAUAGUCGGUUGGGUCAUCCGAAUGCAAGAGUGUUAAAUUUUCUUUUGAUUAAAUUCUCGCUACCUUGCUCGCGAGAAAAAAUUUUAGUUUGCAAUUCUUGUUCCUCGAAUAAGGCUCAGCGCCAUCCUUUUAAACAUUUUAGUUUGUCAAGUACCAAACUAUUUUAAGCAAUAUUUAGUGAUUUAUGGGGUCCUUCUCCAGUUCAAUCGAUUGACAAAAAAUUAUACUAUUGUAUUUUUGUGGAUGAGUAUACCCGAUAACCUGGCUUUACAUAUUAAAGAAUAAAAGUGAGGUUACAGACCUUUUCAAAAACUUUCAAGCAUUAAUUGAACGUCGUUUUAAUACGAAAGUUCUUUCUAUCUAUACAGAUGGUGGUGGCGAAUAUAAAAGUCCUGAUUCAUAGACAUAUUAUUGAGACGGCUUGCACUUUACUUCACGAAGCUUCACUUCCAUCGACUCGUUGGUCGUUUGCUUGUCAACAUGCAGUUUAUUUGAUAAAUUGCUUGUCAACCUCACUUUUACAAAAUAAAUCACCUUUACAAAUGUUGUUUGGUCAUAAUCCGGAUUACAAUUUGUUAAAAAAUUUUGGGUGUCUCUGUUAUACCUGGCUCAAACCUUAUUCAAAAAAUAAAUUAAGAGCCACGAUCAACACUAUGUGUAUAUUUAGGAUUUUCUUUAGUUCAUCAUUGUCACCAAUGUUUUGAUCCGAAAUCUUCUAAAAUAUAUUUAUCUCGUGAUGUGAAUUUUUUUGAAAAUAAUUUUCCUUUUCAAAAUAUAUUUUUAAAUAUUUCUUCAACUUGCAAAGAACUUGUGUGGGAAAACCAACUGAUACUACCCCAACAACAUCCCCUAGUUUUUCUUCUCCCAUAAGUAGCGAAUUACUCAGCCCCAUAUUUAUCCCAAGUUCAGAUAGUAGCAACGCUCUCAAAGACACUGUCUCCUCUGCCUGCGCUCCAACAGAAUCUGCAAGUUCAGGUAACUCUUCUCCUCCUACUACUACAAUUCUAUUAUUCAUACCGCUCUCCGUGACACCCACUCUUAUCCCCCAUUGCCUCAAUCAUCAUCUUUUCCAAUUGUAUACAAUCGCAGAAAUAAAACAAUGUCAUCUGCUAGCCAAAACACCGCUGCCCGUCCCUCCACCUCACUUCCGCUACAACCUUCCCCCAACCCUGCUCAAGCAACAGAACCUCAACAACCUUCUCUUCCUACUCCAAAUCAUGUUGUGACCCGUUCACAGCACAACAUUUACAAACCAAAAACCAUUCUUGACUUCAUGGCUCACUUAUCCCCCUCCAUCACCCCGACCAACUUCAAACAACCAAACAAACACCCAGAGUGGCAAAGAGCAAUGAAAAAUGAAUUUGAUGCAUUAUUGAAUAAUCAGACAUGGGUUUUGGUACCAUAUGACCCCACAAAAAACAUUGUUUCUUGCAAAUGGUUAUACAGAUUAAAAAGAAAAGUUGAUGGGACAAUCGAUCGCUACAAGGCUCGACUUGUUGCAAAGGGAUUUACACACCGUCCUGGAGUUGACUAUUACGCCACGUUUAGUCCGGUCAUCAAACCAACUACUGUAUGUUUGGUUCUCUCUAUUGCUGUCCAGCGGAAUUGCCUCCUACACUAGCUUGAUAUUAACAAUGCGUUCUUGCAAGGUCGUCUAGAAGAAGCGUACAUGGUCCGUUCUCCAGGUUUUGCAGACGAGCAGUUUCCCUCCCACAUAUGUCGUCUAAAGAAAGCAAUAUAUGGCCUCAAGCAAGCCCCUCGGGCGUGGUACAAUGAACUUAAGACAUUUCUUCUUUAUCUAGGAUUUGUCAAGUCAGAAUCUGAUGCCUCACUCUUUAUUCACAAAGUUUCAAACAACAUUUUGUACGCACUGGUUUAUGUAGACGAUAGCAUUAUUACAGGGAAUCACAACUCAGAGGUAAAUCGGGUUAUUGCUCGUCUUGCUGGGCGUUUUUCCAUUAAGGAUCUUGGGAAUCUAAACUUCUUUCUUAGAGUGGAGGUGCUACGAACUGCCAAAGGAAUCACUUUAUCACAGUCCAAAUACAUCAAUGAAAUCCUCGCUGACGAAAACAUGAAGGACCGUAAUUCAGAAAAAACCCCAAUGAGUGCCAUUGAAGUGCCUCAACUACAUGAUGGAGCGGAACCAACUGAUGCCACUCGCUACAGGAGAGUUCUUGGAAAACUACAGUACUUGUCUUUUACUUGUCCAGACAUUAGCUUCUCUGUGAAUAAAUUGUCUCAAUUUAUGCACUCUCCAUCUGAAGUGCACUGGAAAGCACUCAAACGAGUACUCAGGUAUCUCCAAGGAAUACUUCAGUUUGCUCUUCACAUUCAAAGAGGUAAUGAUUUCAACCUACAUAUGUACUCUGACGCGGAUUGGGUUGGAGAUGUGAGUGAUCGAGCUUCCACUACUGGUUACAUAUUAUUUUUUGGACAAAAUCCUGUGAGCUCGUCUUCCAGGACACAAAGAACAAUUGCUCGCCCAUCAACUGAAGCAGAGUAUCGUGCUGUUGCAAGUGCAUUGUCUGAAACCAACUGGGUGACAAAUCUGCUAAAAGAAUUACAUGUUUCCCUUCCUCAAAGAUCAACCAUUUACUGUGACAAUGUUAUUGCAACUUAUUUAUGCGGAAAUCCAGUUUUUCAUAGCUGCAUGAAGCACAUUGCUGUAGACUUUCACUUUGUUCGCAAACAAGUUCAGCAGAAUCAAGUUCACAUUGUUCAUAUUCAUGCUGCAGAAUAAAUCGCGGAUACUCUAACUAAAGCUCUACCAAAGCCAGCCUUUGAUAAACACCUAUUCAAGCUAGGCUUUGCUACACAUUGCCUAUCUUGAGGGGGGCGUAUUGGCGCAUACAUCCUAUCUUGGAAGAUAUCUCAUGAUUGAUCUUCCCUAUCUCAAUAGAUCUUCCAUAUCUCAUAGUGAUUUAGUUUCUAUUUAGAAGAAGACCACAAUACUUUAUUAGUUGAUUCUUUCCUUAUUUAGUUUGUAUUCUCUUGUAUAUAUACACAUACAUGUCAAUGAAAUCAAUAGAAGCUUUCAUACCUUACUCAUCUUUAUACGGAUAACUUGACAUUUAAUUUUGAGGAAUUCCCUUUGCUUGUCUAUUAGCUUGAUUUGGUCUUUGAUCGAUUGUCAUUGCAGGAGUUGUUUAAUCUUGUCUCCAUUUAAACUUCAGUCAAUUUAUGGAAUCGCAAAUGAAAAUCAUAACUGGUCAGAAACAUGCAAUCAAUUUGCGCCAGAGAUGAAUUUAAGGCUAAUAAAAUGAACAGGCGUAUCAUGAUGUAUUAAGACUAUGCUAGUCGCUAGAGGUUGAACAAUGGGGAAGCCUUCUUGAUUAAUAGAGUUCAAAGGUGUAUAAUACACAAGGUUUGUUUCCUAUCUAUCAAAAAUAUAAAUGUUUGCCUCCCAAUAAAUUUAACAUCUAAAAGCAUCAGCGCGGUUCAGUUUUUUUGUUAAUGAUUAUUCGAAAUCAACUUAGCAAAUUUUAUUCUUUGACAGGAUUUUGGUACGCUGGUACAACUCUUAGCUCAGUUGGUAAAAGGAAAUUUCUGCUGCAAUUCUCUAUUGAAUAGAAAGUCACUCGAAUGUGGUCUGACAGCAAAACGUAGUGAACAAAGACAAGUCAUUUUUUUACUGUCCAGUGCUCUUGACUAUCACUCAAAGGUUUUGUUAUCGUUGGCUGUAAACGUUGUACUAAUGCUUUGAAUUUUAUACAUAAAUAUGUGUGCUCAUCAUCAAACACAGCUUUAAAUUUAAGCUCUAUAGAGAAUCUCUAGAAAAGAUAAUCACAGAUAACAAUCAGAAGUUUUAGGAAGCAAGUAAACAACAUCCAAUUGUUGUCUCAGUUAGAUUGCUUGUUUUUACUAACCACUAUAUAUAUUUGGUAUGGUCGGAUUUGUUCAAUUGGAAAACCCCCAAUGUAUGGCUUCAAUAUAAGUAUUUACUUGGCAGGUAAUAAUAAAGUUCUCCUUUUCACUUGUAUACCUUCUAGUUAUUGUCCACGCAGUUGAUUUUCUUAUUCUAUUACCUGUUGGUCUCUGUUUGGGAACACAUGCUGAAGUGAGUGAUGAACCAUUUGGAUUUAUGGGUUCAUUGCAGUUUGUAAGUUCGUUGUUACUGGCAAUCCUCAUAUAUCUUCAUUACCUUUUUUUAACUUUACCUUAAUUCUAAUCUCCCAAAAUGUUUUCCAGCUCUUCUCACCAAGAUUCCAGCUUUGAGAUCAUUUUAUCUAGAUAAAUUACACUACUGGAGAGAGAGUGCAUCUGUCACGAGCAGUUUGGCGUACUUUCUGGCUAAGGAUACAAUUGAUCAUAUCAAUACUCUUGUAGAGCCUGCAGUUUAUCUAUCAAUGUUCUAGUUCUUCAACAAUCCAAGACCAUCAAUUUUGGAUAAUUGUCUUGUCUUGCUUUGUGUCGUAUAUUGUGUUACUGGGAUAGCUUAUGCACUUGCCAUCUACUUUGAACGUGGUCAAGCUCAACUGGUGUGUACUCAGCACUUAUGAUCAUACAAUACGUAUCAACUCCAAUUGUUAUCCUCUUUUGCCGUGGUUGUCAUUGUUGCUGUCUUGCUUCAUCACUAGGUAUACAAGGAAGAAUGCCAGUUUACAGUCUCAAAACCAUGACGAAAAUGUUGGGAAACCUCAAAAAGUUGGGUCCCUUGUGAAGAUUAUUUCAUAUAACCUUGAUAUGAUUCUUGCGAAAAAUGUAAUUUUUGAAACAGAUCGUAUAUAGCAGCAGGAGUCAAUUCAAGAGGUUAUAUGAUUCUUUCUUCUUUAGGUGAAACAUCAAGUGUAACGUGUGUUAAUAGUAGUUUCUCUUGGAGAAUGAUUCUACCUGGUUCCUGAACCUCGAGAAAUAGCCGAAAAUGUCUGUCUCGUCUUCAUGAAGUUGACAAGGAUAUGACUGAGAGUACACCACAGAAAUUGGAGGUUAUACCCAAAAGUUGAUAAAGAUCAGGCUAUUAACAUCAAAUUAUGUAAAUGGUUAUGCAGCCAAAUGUGAUUAUAGCAUACAGUACAUCUUUUCUGUUUACAAAACUCUACUGUUUUUUUCUGUUCUUUUUGAUUGGUAACACUGAAGGGGAAUCUUGAAUUAUCUAGUAAAGUUGCUGCCACGUGUUCAAGCCGUGGAAACAGCCUCCGGCAGAAAUGCAAGUAACACAACAGCAUAGAGCAAUCAAAAGAGCACAGCUACAUUAUUCAAUACGAUUGUUGAAACAAUUUUAUUUCCAAACCAAAUCCCCCAUGAAUUUUAAUCCAGCGACGCCCCUUAUCUCCACAUCAACCAAUGGUGCUUGGAUUAUCUUUAAACUUGAUAACUCUGGAUCUUUUGUGAUCAUAUCAAGAGCACGCAUCUGAUCCUGAAACAUGUAAAACAACAGAGGCAUAAGCAAAACUAUGCAAGUAAAGAUGUGUGCUCUCGAUAUUAGAAGUGUAGUAGUUAUGGAAUUCAAAGGAAAAUGUGACACCGCGAAGAAAACUUGACACCAAACACCAUCCGACAAAUUAUGAUGUGGAAGUUUACGUUCAGGACAUUUUCCAGAAAGGGUAUUGAUGGCCUUCUUAAAAUUAGUUUUCAAACACAUCAAUGAUUUGACACAAACACAUCAACUCUUACCUUUCUUCUCAUCAAACAGAACUUGCAUUCUGAUGUGGAUGGAGGUAGGAUUUGGUUGACGAUAAGCCUUCUUACUGGAACAGUUUCCUUCUUCAACGAUGCACAGAGUCGUGAAGUCUCAUUGAUCGCCAUCACCUGUACAGAAUGUGUUUGUAACAAAGGGGUCACUCAAAAAGUCCUCAAGAAGAACUUGGAAGCACAGUAAAGAAUAGCUACAAGGUACAUAUUUUGGUCAAUUAAUAUUUGCUCAGUUGGCAACACUGGCUUAAAUAAAUAUGAAACAAUAUCGCAGGGUGGCAUACUUGCUAAAGUAUUAAUCCAUGUAUAUUACGAAAAGCACUCAAAACUCAAAAGGAGGCGAAAGAUCAGUACAGAAAGAUACUUUUGAAGCAAUUAGCAGCCUUCAUCUUACUCCCUCCUGUUUCAAUCUGUUUGUAUUACUUUCCUUUUCAGCCCAUUUCAAAAAGAACGUCCCUUUACUUUUUGGCAACUCUUUAAUUUCAACUUUCCACAUUCCAGGCUUAAGAUCACAAGAUUAAAGGACAUUUUGGAGAACGAACUACAAGAAAGGAAAAGACGAGGUGGAUGAUGAUACUUAUACUUGGAAGUAAUACUAAAGAAGCGACAAGCUAGGUUUGUUGCAAGCUUAUGCUCCAGAGUUAUUAACCUAUAGUAAUAGGAUGACAGAAUUUGUGCAUUACAGUGGGGAUUGUCACGAUGAUAAACUCUGUCGUUGCUGAAUCAUGGAACAGAUCCCGAACUUUUGCCAUCCUCUCCCUUAAUUGCUCUAGCUUGUCACUCUGCAGUGAAAGGAAAUAAUGCUCAACGCAAAGCAAUAGCACAGCAAGAAAACUAUUAUUGUGACUUCAAUGCUUACAGCAUCAUCUCGUUGUGGCUCCUCUUUGUUGAACAUGGAUUUUAAAGCUGAAGUAGCUGAUGCUAUUUUCUUUUUAAGCUGUGACACAUGAGAAAGUACUUGUAAAGCUGAAGUAAGUGCAUAAUAGGACUUUGGUAGACGAACUUGAAAUAAAAAGACCACUGCAAUAAGUUCCGGUUAAGAGAGAGAGACAUUUGAGGAUUCUCGUUCUUAAACAUGGAAGCAUUUUGAUGGAAGAAAAUCAGAAAUGACCCAUAAUAUCCUUCCAGUAGCAAGACAGCAGUUACCUUCAUCACCUUGCCUAUUGAUAUAUCUAAGAAGUCUGGCAGUGAUAGUAGUCUAAGUGUGUGUUCCUACAGAAUCAACUGGUAAAUGCAAACAUUAAGCUAAGAGAACAAAAGGGGAAGAUGGUGCACUAAAGCUCCCGCUAUAAGCGGGGUCCAAAGAAGGGACGGACAGGUUGUUUCCACGGCUUGAACCCCUGACCUCCUGAUCACAUGACAACAAUUUUACCAAUUACUCCAAGAGAACAAGUUUUACGUUAAACCAGUUUCUUUCAACUCAUCGUUGGUGCUGUAUCAAAAACUAUAUUCCUUUGAUUCAAGAAUUUGCAUGACCUGCAGAACCAUCCUAUGGUCAAAGAGACUGGAAUAAGGUAACAAUGACAGUCUGAAAAGCGUAUUGACUACUCAUUUAUACAUGCCUUAGAAAUUGCAAUAGCCUCAUCUAGACAGGCAGAGGAGUGUCCGACAGCUCUCGAAGUUUUAGUUCUCCCAGCUAUCACAAGUUAACAACAGCAGAGUUAAGUACAACAAGGAAUGUUUUAAACAUCAUAAUACGUGGAUUUUGCCAAAAGAAGAACUACUUUUAAUCAGUGGCUCUGUCAGCAGCUGUGGUAAAGAAAUGAAUCAAUAACCUAAUAGGCAUAAGGAAUUGCUUAAAGGUCGGCGAUUACGUCAGACACAGUUACUUGGGUCGUUUUGUAGUAGGAAAGAAGAUGACACCAAGACUAGGCAUGUACAGUUAACGCCAUACAAAGAGAGUGAUUUAAUUGGAUAAGAAAAGAACUACGAAACAUUGUGCUUUGGGUGUCACCUGGUCAGCAGGCAUUCCGAGGCGGCCAAUGCUGUCCAUAAAAUUUUUGACACCACUGUCACCUUGUAUUUGGCUCGUUGCGUGGAAUUCUUUCCUUGUUUUCUCAGGGUUUAUCUAUUUGAAUAUAAGUUUAUAUUUGUCCUAAACAAGUAGAUACUUUACUUCAGUACCAGCACUGAAAUAACAAGACCAAGAUACCUCUAGUGCAUAUAAUGGAGAAUCCACUCCUUGAAUCGGAACAAGUGCCCCUCCAGUCAAAUCCUACAGAAAGCACAAAAUGGUUAUAUGCAUCAAUUUCUCUUUUGACGGAAUUUUGAGAAGAGAAAUAUGCAGUAGGUACCUAAUCAAAAGAGUCGCUCAAAGAGUGAGCGGGAUCAGUUGAAACAACAAGAGUCGGGUGACCGUGGCUUGCAAAUUUUACUGCUAGAGAAGCAGCACAGCUAGUCUUCCCAACACCUCCUUUCCCUCCCAACAUGAAAUACUUCCGUUGUGUCCCACUAACCAUCUCGUCGAAUCCAACAAAAGCUUCAGUAGGAGUAGUAACUGACCUCACUACAAAGAUAAGAGGAACUUAAACAACCCCGAAGCUGUUCUUUAUAAAACUUCUUAGAAUUCUUCUGUAUAAUGUCGAGAACACGGAUUCAUGUUUUUUUUCAUCGAUUUGAAUUGGCAUUCACUGUUUACUAUAUGCAAAAGCAGCUGUGCAGAGACUUGUUUCACACAUUUUGGUCCCAAGAUACAAACAAAACUACAUCAUAUGUUGAUUGACAUUAAAUUCAGUCCUGUGUUUUCAAUAUAGGAUUUUCAACUGAUGUAUUAUAAGAUUCUUAAAAAUUAGAGAGAGUUCAAAAAUCCACUAACAAAAAUUAUACCACUCCCACAGUCUCAUAUCAUAAUUUGAUUAGGUACGAAGUUUAAAAAAUAGAAAAAGAUAAAUAAAAAUUUGAUGAUUUUUACUAAAUUAUCUUUUAUUAAAAAAUGUAUUAUCACUAUUUUUAAUUUAGUGGGCUUAUAAGUGGAGCAAUAAUACCAAAUAAAAAAAUAUGACAUUUUUUUUACACGAACAAAAAAGGAAAUGAUUGAUAUGCGACUGAGGGAGUAAUACAUAUUGACAUUUAUGCCCUUACAAGUACAAAAUUAAAUAUGCAUACACACAUGUAACAAAUGUUACUCACUUUUUGUUUCAAAGACUUUUUAAUAAGAAGCCCUUUGAAUCUAACCUUACAUUACAGUAAUAUCUCAUAUCAAAUGUAUCAAUAUGUACUGAAAGUUGAGUAUUGUCAAAAAAAAAAGAAAAAAAAAAAAAUCAUAUUUUUAAAACGGAUUAAAAGAAAAGUAGGUUUUGAAUCGGAAUAUAAUACAAAUCAGUUGUCAGUGCGCUCGUGUAUAAAUUAAUUUUCGCGGGAAAAUUUUCUAUUUUGCCGGACAAAUAGAUUUCCGGUCAUCUUCUUCAAAGUUCCGGCGAGAAAUUUUCCGGUGAAGUAGAUUUUGAGUUUAGAAAUUUUCCGGAAAAAUUUCUCAAUGGAUUCUUAAAGUUUGCUGGUAAGGAAAAACGAUUUUGGUAAUUUCUUAUUCCUUGUUUGGUUACUAAUUCCGCAAUAAAUUAUACUCUAUCAGUAUUAGUAAUUAGUAUCGACAUAAUUGAACUACUUGAAGAUGAAAUAAUAAUAUCGAGAUUAGUUAUCUCCGAAUAAAAUACAAAGAAAAUGACAAAAAACACUUUUACUUAAUAAAGUGGAGAGUUUUUGUAAAUAAAUAAUUUCUUUUUAGAAUGCAAUGCAUACUAGUUUUAAUACAGAAAACAAAUCAAUUAAUUAGAAAUUUAUUGGAUAAAAAUAGUAUCGAAUGAGGUUUAUUAAUAAUGCUGAAAUUUGUUGACCUAACAUUAUUUCUUUAUUAACUGUUUGGUUUGUUGUAUUAUUACUGUUUGAGAUAUCUAUCAUAUGUUACGUUUAUGUGUUUCGAUUAUCACACUAUUUGCUUGCUAGUUGCUAUAUUUUUUUAAUGUUUUCUGUACCUGAAUUUUCUACACUUAAGUCAAGGAUUUUUCGAAAACAACCUCUCUACCUCUGUGAGGUAGUGAUAAGAUCUGCUAAUACGUCACUUGGGUCCCCCCCUAAUUACACCCCACAAGUUCCUCUCUUGUGAAGUCUUUGUCUUCUUGUUGGAUGAAAAGUCAAACUUUUCGGUAACAGUAGAUUGUAGUUAAUAGUAGCAAACAUAGCUGUACCAAUUACAAUUAAUAACUCUAACAAAAAGAGAGAGGGAGAGAGAUCAUUCUUAUUUGCAAUUUACUCUUAGCAUUCAAAAGGUAAAAUAAAGUUGUUAAUAUUUGAUUUGAACAUAGAAACAUUUAUCUUCUCAGAAUACUUAAAACCAUUUUUGUGGUUCCUUUGUUUUGCUUUGUAGAUUUCAAAAAUGGAUAUUGGCUUAGCAGUUGGUGGUGCAUUUCUCUCUUCAGCUUUGAAUGUUCUCUUUGACAGGCUUUCUCCUCAUGGUGAUCUUCUCAAGAUGUUUCAGAAGAAUAAGCAUGAUGUUCGACUCUUAAAGAAGCUGAAAAUGACUUUGGUUGGACUUCAGGCUGUGUUAAGUGACGCGGAGAAUAAGCAGGCAUCAAAUCAACACGUGAGCCAGUGGCUAAAUGAACUUCGAGAUGCUGUGGACGGCGCUGAAAACUUAAUGGAACAAGUCAAUUAUGAGGCUUUGAGGCUUAAGGUGGAAGGUCAGCAUCGAAAUCUUGCUGAAACAAGCAACCAGCAAGUAAGUUACGCCAACCUGAGCUUGAGUGAUGAUUAUUUUGUUAACAUAAAGGAGAAGUUGGAAAACACCAUUGAAACAUUGGAGGAUUUGCA
rnacentral:lncRNA from 1 species